UUCCUGAAGGAAUUGAUAUAUAUUUUGAAAACGUUGGUGGAAAAUUGCUUGACGCAGUGCUACCCAACAUGAAAAUCCGUGGUCGAAUUGCUGCAUGCGGUAUGAUCUCACAGUACAAUCUUGACAAGCCUGAAGGUGUGCACAACUUGAUGUAUCUUGUUUCGAAACGGCUUCGAAUGGAAGGAUUCAUUGUUCUGGAUCACUAUCACCUCUAUCCAAAGUUUCUGGAAAUGAUCAUUCCUCACAUCAAAGAAGGGAAGCUUGUAUACGUCGAAGACAUGGCUGAAGGUCUGGAGAGUGCUCCGGCAGCUCUCAUCGGUCUAUUCUCUGGCCAGAAUGUUGGGAAACAGGUGGUUGCUGUUGCUCCUGAAUGAAGAACAAGUUAGUGUUGUGUGUUCUUUUACCCUUUGACACAAAACUUCAAUGUUAAAGAGAGAAUGCUGCUCAUACUGCUUUAUAAAAUAAUCAAAUGAGUGCAAGUUUCAUGAUAUGUGCUGAAUAAAAAUAUUGGAAAUUAAGCAGCUAGCCUAGCUCCUUCUUGUAGUUGCAGUUUGAAUGAUGCUGCUGCACAACUGCUGCCGAAAAAAUCCUUAAUAGAUGAUUAGCAAGGUUUCAAAAAUAAAAAUAAAUGUUUGUGCAAUGUGCCGAAUAUGACAGCCACAAAGAAAGAGCAUACAAAUUGACUGGUUUUAUGUCUUCUCUAGGAGAAAGCUACAAUACAAGAAAUUGUAUUGAUGCCAUGGACCAAAUUUCUUAUUUAAACUUUUAAUUUUUUUUUAUUAAAAUUACUUAUGUUAUUAUGGUUUAUAUUUUUAGAAAUUCUUUAGAAAUUAAUACAGAACUAGUAGCAAGUUGAGAAAUCUAAUGAAUGGUCGAGAUAUGAUCAUGUUUAUUGAAUUAAAUUGACAAUCAUCAUUUUGAUAAAUUAUUGUUAGGAUAUUUGAUUCAUCACAGGUGUAAGUAACUAAAUGUGCUAAAAAAAAAGUUAAUGAGUUGUGAGUGUUUGAUAUUCGUUUGUUGUAAUUCUUUUAAUAAUUGUUGUGGGAAAAAAAUUAUGGUAAAAAAAUUAUAAUUAUAAAAUAAAAAUUAAUAAUAUAUUAUAAAUAAAAUUUUUAAAUAAUAAUUUUAAUAAAAUAAUAAAUAUAUUAUGAAUUUUUCAUUAUAAAUUUUUAAGUUAAAAUAAUAAAUAUUUAUUAAAUAUUUUAAUAGCACAACUUUUAAAUUAUAACAGUACAAUGUAAAUACCAGAGGUCUUAAAAAAUAAAAUUACAGUCAAGUUUUAAAACUGUUAAUAAUGCUAUUCAUAAAGGCGCUCGUCGUGUAAACAACACAUGGGACCCAACCAAUAAAUGUUUAUGAUCCUCAACUUUCCUCCUCACCGUCCCUGCAAACAAUUCUGAUUUUCUUGUCUGAGAAAAAAACUGAGAAACAAUGGCGGCCGAACAAGAAGCUGUGAGCAAUAAGCGGGUGAUUCUAAGCAACUAUGUGACAGGUUUUCCAAAAGAAUCGGACAUGAAGAUAACAUGUGGAUCAAUAAAACUGGAGGUAGCAGACGGUUUAAAAGACACGGUGCUUUUGAAGAAUCUUUAUAUUUCUUGUGAUCCUUACAUGCGAGAGCGUAUGAGCAAGCUUGAUAGACCUUCUUUUGUUGAUUCAUUCCAUCCUGGUGAGGUUAGUUCAUCACGACCCAUCUCUUGAUUUUUUUUUUUUUUCAUUUGCUUCAAGUUUUGAUGAGUUUCUGAGGUCAUUUGUACGGUUUUGGAAUGUGAACACUAUUAGUGAUUUUGGGGCUGUAACUGUCAUUAAUGAUAUGUAGUAAUUCAAUCAGAAUUUGGAUUUAGUGCUGAUAUGAUCUCUGCUCAUUUUUUAAAAUCUUGUGUCCAGAUGCAUUUUUAUAAUCUUGUACGGUUGAGAUUGUAAGUAGAUUAAUCUACGUGCAGUAUUCUUGUCUAAUGACUACUAACCACAACCUUAUGAGACGAUCGAAACCAAGCUCAGAUCAAUAAUCCAAUUGAGAGAGGGUCCUAACUCAAGCUUAUCGUGUGUAGGAAUAUUUCGGUUAAAUUGUAAUUCUUUUAAUAAUUGUUGUGAAAAAAAAAAAGUUAUGAUAAAAAAAUUAAUAAUUAUAAAAUAAAAAUUAAUAAUAUAUAAUAAAUAAGAUUUUUAAAUAAUAAUUUUAAUAAAAAAUAAUAAAUACAUUAUCAGUUUUUCAUCGUUAAUUUUUAAGUCACAACCACAAAUAUUUACUAAACACUUUAACACCAUAAUUAACACCACAACUAUUGAAUUAUAACUGUACAAUCUAGACGCCAAGAGGCCUUAGUAUGAAAAAAAAAAAUUACAGUUAAGUUAAAAUUCAUCAUACAGAUGUGCCACUUUCAUACUAUACCGGGAUCCUCGGUAAUGAUUUUUGUUACACAAUAAGAUUUGCUUAUAGUAAUAUCAAUACAUAUGCUGCUUAAAUGCUUUCUGAUUUUUUGCCGGCCAUUGUCCAUUUUGCCAGGGAGUCUAUAAUUGAAGGAAUUUACUGAAGGAAUGCUGAUUGUUGGGAAUUUGAUUAUUCUAGGUAUGCCUGGUGUAACUGCAUACGCUGGUUUAUACGAAGUUUGCUUUCCGAAGAAAGGAGAGUAUGUCUAUGUAUCUGCAGCAUCUGGAGCUGUUGGUCAGCUUGUUGGACAGUUUGCAAAAUUAGCUCGUUGCUAUGUUGUUGGAAGUGCAGGAAGCAAAGAAAAUAUAGCACCGUGCCUUCUAGCAGAAUUUUACUUGCUUUAUGUUCCAACUAAGCAUCCAUAUUUGAUCAUGAUAAUUAGCAAGGUCAAUAAUUUUUUUUUGACUAUUUUUUCAACGUAAGGUCGAUUUGUUGAAGAACAAGUUUGAACGAUGCUUUUAACUACAAGGAAGAGCCUGAUUUGGAUGCAGCACUCAAAAGGUCAGCUGCAACAAACGUUUCAACUCUAAUAUUUCAUUUUAAUAUUACAGAGCUUUGGUUGAAGUGUGUGAGUUGAUCCCAGAAACGUAACUUCAUCAGUGUCUCUGUUUUCAAAAAACAGGACAAAUAGAAAUCUGAUUUUGCUUUAAAAUUUCCCAGAUGCUUCCCUCAAGGAAUCGACAUAUAUUUCGAAAAUGUUGGGGGAAAGAUGCUGGACGCAGUGCUACUCAACAUGAGGCUCCGGGCCGCAUUGCAGUAAGCAGUAUGAUCUCACAGUAUAACCUGGAAAAACCCGAAGGCGUUCACAACUUAGAGCAACUGAUCGGGAAACGGAUUCGCCUGGAAGGAUUUCUAGCUGGUGAUUACUAUCACCUCUAUCUGAAAUUCUUGGAACUGGUCAUUCCUCCAAUCAGAGAAGGAAAGAUGCUGUAUGUGGAAGACAUGGCCGAAGGACUCGAGAAAAUUUCUCGUAACUGCUACACAUUAAACGCGUUUCACAUUUCCACUCUCUUUCUAUAAAUAAAUACGCACAUAAAAUUUCUCACCAUCCAAAAACAAAAUCUACAUAAAAAAUGGCGGGUGAAGAAGCAGUGAGCAACAAGCAGGUGAUUCUGAGCAACUACGUGACAGGGUUUCCCAAGGAAUCAGACAUGAAGAUAAUAACAGGCUCAAUAAACCUUAAGGUGCCAGAGGGUUCAAAAGACACAAUGCUUUUGAAGAAUCUUUAUCUUUCUUGUGAUCCUUACAUGAGAGGACGUAUGAGCGAGCUUGAUAAGCCUUCGUUUGUUGCCUCAUUCGAGUCUGGCGAGGUCAGUUACUUCAAUUCCCAUCUCUUGGUUUCAUAAUCUUUUAUGGUUUUAGAAGGUGUUUUAGGGAAACAUUGUGGUUUUGGUUAGUGGGCAUGAGUCUUUGAAGAGAUUAUAAUGUGUAGGACUAUGCAUGCAAUAAUAAGCAUAGGGGAUCUUGUUAGGAGAAGAUUCUCUUAGCAAAAUAAAAACUUUUAUCUUAUCAAAACAUAUGCAGGGAACUUAGUUAUGAUGUCAUGUUAGCAUUAUCUCUGAGGAUUUGAUUUCUUGAUGGGGAAAGGGGAAUUUAAGGUUACAUUAUUCAGCAAUGUUUUUUUUUUAAAAAAUUAUGUUCAAAUUAUGCAGCCUUUAAGCGGAUAUGGAGUGUCCAAAGUGUUGGAUUCCACGCCUCCAAAUUAUAAGAAAGAUGACUUGGGUGGCGUUUGUUUUUUAACUUAAUGACUUAAAGUGACUUAACUUAAUUAAUUAAGUUAAUUAGAGAUGUUUGUUUUUAUAACUUAAUGUGACUUUUUAAAUAAUUUUGACUUAAUAAAAUAAGCCAAUUUUAUUUACUUUUUACUUAAUAGAGACAUCUGAAUUAAGUCAAGUACUUUCUAAUGUCAAAAAUAUACAUGCUUUAUAAUUUAUUUUUCAUGUCUAUCCCAAAACUCACCCAUAGACAUUUACCCCACAUAAUAAUCUCAUCAUUAUUUUUUUAGCCGUCAUGAAAUCCCUCCUCACUUUGGUAUCAACUCCUCAACUAUUGAAGAUCAAAAUUACAUGCGACAACUUCGAGAUGAAUGGCAAAUCAACUGUUUCAAGCAUCUUAUUCGUUUUUUUUCUUUUUUAUAUUAUAUACGAUAAAAUUUGAAAUUUAUGGUAUUUUAUAUAUUAAAAUUCCAAAAUCAUUAUAUAUUCACUUGAAUAUAGUUUUACUUAUAAAUGUUAAAAUAUUGUGAUAUUUAAUAUAUUAUUUAUUUGACAUUCAAAUUUAAUAAGGAUACAAAUGUAAAAGUACAUAUUUUUCAGUUUUUUAAGUUGAAAAAAGCAAACAACUUAAUAAUUAUUUUUCGAGAUUCAGACGAAAAAACAAACAUAUUAUUCAGAUUCAGACAUUCAGAUCUAUUCAGAAUUUAGACUAAUUCAGGUCUAUUCAGAUUUCAGAUAAAAAAACAAACGCCACCUUGGUCCGGGGCUUAACCAGUUGGGAGGAGUUCAGUCUCAUCCAAUCACCACAACUUCUGAUUAAAAUUCUGGAUACAAGUGUGCCUCUGCCAUAAUUAAUUGACAGGUUGCUAUGUUGUUGGAAGUGCCGGAAGCAAAGAAAAGGUGAGUUUGCACCCUUAACCCUUACGCUCUAAAUAAAAACAUAACACCUUCUGAAAGAAUUGUGCAUAGAGAAUUUUGCAUGUCACAUUAUUUGUGUUCUAACUAAUCAUGGAUAUUUGAUCAUUAGUCUAACUAAAACUGACAUAUUACCACCUAGUUGACUGGUCUUUGAGAAAUGUUAGUUGAUAUAUGCUUGAAAUCAUACUUGUUUUAUUAGAUGAUUAUAUUAACCUGCUUCUUUUUCUUUGUGCUGUUUCUCGUUUGAUUACAUUUUCAACAUUAGGUCGAUCUAUUGAAGCACAAGUUUGGGUUUGAUGAUGCCUUUAACUAUAAGGAAGAGCCUGACUUGGAUGCAGCUCUUAAUAGGUUAGCACGAAUGAAUGCUUUAACCAUUUUUCUCACUUCAUUAUUACAAUGCGCUGAUUGAAGUAAUCAGUGUUGGCUCUGAAAAUGUAACGUAUACUUCUCUGUUUUCAUAAAACAGGACAAACAGUGAUCAGUGAUCUCAUUCGUUACAUUGAUAUUUUCUACCAUUGCCAUACAUAGUAUAAACUAGGAAUUCAGUUGCUUAAUAGAUAUUCAUUUCAGAGGGAAAUUUUCACUUGCAGCUAACAGAAUCAUGUUUGUGAUGUAUGUUUAUUUGGGAAAUGAAAGGAUUUGUUGCAUUAUUUUAUUCCAAGUUUGCUGAAAUCAUAUUUGUUUUCCCAGGUGCUUUCCUGAAGUUAUCGACAUCUAUUUCGAAAAUUUUGGAGGUAAGAUGCUUGAUGCAGUGCUACUCAACAUGAGAAUUUGUGGCCGCAUCGCUGUAUGCGGAAUGAUCUCACAGUACAACUUUGAGAAGCCUGAAGGUGUACACAACUUGAUGCAAGUAGUUGGAAAACGAAUUCGCAUGGAAGGAUUUCUUGCCAGUGAUUUCUACCACCAAUAUCCAAAAUUCUUGGAACUGGUUAUGCCGGCAAUCAAAGAAGGAAAGUUAGUAUAUGUCGAGGACAUAGCUGAAGGCCUCGAGAAAGCUCCAUCAGCCCUAGUUGGGAUAUUCACAGGUCAAAAUGUUAAAAAACAACUGGUUGUAGUUGCUCGGGAAUGAUAUGAUUACUAUAUGCUUUAAAAAGUGGACUUUGCCAUGCACUUUAAAAGCUUAGUGAAGAUGCCUUUGUCUUAUUUUUGAUACAUGUUAUGUUUGUUUGAUCAAGUUGUACUCAGCUAUAAAUCAAAGAUUCAGAACAUGUGUAUGAUACUGGUUUCUAAAUCAAUGAACGCGUUGAAAUGUUAGUGUUUUCACAGGAGAAUGCAAUUUAAUUCAUCAACAAUGUCCCAACAAGACCCUCAGAGCUGUAGCUUGUAAAGUUAAUUACGAUAUUUUUUUGUAAAGUAAAUUACCAUAUUUUUUUCUUUCCAAUAUAUUGCUUAUUUCAUAGAAAGUUUACAUUAAAGUCUCAUGUUUCUUUGAAAGGUAAGCAAGUGUGAACGUUUCAAUCUAGAGCUGGAAAAUGCAUUUCCGGGCAACUUACUUGAUACAUGAAGUUUUCAUCUCUGACCUUGAUGUUUCCCAUAGUUGCAUUCAUUUCAGCUGAUCUAUUUAAUUUUGUUUUCGAAGGAGUGACACAAAAUCUCCUUUGUUAAGGGGAGAAUUUAGAGUGGCUUUGACUGUUAGCAAAUAGCCUAAUGUAAGACUUAACCAACUUCCUGCCCUGUUGUAUGCUUAUGAAUUUUGAUAGAGCUAAGAGUUUGCAGAAGCUACUGUAUUAUUUGUCGUUAGAGGCUGUAAAAAUCAAACACAUUUAAAUUUCAAUGAAAAUUUACUGGAAGUAAAUUUCCUAUGAUCCCACAGGUGACUAAUUAAUGAGAACUUGACAAUGACAAAAGAAAGUCUAUGAACUUUGCAGGCUGGCAUGCCAAUAUUGACUGGGUGGCACCAUCCACCAUCUGCAAGUGAAUAUCAUUGUUGUUUAAUCAACAAGGUGGAGUCCACUGGGACCACACCACAUCGUCAGCCUUAUCUCUAUUCCUCAAUUUUCAGUAUUCCAUACAUCAAACCAAUUUCAGUUUUGUUAUCAAUUAUAAUUUUAUUGUUGGUGACGAUUCUGAUUCCUUUCUGACAAAAGGGAACCAUGGCUGCUGCUGGAGAGAUCUUACUCAACGCCUUCUUUCAGGUACUGUUCGACAGGUUGGCUUCUCGUAAUUUGCUCAGCUUUGUGCGUCAACUCCAAGGCGGGGUUGAUUCGGAGCUCAAAAAGUGGGAGAAAAAGCUGAAGAUGAUUCGGGCUGUGCUCUGCGAUGCAGAGGAGAAGCAACUGACUGACGAGGCUGUGAAGAUGUGGCUGGACGAACUCCAAGACUUGGCUUAUGACGCUGAGGACACUCUUGAUGAGUUUGCUACUCAAGCUUUGGAAAGCAAGUUGAUGGCGCAAAAUCACGAUAGUUCUGGCCAGGUUCUCAGUUUCAUCCCGGCUGGUUUGAAUCCGAAUGCUAUUAUGUUCAAUUAUAGCAUGGGGUCCAAGAUGAAAGAUAUUACUAGCCGGCUGGAGCAACUCUGCCAAGAAAGAAUUGAACUUGGACUGCAACGGAUUACCGGAGAGGCAUCAUCAACUGCUGCUGCUGCACACCAGAGGCCACCCAGUUCGAGUGUCCCAACAGAACGUGAAGUAUUUGGAAGAGAAAAAGAUAAGGCCAAAAUUCUUGAUAUGUUAUUAGCCGAUACCAUAAGUGAUCAUGCUAACUUUGUUGUAAUACCCAUUGUUGGCAUGGGUGGGAUAGGAAAAACAACUCUCGCUCGGGAGGUUUACAAUGACAAAGCCGUUGGAGGUUCCAAGUUUGAUGUAAAAGCAUGGGUUUGUGUAUCUGAUGUCUUUGAUGUUUUGGGCAUCUCAAAGGCACUUCUCGAGUCAAUCACCCGCAGGCCUUGUCUUCUAAACAGUUUAAAUGAAGUGCAGGUUGAAUUGAAAGUAGCUGUGGAUAAGAAAAGAUUCUUGCUGGUCUUAGAUGAUGUUUGGAACGAGGACUACAGCUUGUGGGUAGACUUAAAAGCUCCGUUCCUGGGUGCUGCACCAAACAGUAAGAUGAUCGUCACCACACGCAAUUCAAAUGUUGCAUCAACAAUGGGACCAAUUGAACAUUACAAUCUCAAGAGUCUGUCAGAUGAUGAUUGCUGGUCCAUUUUCAUAAAGCAUGCAUUUGAAUCUAGAGAUCUUAACGCACAUCAAAUUUCAGAAUCAUUCCGCAAGAAAGUUGUUGCCAAGUGUGGAGGCUUGGCCCUGGCAGCAAAAACACUCGGAGGCCUUCUGCGUACGACGAGGCAUGAUGCGUGGGAUGAUAUAUUAGAGAGCAAAAUAUGGGAUUUACCUCGACAAAGUGGGGUUCUCCCAGUAUUAAGAUUGAGUUACCAUCAUCUUCCUUCUCAUUUGAAAAGAUGUUUUGCUUUUUGUGCCAUCUUUCCAAAAGAUUAUGAAUUCACUGAGAAGGAGCUGACUUUCUUAUGGAUGGCUGGAGGUAUUAUUCGACAGUCAAGAAACAAUGAGCAGCUGGAAGAUUUGGGCAGCAAGUGCUUUGGUGAUCUAGUGUCGAGGUCAAUUUUUCAGCAAACAGCAAGCUCUGAUAGUUCUAAAUUUGUAAUGCAUGACCUUAUUCAUGAUCUUGCUGAAUUGGUCUCUGGAGAAACCAUAUUCAGGUUAGAGGAGGCCAAUACUCUGUCAAGAAGAUUUGAAAGGGUUCGCCAUUCUUCCUAUGCUUGUGGUGGAUGUGAUGGUAAAAAUAUGUUCGUGGUUUUCAAUGAAAUUGAACAUCUACGAACAUUCUUGCCAUUACGCUUACGCAUAAGAGGUGGCUCUAAUACUAGUUACAUAACUCGUACGGUUCUAUCUGAUUUGCUGCCGAAGUUCAAAAUGUUGAGAAUGCUAUCUUUACAAGGAUACCGUAUUGGUGAGUUACCAAUUCCAUUUGAAGAUUUGAGACUACUAAGGUUCCUCAACCUUGCUGACACUGACAUAAGAAGUUUACCUGAGUCAACAUGCAAAUUGCUGAACUUGGAAAUUUUGAUAUUAAGAAAUUGUUCCUAUUUGAUAAAGCUUCCGCAGAAAAUGAGGAAUUUGAUCAAUUUACAUCACCUCGAUAUAAGAGGUGCGAAGUUGCUGAAGGAGAUGCCAUUCGGAAUGAAAGAGUUGAAGAAGCUUCAAACAUUGUCCAAUUUCAUCGUGGGCAAGGGCGAAACUGCAUCUGGUUUGGAAGAUUUAAAAUGUUUAAACUUUCUUGGUAAUGAACUUUGCAUUGCUGGAUUAGAGAAUGUGAAUAAUCCACAGAAUGCAAGAAGAGCCGCAUUAUGCGAGAAGCUCAAUCUUGAAGCAUUGACUCUAGAAUGGGGGUCUCAAUCUGACAGUCCUCGAGAUGCAGUACCAGAAGAGAAUGUACUUGACACUCUACAGCCGCAUAAACGUAUAAAAGAGCUGGCAAUCAGACACUAUGGUGGUGCAAGAUUUCCACUUUGGAUCGGAGAUCCUUCAUUCUACGAGAUGAAGGUCCUUAAAUUGGAGAACUGUGACAAUUGUGUAUCUUUGCCGUCGCUUGGCCUGAUGAGUUCACUUAAGCACCUUGCUGUUAAAGGGCUGAAGAAACUAAAAAGCAUAGAGUCUGAGGUUUAUGGGGAGGGUUUCUCAAUGCCUUUUCCGUCACUGGAGAUUCUAAGUUUCGAGAAUUUGCCAGAAUGGGAGCAUUGGGACACCGAGAUCAAAGGAAAUGCGCCUGUUGAUUUAUUUCCUCGUCUCCAAGAACUUUCCAUUGCAGAAUGUCCCAAACUCUCUGGACAACUGCCUGAGCUCCUGCCUUCCUUGAAGACACUUGUUGUUAGUAAAUGUGAAAAGUUGGUAGUUCCAUUGUCUUGCUAUCCAAUGCUUUGCAGAUUAGAAGUUGAUGAGUGCAAAGAACUAGUCUGCCGGACUCCGAUUGAUUUUAAGUUGAUAAAGUCCAUGACUAUUUCAAAUAGUUCAUUAGACAUGAAUGGACGCAAGGGGAUGUUAUACGAUGGUCCAGCUGGCUCUUCACUGCCAAACCCCAUGACUACUACAAAUGUUUUAGAGUUUGGAAAAUUAUUGAAGCCUGGAUUUCAGAUAUUCGAAACUUUGGUAAUUGGCAAUUCUGAACAGCUCAAGUUAUGGAGGCAGCAUGGGGAUUUUCCGAAAAAAUACAUGGUCACUGACCAUGGGUUCAAGAAACCAGUACGAGGGCUGAAUAUGCUCGCUUCCCCUGAAGAGGUAACAAUUGAAGAAAGUUGCGUACGUCUUGUUUUGAUUCCAGAGAUCAAUUUCCUUCUCAGAAAUCUGCGCUCUCUUAUAAUUAACAACAGCACUGCUUUCAAAUCCUUACCCGAGGAAAUGAUGGAAAACAAUUCACAACUCGAAAGAUUGUAUAUCAGAGAUUGCGACUCUCUAAUAUUCAUCGCAAGACGGAGGCUACCAGCAUCUCUUAAAAGGUUUGAGAUAGGAAAUUGUGAGAAAUUGCAACGUCUGUUCGAUGAUGAAGAGGAUGCUUCUUCUUCUUCUUCUCCUUCAUCCUCGUCUUCCCCAGUGAUGCUGCAACACCUGAGUAUAGAGAACUGCCCAGAGCUCACCAGUUUAUCAUCGGGUGUCCAAUUCCUUGAGGCGCUUGAAGACCUCGUGAUACAGCAGUGUCGAAAGCUGGAGUCAAUACCGGAUGGCCUGCCCAAUCUUAAAUGUUUACAGAGCAUUAAUAUACGGGAAUGUCCAAGUCUUGUUUCCUUAACAGAAAGAGGGCUUCCCAACACCAUUUCAUUUGUUUACAUUUGCAGAUGUGACAAGCUCGAAGCCUUGCCCAAUGAUUUGCACAAACUCAGCUCUCUUCGAGAAUUAUUCAUACAGCUCUGUCCAAAUCUUGUAUCGUUUCCAGAAGAAGGUUUUCCUACCAAUCUAACAACACUUGUAAUUGGAGAUUUCAAAAUGUAUAAGACACUCGUCCAGUGGGGGUUGCACAGGCUUACCUCUCUUAAACGCCUCUGGAUUGCUGUACGUGAUGAUGAAGCAGAGUGUUUUCCAGACGAGGAGAUAGGAAUGACGCUGCCCACCUCUCUCACUGAUCUGCACCUUUUUGAUUUCGAAAAAUUGAUAUCUCUGUCUGCGACGGGUUUUCAGAGUCUCACCUCUCUUCAGAGUUUGUGGAUCGGGAAUUGCCCGAAUCUCACAUCAUUUCCAGAGGUGGGCCUUCCAUCCUCACUUUUGGGCUUAGACAUUAGAUAUUGUCCAAAGCUUAAAACAGCGUGCAAAAGAGAUGAAGGAAAAGAGUGGUCCAAAAUUGCUCACAUCCCUCACGUUGAGAUAGACGGUAAAUUCAUAUACGAUCCAGAAGCAGAGGAGUAGGUUCUACUAUUAAGGUCAGUUGAUUUGUAUUAUCCGCUAUAACAAGCUCCUCCUUUUUUAUUUUUUUUAAAAAUAAUAAUUUUGCAGUCACUCACGUGAUUCCGUUUUCACAAGUCAGAUUGUAUGUUGAGGCUAUUUGCCUUUUAAUCGCAGAUUAAAUUAUAACACUUAUCUUAAAAUUUAAUACCAUACACAGAUAGACGAUUUUUUAAUCCAAAGUUUUUUUUAUUCACUUCAGUUAGCAUUUUUUUUUUCCCCAAAUCAUGCAAGCCGAGAGUUUCAAUCAAGAAUUGGAGGAUGUGAAUGGGAUUUUUGUGAAAGAGUAACAUAAUGGAUGAACGAACAUUUCAUAUGUGAUCUCAAAGUCAACAGAAUUUUAUUCACUCGUUGACUUUUCAACUGCUGUGGUUAUUUAUGGGUGAAAGAUAAGGGCAAUUACAAAAAAUUUGCAAAAUUUGUCAAUUUCUUAGAUGGUAGAAAUUGGAGUAUAAUAUUUUGGAGCAAGCAUACUUGAAAUUUCUGUCUUCAAUAUUUUGAUGCUUUCUUAUCCCAUGCACAAAAGUACUAGAAAAAACUAAUAACAACUAACCGAAAAUCCCAGGCGUCAUAUUCCUUUUUACCGCGUUUUAAAAUGCACAACAAUGAUAUUCUUACAAAUUUGCAAAAUUUGUCAAUUUCUUAGAUUUCAGAUAUUUUAAUGCUUUUUUUAAUUUUUGAUCUAGUAAAAAUACAUAGCCUUCACCGGCAGGAUUCUAGUCUUGGCUUUCACCUCUCUAACUCAUCUGUUCCCAUUGGGAUUCCAGAAGCUAGAAAAAUGUGUAGUUUUCAGAUAAGGAGGCUUGUCAGUUCUCUAGUAAGAAUCCAAUGAUUUGCUUUUGAACGUCCAUCUAAUUUGUGGAUCCUUGCAUCAGAAUUUGAUCAAUCCAAAAGGAAUUGCUUUUAGACAGAAGAAGAAUAGCAGCACCUAGCCUACCCGCAAACCUGAAACUAUUAGAUUGAGGUAAAAAAAUCAUUGACCCUCACAUGUUAACUUCUUCUAGUUACUUUCGUUGGGAAAAAAAAAAACAUUUAAGGAAUUUGCAAUUUGUUGUUAGUUAUGGUAUCUGAUGUUCUUUUCUGCUUUAGCAUUUGUAGAAUCUACUGUAUUAUGUGUUGGCAGUUGCCGUAUCUGAGGUAACUUGCCUUUAUUUGUUUGCUUCUGACUUAAGGACACCAACAUUUGCCAGAGAUUUAGAGAAUCAUCUCAAAACACUUAGCAAACUUGACAAACUUCAAGAUGCACUUGCCCCCACGCCUUAUUCUCAACAACGCAAAACUUGUGAGUACACCUAUGCCUGCAAUUAUUGUGAAGUGUUCGCAAUUCUGAUGCAGAGAAAUGGUUUCUUGAUGCAAAGUAUUAAACUGUUAAGAUUUAUCCUGCAGGCUUGUUAGAUGCUGGAUACGCGAAAAGCCAACAACAUCAAGAACUGCAACUCCAAGACCAGCUUUGCGUUAAUUCAGUCAGCUGUAAUAAUGAUGCAAAUGACACUAUAUCAAGCUGGACUUAGAGACUAGUCAGAUAAAUCAUCCAUUUCAUCAACGGUUAAUGUCAUGAUGGUGGCUAUCAGAGGAAACAAAAGAUGUGUCGGAAUCUAUACAAACAUUGAGAAGCAUGAGAGGAGCUUUGAUUUUGAGUAGGGUCAAUGAACUCAUAUUGGUAAGUGGUAAUUAAAGAAACUUUGUAAGCUUAGUAGAGUUUCAGUAUUUUCUGUUUGGAGUAUAGUUGAUAAGUUGACUCUGUUUAAGAAGCCCGAUUAUAGUAGCUGACUGUAUUAACCUUUUUUUUUUUUUUUUUGGGUCUGCUGUUGUUUUUGGUUUCGAUUAUUUUUUCAACAUUGGGUUGAUCUGUUGAAGAACAAGCUUGGGUUUGAUUAUGCUUUAACUACAAGGAAGAGCCAGACUUGGAUGCAGGCGUUAAGCUUUUAAUGGGUAAGAACAAAUGAAUGCUUUAACUAUGUUUCUCACUUAUUAAAAUGCACGGAUUGAAGGCAUCUGGGUUGAUCCUGACAAUGUGAUGGAAAUACUUCUCUGUUUUCAUAUAACAGGACAAAUAGAGAUCUCUGAUCAUGCCUGAAUUUUUGUUGCAUUGAAAUUUCUACCAUUAUCAAACAUAGAAUGAACUAGGGAUACAUUAGCUUAAGACUAAAUUUUGAGAAGGAAGUUUGUACUUGCAGCCUAUAAAAUCAUGUCCAUGUUGUACGUUUCUUUGGGAAAUGAAAGAUUCUGUGUGUUCUUUUAUUUCAAGUUCACUGAAAUCACAUUUGUUUUCUCAGCUGCUUUCCAGAAGGUAACAACAUCAAUUUCAAAAAUGCUGGGGCAAGAUGUAUCAUGCAGUGCGACUCAACUUGAGAAUUCCUGGCCACAUUACCCGUAUGUCUAAUGAUCGCACAGUACAACCUUGAGAAGCUUGUAAUGAGUACACAACUGGGUGCAAGUAGUUUUGAAAUGAAUUUGCCUCAAAUGAUUUCUUGCCGGUGAUUAAUAUAACCUCUAUUCCAAAAUUCUUGGAACUGGUCAUACUAGCAAUGAAGGAUUGCAUACAUUGAAGACAUAGCUGAAGGCCUUGCGAGAGCUCUGUCAGCCCUUGUACCGGAAAACAGCUGGUCGUAGUCGCUUGUGAAUGAUAUGAUUAAUAGAUACUGCAAAAAUGAAUUGUGCCAUACAUUUUCAGCGCUCUGUGAAGAUGUCUUGGUCAUUUGUUUGAUGCUUGUUUGAUUUAUGUUGUAUUCAGCCAUAAAUCAGAGAUUCAGAACUUGGGUAUGUUUCUGGUUUCCAAAUCAAAAAAUUGCCUUGUGAUGUUAGUGUUCACUGUUUUCACAGGAGAUCAGGUUCCUUGUUAAUGAAUCAAGAAGAAGGCAAGCGCAUCCAUGUCCAAGUUCAAAUGUGUCUCCUCUAUUUUCUAUUACCCACUCAUUUAUUUUGAUUUCUUCAUUGUAAUUGAAUUAGUUUUUUAUUCCAAAUUAGUCAAAACCUCGUAGAGUCAUUAAGUUCUUUUAGCAUUUAAAGACAGAACUACGAACCAAAUGAUUUAAGUUCUUCGUUGUAAUUGAAUUUGCUUUCCCAUCUUUAAAGAUAUUAUGUUCUUUUUCACUUUUUCGAUUUGGUUAGUGGUGAUUUCUUAAAGACUCAAUCCAUUUGCGUUAAUACAUUUUUCUUUUGCCUUGAUUUCUGUUUCUUGGGGAGUUUAUACAUAUUCUUAUUUUAUGCUACACAUGCCAUAUACAGAUUCUUAUUUUAUGCUUCACAUGCCACAUGAAAGGUCAAAGCCUUGUGUGUGAUUAGAAUUUACUGGCAUCAUAGUAACUUUAAACCAUUGUGACGUUUUAGUAAUAACAGUCUGAGCUCUCCCUGAAGGAUUCAAAGCAUUUUAUUUUAUAUUAUACUCCUUUAUAUGGUUUGGCUGGUCUCUUUUAAGGCAAUUCCUGUUUAAAGUAAUCAAAAUUUUGAUUUCGAAGUGUCUUUCAACACUACCGCUAGUUCUUUAAGAAAAGUAAAUCGAUUUUGAGUCUUCUGUAUCAUCUGAUUGAAAUACAUGAAAGCACUCUUAGCUGCAAAAGUACACUUGGAGUUAUAAUAGCAUUCUGAAAUCUCCUUGAAGGAUUCAAAAGCUCUUUAUUUGCUAGUCUUUGCUUGCAAUAAACUCCUUUAAUAUACAUUGGUUGAUCUUCUUUAAAGCAAUUACCAUAAGUUCUUUAAAUAAUAAAACGAUUUUGAGUCUUCUGUAUCAUCUUGUUGAAAUACAUGAAAGCACUCUUGGCUGCAAAAAUGCACUUGGGGUUAUAUAUAAAGUCUUCAACAGAAUUUUAUUUCCCCCUUUAUCCUCAUGGUGGUUUUUUUAGUUGUUUUUUAAGAAAUCGCUUGAAGGUUCUCUUUAAAAAUAAUUUUAACAUAAGCAUUCUUUAGAAGCACUUUAGAUGUCUGGCAUUUAGAAAAUUUUGUUCCUGUGUUCACAUAAUAUAAUAUAUAUAUAGAAAGCUGACUGUAGAAUAGAGGAGAACGAGUUGGUGUUGGUCUGAACUCUGAUCUUUGAACCUCAUGUGACUCCACUACUUUUUACUUGUUCUGUACAAGGUCUUUUAGCUUUUCAAAAAGUUUUAGCUUUAUGGAUAAAAUACUGUUAAUUGUAAUCUAUAAAUAAUGAAAGGAAUUAAUAAAAUAUUAGGUAAAUUUUAUUUUCUAAAGUGUUAUGAGUUCUAAAACGGCUGUAUGUAUAUAAAUUUAUUUACACAUAUAUUUAUAAAUAUGAUUAUAUAAUAAUAUUUUAUGUGUACAUAUCAUAAUUGAUAACUAAAAUAAAUAUUUUUAUUUUAUUAAUGGUUUUUUCGUCUCAAUGUAGUUGGUAAUAAUAAUCUCUUUAGAUGUAACGAUUUUAUUUCCUAACUGAAUAAGGAAAAUUUUAGAUUUUUAUAAUAAAUGUUAAAUAUAUUUAGAAUUACAUUAAGUAUGAAAUAAUCCUCAAAAUUAGAUUUUGAAAAGUUAUUCUUUUCUUGCUUUUAAAAAUAUGUCAUAUGAUGAGAUGAUUUUACUAAAAGUGAUUUUUUUAAAAAAAAUUACUAAACAUCAAAAUUAACUCUUAACUUUUUAAAAUCAUUUCUAAUCUUCUCAUCCUAAGUUCUUUAUUGUUUUGUACAAAAUCCAAGGUUUUGACUUUUAUAAAAUGCCCACUCAAAAAUAAAUUAUUUUCUAAUUAAGAUUUGUUGUUAAUGUAUAACUCGAAGUAAUAUUAGAUAUUUGUAAUUUUAUUUCAAAAAUUUUAUUCAAAUGAUAUGGCAAGCAAUGAACAAUAGUUGAUAGCAAUUUGUUUUUUUUUUUAACAAUGUUCAAAUCAAUCAGUUGCAUUAUCUCACCAUUUUUAUGAUGUCAUGUUAUUUUAAAUGAUUUUUUUAAUUUUUAUAUAAAGCAUACGACGUGUUAACAUCAUUUGCAUAACUUGACCUUUUUUUUUUCCUACAAAUAGUAAGUCAAAUUUACUCACCCUAUUUGUACCUAAAAUCUACCUAAAACUCAUGCAUCACUGUAAAGCAAAUCCAAAGAUUGCGGUACGUUUUUCUUGGUAAGAAAUCAAUAAUUAGGUCAAGUACCGCUACUAAGCGUGCUCAAUUAAUUCUAAAAUACGGUGAUCAAACUCAUACUUCACGCAAGAGGAUAAGGGCUAAACCUCAAUUAGGCAUUAUUCAUCCAAAAUUCAUUGACUGGGCAUUCUUUGCAAGUGGUAGCAUGGGACAGCUAAGAUAAUUAGCAAAUGAUAUGGACCAUACGCACCCGUAUGUUUGUGACAUGUGAAUCUUGGCAUUAAAGGAAAGGUAAUGUGUUAAAAUUUAAUAGAGCCCAACUCUUCAUUGAAUGAUUAUCAGAUCCAACGAGCAUCCUUUGAUGGGAUUAUUUUAAGUCAAUUAUUGGUGGAUUGGGGCCCACUUGACUCUACCAAAUCGGGCUCCACCAUAUCACCUAUUAACGACCACCUGUCCUUAUCAUAAAUAGCAAAUGUCACUUGUUUUAUUUUGUAUUUUACCAAAAGCAAAGUCACUACGAGCACUAAUGAAAGUGACCCCAAUUUUGGGGGUCAUGAACUUGGGAUUAUUAUGGACACAAGAGACAAGCGCAAUGUUUCUCAUUUCUCACUAGAUAAGAUUUAAGUUAUCAACCCAAUAUUAAUAAAUUCUGCUUGAAAAGUAAAGUUUGAAGCUUCAUUUUGCGAAUAUUCAAUGGUUAACAUUUAAGGGUGCGUUUGGGAUUGAGGUUGGGCAGCUGUAGCUUAAAAGCUACAGUACUAAAGUGUUUGGUAAACACUAGCUACUGUAGCUUUUAAGCUAUGUUGAUAUAAUUUUUCACUUGUAUAAUAUAAAAUUUAUUAUAUCUUUAAUAAUUUUGAUAAAAUUAUUAUUUAAAAUUUAUAUUUACUAUAUAUUAUUAACUUUUAUUUCAUAAUUACAGCUUUUUUUUCACAGCAGCUGUAGCUUAAAAGCUACAGCACCUCAAUCCCAAACACACCCUAAGUAAUUAACCUGAUAUUAAUCCAAUUAAACUUUUUAUGUAAUCCAAGUCAAACAUAUAUUGAUAAACCUAAAUUAAUCUAAUUGGACAUAUUAUUUCAACUUGAAAAGGUGAAUCUAUCAUUUUUCAAUUAAUUUUGAAUCAAGCUAUGUAAAAUAUAAGCUUAUUAAGGACAUAUUUGAAAAAUUCAAAUUGAAUUAUUUGACAAUUACAUUUCAACUAAGUUGUACUGCUAAUUAACUUCCUCAACUUAAAAUGUAUUUUUCUCAAUUAAUUCGUAACAAAGAAUGUUAGAUGUUUUGUUCGAAUAAUAACAUUCAACAUCCUUAUUCUUUAUGAUUAUUGCAUAAAAAAUAUAUUUUAUCCAUUUACGUCACAUAUGUUCCUAAAUUGUAUAAGAAAAUCACUAAAUUUACUCUUGUAAGUUACUAUAUCAAUGAACAUGAAAUUAACUAAUCAUUAAAGUCUCGGAAUGACAUCAUGAGGGGGAUUCAGUUACAUUUAUUGAUAGGAUUAUAUAUAUACCUUCUCAAAUAUUAGUAAGAGCAAUUAAACAGAUGCAGCAAUUAAAAAUAUGGAAUUACUUAUCUCGUCAAUAACUAACGAUAUUUUUUAUCUAUGCUCGAUAGGCGUCUGAGCUAUAUUAUAAAUUGUAAUAUUUGUAGAUUGUAACAAUUAUUAAAAAAAAAAAAAAAAGCUCCCUAAGACUAAAUGACAAAAGGACUGUUUUGAAAUAGAUAGAUAAAAUAUGCCCUUAUUUGAGAAAAGGUAAAACACUAGGGAUCUAAAUGUUAUUAUAAUCCCAUGCACAAAAAUACCAGAAAAAACUAAUAACAACUAACCGAAAAUCCCAGGCGUCAUAUUCCUUUUUACCGCGUUUUAAAAUGCAACAAUGAUAUCACUACUACAAAAAUGACAUUUACUGACACUUUGUUUCUGACACUUAGUAAAAAGUGUCAGAAAUGGUGUACAUUUGGACCAUUUUCCUCCUUUAACAAGUAUGUAUCAUAAAUCAUUGAUACUAAGGUGUCAGUAGCUUAAAACUCAGUGAUUAUUGAUACUAAAGCAUCAGUGAUAAAAAAAUAAUAGUAUUAAUUUUGUUUUAAUUUGAACUCGAACUCAAGAUCUCUAAACUUAAAAUUUGUAAGUUUAGAGUGCAAACCAUUGAUGCAAGUGUUUUUAAAUUUUCAAUUUGAUUAAUUUUUUUAUUUAAUUAAAUUUUAUACAAUUACUUUGUGGACAAUAAUAAUAAUAAUAAUAGUUUUGAGAAUAAUAUUUUUUAUUUUGCCACAUGUCAGCUUGUAAUUCGUUGUUAAUAAUAAUAAUUUUACUUGACCACGUGUCGACUUAUAGUUUGUUGUUUUAUUAAAUUACAAUGCGAACAACUACACUAUAUAAUUUUUCAAAGUAUAAAAUGAAAAUAAGAAACCCUAAAUCUAACCUAAUCAAACACACCACUUCUUAAGUUGCUGCCGCCGCUCCCCUGCUCCUUGACUUUCACUGCUGCCGGCCGCUGCUCCUCGACUUUCACUGCUGUCGGCUGUCGUUCCUUGACGUCACUGCCGCCUUUGCUCUGCUGUUGCCAAGCUUCAGCCACCGACGACUAGCUAGCCACCUUUCAGUACGUCGCUGCUACCACUUUUAUGCCGUCACAUCAACUUCAGCUCAGCCAGCCACCGUUCCUUUACCGCCGAGAUCAAGAACCAUUUCUUUCUCUUCUCUCUUUUGGUACAGGUAUGAAAAUAUUGCAGAGGAGUUAAUCUGUUAAUUACCUUUCUGUACGUCGCUGCUGUCAUUCGUGUACGUCAUUGCUGCUACUCAUCUUGGUCACUGCUGCCGCUCCUCUGCCGCCACGACAAGCUUCAGCCUUUUUGACAAAACAUUUCACUUGGAAUUAUAAGCAAACCCUUUUGAGACCAUAAAAAACUAAGCCAAUUUCUUUGGUUUCAAGGCCUUGUUUUUUCACUUUGAAAUCGGAUCAUACAAUGACAAGCCAAUUGAAAACUUCUGUUCAAGAUUUCAUUGUUAAAUUCAGCUUUAUUUUUAUUAUUUGUGUUCCUUUCAUUUUCUUUCCCUUUUUUUGAUUUUUAAUUCAAUUUGGGAUUUGACAGAUAUAUUUUUUAAUUUUUAUAAAAAUUUAUCUUAUUUGCAGGAUGCUAAGGGACAGGAUGUUGAUCUUAGCAUCUACAAGGGAAAGGUUCUUUUGAUUGUCAAUCUUGCAUCACAAUGGUGUGCCUCAGCUCCUUUCAUUUUUAAUUUUUUUUCCAUAAUGAUUUAUUGAUUAUUGUUGAUGCUUCCAUUUAAUUAAUGCUAAUACGUGUUAUCUAUCUAUCGGGAGUCUAAAUUUUAUAGAAUUAUAUCAUACUCGGAAGUAUGCAUGCUCCCAAUACAAAUAAGUGUUUAUAAGAGAGGAUUUCACCCAAAAUCUUUAAUUCUUGCAAAAUGCUAGUGGCUCCGUUUGCACAAGUUUAGUUUUCAUCCAUGUUCGUUCCUUUACCAUAGCGGUUCCUUUACCACUGAGGUCAGACACCAUUUCUUUCUCUUCUCUGUUUUGGCACAGGUAUGAAAAUACUACAGAGAAGUUUCUCUAUUAAUUACCUUUUAUGAAAAUAAUAUAUAUAUAUUAUUCACAUGUUUAAUUGAGAACAUCUAAUAAUAUAGUAAUAAUAUAGUGGGCAAACUAUAGGAAGGUUGUUAGUAGACAAUUCUAAUUUUAGCUUUACUUUGCAAAUGAAAGAUUAGAAAUAUUCCGUCGAACCCAUUUUACUAUAUUGGAGGUUUGGGCUAAUCUUGUAUAGAUUUUUGCUCAGAAGAAGGAUGGUUCUCCAAGGGCGGUGGGUUGGUUUUUCUAUAGACUAUUCCCCUAUUUUCCCAUUUUGCUUUUCUUUGAGGAAACCUGGUCCAUUUUUUUUGUGUUUUCUUUCUUCAAUCAAAUAUGUAUUUCUCAAUCUCCUCUCAAAAAAUACCUAUCUCAUUUUAUUAUAUGUUUAUGAAUUACUAAUUGUAUUUUGUUAGUAUUCCAUGUUCGAAGAAGAAUAUUAGAUUGAAGAAAGAAGAAUAUUAGAUUGAAGAAAGAAGAAGUUGUUCCUUUGCUAAUCGUUUGAAACCCAGGUUUGCACUGAAUCUGAUUUUUAUCUUUAACUUUUUUACUUGACCCAUACUUGAAUCAAAUUUUUGCUCCACUUUCCUUUCUUUCGUCAAUUUAAUUAUCAAUCCACUUCAAACCUAAAAAGAUUUAGUAAUUGGGAAACCCUUUUUUUUUUAAAGAAUUGCAAAGUACUGUAAUUGGAAACUGGGUUCAUGUCUUAAAAAGUAACCUGAUUUGUAAUGUUUGGCUUAUAGUGGCCUUCUAUUUCUGUUUUUCAUCUCGGCUUGGUUAAUUUCUUUACUAGUCGUUUAAAUUUUGUUAAUUUUUAUUUUUCCUCUUUAAGCUCAUUAAAUAUCUUUUUUUUUUCAAUUUAUGGCUUUCGGUCCAACUGAUCAUCGUUGAAUGUGGGCACUAUAAAUGUUAUAGUGCUUGUUAACUUAAUGUAUUUGAUCAUAUAUUAUAGUAUUGUUUACUUUAAAUUUAGACAAUGAAAUAGAUUACAAAAAAAAUAACUUAUGCUUGUCAAGUUGUAGACACCAUCGUUCAUGUCAUCAUUACUGAAUAUUGAUGUACUUAUUAAGUGUUCUCUUUAAUACUUGAUAGAAUACUUUUGGUGAAGCAAUUUUGGUAUCAUGAUUGCAGGCUGUAAUUAACUUGGGAACGUGUAGAUUCUACAAUUUCUUUUUCUGAUUCCUUAACUUGCUUCUUUUAAUCCUACUCUUCUAUGUUGAAGUAAUUUAUGAAUAUUUUUGCUUCAAAAUAACUAAGAUAUAUUUUUCACAGUAUACUAAUUGAUUUUAUGCAUUUGUAGGUGGGAAAAAAAUGAAGCCGUGGAUGGAUAUUGAGUGACCUUGUGCUUUUUUUUUUUUUUUUUUGGGUUGGAAACUUAAUUGAGUAGUAGUUAGCACUUGUUGUUUAGAGAUUGUUGAAAAUUUAAUUUGAUACUUAUGUUAAGUCUUUUACAUAUAGUGAUGUAGUUGAAUUGUGUGAAUUUAUGUGAUGUAUUUGAGAUGUUUAUUAUAUGAAUUGUGUUGCAAGAUAUUUAAUAAUAAAUAUAUUUCGUGUUUUCUUUUGGUUGUACAACAAACACGAAAAAUAUAAUUAAAAUAAAAAUAUACUAUUAACCAAAAGCAGUAUAACAUUACUAAAUACUGACACUACAUAUUUAAAAUAACAAUAAGAAUUUUUUAUAUUAUCGAGUCAGUUUCUGAUACUAUAGUCACAUAAAUUACUGACAUGUAAAUAGUAUCAUUAAAUACCAACAUCAUCGUGUCAUUAUUUUAGUGAUACUAUAGUGAAACAAAUUACUGACACAAAAAUUACUGACACCAAAAAUUAGUGUCAGUGUGUUCUGGCUUGAGCAACACUGACACAAUUAACAAGUGUCAAUAAAAGUAAUUACUGACGCUAAAUUAGUGUCAGUAAAACUCAUUUUUCUAGUAGUGUAUUCUCACAAAAGUUGGUACAAAGGUUUGUACAACCAGGGCCUCUUUGUAAAUUAUUUCAAAGUUUUGUGUUAUUUUUUAAAUUUAUGAAUUUUGUUAAUUUUGAUUGAUUGGAGCAUUUCUCCUUCCAUCUCUUCUACAUCUAUCUUUAAAUUUCUUUAAAAUUUUGACUAUAUCUUUAUAGAGUUCUAAAUGAUUAUCUUUUUCAUAAAAAUCUAUACUUAAAUUAAUCCCUGAAUUUAUAAUCAUUUGUCUUCUUUGAGUCAUAGACCAAAUUUUUUCUUCUAACAUAUCUAUAUAUACUCCUAAGCUAUCUUUGCAGCUUAGAUACAUUCUAUCAAAGCUUUCGCAUAUAAAUUGUAAUUUGAGAUCUGCAUCUUGAAUCAACAUGUCUAUAUUAUCCAUUGUUUUACGCUCGAUUUUGAGUUCUAUUAUUAGUCUUGCACAUGUCUUGGAUUAUUUCGAGGGUAGUUAAAAUUGAUUCUAUUAAUGCUAUCCUGUUUUCUUCUUCAAAAGAAUCAAAUAUUUCUGAAUCAUUAAUUUCUUUUAUUUCUUCAUACAAGCGUUUGUUUGUCGCUAAUCUUGUUUUAAUCAAGGAAACUGUAUAAGCAGCUUGAUAUUCUUGACAAAAGUCUAAAUGAUCUAUUGCAUCUAGAAAUUUAUUAAUAGAUCUUUCCAUUUUUAAGAAAUUGAGUUACUCUUAUCACUUCCAAUCUUUUAACAUCUCAGAAAACAAACAAGGCCCAACAUGCUUCCGUUUGUAGCUAAAAUAAAAGAAGAGUUCAUAUCACUAACCAGUGUAAUAUCUCUCGGAAUUCUGAGAUAGACUCACUAAUUGCCUCUAACCAUAGAGAGGUCCAUGGUUAGCACCACUAUAGCUCCACAUAUCAUACAAAAUCACUUCAACGACUGUUCCAUAUGGCCCAAAGCAACACACAGCAGACUGGCCUAAUAGGAUAUGUUUAAGUGAUUUUCUUGCAGUUGUCUCUGGAAGAGUGCUUAGUAAUAGAAAAUCUUCUUCGUUUAGUACAAGUAUUGGCAUGUAAGGUUCUUGGUUAAUUUUUAAAAGAUGUAUAAGAUAUCUAGAAGAUGAUAAUUUCACUCAAAAGAGUUUUAUUUAUUCCAUCAUUGAAAUUGUUUACAGAGGAAGGUUACAGAGAAUACAGAGGUAAUUGAAGGUUAGACAUCUGAUAUAUUUCCUUUCUUACAUGCUUUCAUUUAUAUAUCUCUCUAGAGAUAAGAUUAUUUCUUUUACAUAACACAUGUUCGAUCCUUGUGGUGGAAUCUCAAUUUCCUUUUGAUAAGGUGACCCCUUCUUUAUCAUUGAAGCUAGUAGUUGUCUUCUUUUCAUGUUGGCAGACAUGAAAUAUCUGGUUCUGGUGAGCUUUUUCUUUUUUGGAAUCUGUCUUUUUGAAUUAUUGAUACUUUUUGGAUAGCACCUUUUAUCUUUUUCAGUGGUCCUCGUCACGUGCCAAUUAUCAGAUCUUCAUCUAUAGACAUGUCUUCCCCACUAGAAUCUCUUUUUUUGAUCCUUCGUAGUAGUAGCCACAUGAUGAUUGAUGCUUUAGCACCUUAUAUAUCUCGUGGUGUGUUAGCAAGGUGGAUUCCACGAGAUUUUCGAAUAUGCCCUUUUUCUUUUCUAAUAUGUUAUCCUCAUCUUUAUCAAAUUCACAUUUACAAUAUAAUUCUUUGAAGCUACAUGUAUAUUCUUCUAAAUAACAUAUAUUACAUAUUUCAAGCCUUGUUAGCUUCAUUAAAUUUUCUAUCUGUUUUCUUUUUAUUUCUUGUUGAAAAUCAAUUUCCUAAUCUUCUCCCAAGAAUUUUUUUCUUAUUUCAUUUUUGAAUCUAUUUAAAACCUGAUCAACACUUUCGUUUCGAUUAUUAUUUUCUCCAUACAAUAUUCUAUUUUUAUGGUUAUCAUUUAAUCCCAUAAACCAAUGAGAAACAAUUCCUAUAAACGAAAUUUUAAGGAAUUCUAUACUAUUAUCCCUAUCAAUUUUGUGAAAUGCAAAAGCCAUUUUCAUAGAUUUAACCCAAGCGGUAAUCGUUUUAUCUCUAUCUUUGAUACAGUCUAAAUCUAACCAUACACCAUCAUGGUUGAUUGGUCUUUCUCUAUAUUCUCCUGGAGUUUUAUAAUCUUUUUUAGGCUUGUUAAUCCUAAAAUAUUGACCUUGUAAUCUUUCCUGAGUUGGUAUUUCUUCCCUAACAUAGGAAGCUCCAUUACUAGUUUCUCCUUGUUAAAAACCAUUUGGCUUUGAUUCAUUCAUUUUUAGAUGUUCUAUUCUAUUUUCAAUAUCCUGCAAAUUAAUGACUAUAUCACCUUCUUCUUCGGAUUCAGAUUCUUUAUUAGAUAUCUCUUGAUUAGGUAAUUCUAUGUUUUCACUUAGCAUUCUUAGACUUAUUAAUUUUUUGUCUUUGUUUAUUUUGUUAAAUAUCGGUUUAGAUAUUGUUAUCAUUUCUUUAUCUUUAAGUUCAUUAUAGUAAAUUAUGGUAUCUUGUAAAAUUUUGUUUUGUUUAUUGAUCUUCUGUACUUCAAUCCUUUUGUAAUUUUCCAUUUAUGCUUAUAGCGAAUUUAUUACCAAGUUGUUCAACAAUUUUUUCAAAUUUUUGUAGUUGGAUUUCAAUCUUGUUUGAAUUUAUUUUCAAUUGAACUUUUGUUCAUAAUAUUAAAGAUUUCUUGUUUUAAUCUAUCUUGAUCUUCAAUAUUAAAGUCUUUUAUUAAUAGCUUAACAAAAUCAAAUUCUUCACUCAUUCGCUCUCCUAUCAUUUUGACUUGUCUUAUAUUUUCAGCAUCAAAGCUUUUAAUCUCAAGUAUCUCAUUUAUACUUUCUAUAUCAUCUAUGGUUAAAUUAGGGUUUCCUAAUUUAUUUAAUAAAUAUAAUGAAAUCCAAUUUAAUUGAUUAUUUCCCCACAUAUCGGAAUCAUUUACUAAAUCAAAUGGUUGAAAUCUUCCAUAAGUAAAUCCUCUAUGCCUAUAGCUAGAAGGUGGUAAUAUGUUGGUUUCAAUAUUUUGAGAAAUUAACAAUGGUUUUGGUAAUUUAUUCAUAGUACCAUCUGCAUAAUAUCUCAUUAUAUUCUAAUAAGUAUUUAUGACAUAUAAUAUUUCUUAUAUCCUUAGGGAUAUUGUUUUAUGUUAAUCCUUUAUGUAUAUAGCAAAGUUUAUACAUAAUUAAAUCUUUAUAUCCUAUUAGCAUGUUGCUAGAAGGAUAAUAUUUACUUCUGAUUCUUUUAUUUUUCCAAUUGUAUUCACCUCGUUGUUUAACAUUUAAAAAUCCGUUGUAAUCUAUUAUAAGAUCAUCUACAUAAUCUUCAAUAGAGUUAAUAUUCCAUUGUUUCCAUGAAAAAUUAUUUCUAUAUACUUCUCUCCUGAUCCUAAAGAGAAGAAUAGGAUCAAUAUUUAAAUUUCUAAUUUUUAUUAUGAUGAGUUCUCCAAUUUUAAAUUCAUGAACUCUAACUAAAUAAAACUGUAUUAAUUGUUUAUCAUCCAAUAUAUUAACUUCUGAAUAAUAAUAUUGUUUAUGUUUUGUUAUAUUAUCUUUAAUUGUAUUUCUAUCUAUCAUUAAAUUAUAUCUUCCAUUAUUAAUGGAAUAAAUAACUGUUUCGUCUAUUUUUAUAUUUUAAACCAAAAACUUGGCUCUAAUACCGUUUUGCAGAAAUCAACUAAACCCAAAAUCCAAAUGAAUUCAAAUAGGGAUGUAUAUGAUUAAUUGUUAAGAUUUUAUCUAAAUUUUGUAAUUAUAAUUUUUCAAAACUCACAGUUUUGUGCAAUCAUUUGUGUAAUCCGUUGUGAGAAUGUCUUUUUCCUUGCAUCUAAGGCAACAAAGUGGAAAACGCGUACCAACGACUCACAUAACAAUAUAACAUCUGUCCCGGAUGGAGCCGGUUGUUCAUGUCAGCAACCUACUUUGAAACGACACGUGGACCGCAAUUUGUUCUUGUUCUCAACGUUGCUAUGAAAGAAAGCAUUUUUUUCCCCUUUUCUUCUUCAUUUUUUAAAGAAAUAUUUUACUAUAUAUUUAAAAAAAAAAAUCGUUGCAAUCUGAAGAUAUUAAAUUGUGGAUCUUGUAUUGUGUGAUAAGUCCGGCAUGCAAUUUUGGGCCAGCAUACCGCGCGCAUGGGAGCAUUCACAAAGAAUCUCUCGUCACUAUCGAAAACUUUUAAUAGUCAAUACAAAUGCUUCCGUUUCAUCCCAUAAACAGAUAAAAUUCACAUCUGUACACAUCUACUUUUCUUUGCUAGAUAGAGUUCCUCUGCAUUUCCCAAUUGCCUAAAGAGAAGGGGAAAAGAAAAAGAGGGCCAAAAAAUGCCUGAAAUGGUAAGGAACAAGCAAGUGAUAUUGAAGGACUAUGUGUCUGGUUUCCCAAAAGAAACAGACAUGUACAUGACCGAAAGUUCCAUAGAAUUGAAGGUGCCAAAAGGUUCAAAUGGGGUUCUUUUAAAGAACUUGUUUGGGAGAAAUACGUCGACGAGACCAGGCAUGGUGAGCAUAUAUCUGAUGGCAGAGUUCUGCGAACCGGUGUGUUCCGUAAAAGCCUGGUGCACGGGGGAACAGGAGCAGAAGUAUCCUGCUCGUCCACGAGCACGUCAUCCGCGAGGCCAAUUUCCUGUAAGAGGCAUAAGGUCAUUCCGGCUAGAGGUCGAGAGGCGAGGAGACCCGGUCGACGGCAGUUGGCAAGACAUGCUCCCCAGCCCGAGAAUCUAGGCACGACAGCCACGCUUUCCCCAGAACCGUGGCGUAACACGCAAGAUCUCACAGAACCACGACAGCCACGCUUUCCCCAGAACCGUGGCGUAACACGCAAGAUCUCACAGAACCACGACAGCCACGCUUUCCCCAGAACCGUGGCGUAACACGCAAGAUCUCACAGAACCACGACAGCCACGCUUUCCCCAGAACCGUGGCGUAACACGCAAGAUCUCACAGAACCACGACAACCACGCUUUCCCCAGAACCGUGGCGUAACACGCAAGAUCUCACAGAACCACGACAGCCACGCUUUCCCCAGAACCGUGGCGUAACACGCAAGAUCCCACGUUUGCCCAUAACGCAGCAGUCAGAGUCCCAUACCGUCUCGGAAAAAGCGGAAAACUGGGAUUCAGGGGAAGCCUAUAAAAAGGUAGCCAACGAAGGUAAAAGGGUUGGCAUUUUUGAGAUUAUAAAAGAAAUGAAAAAAGAAGAGAAAACGACGAGAAAGCCAUAAGAUCUGUGGCAAGUGUCCCCCGAACCUUCAUAUCUGACUUGAGCGUCGGAGGGUUUGCGCCGGGAAAACAACCGGCGUACUCUGACUUGUCUGUGUGCGCAGGAACCUCUGGAGAAGAAGCCUCACGUGGAGACCUCCUGGUCGUGAAGAAGUUGAUCGGACAGAGAUCCUGGUCGUAGAACGAGGAGAACCAGAAUCCCGCAUCAACAUUUUGGCGCCGUCUGUGGGGAGUGGAGCAAAAAGCUUCUGUUGAUAGCAAGAAGAGGGGUGAAGCAAGUGAAAAGCAAUGGAGACAGGAGGAAGUAGUGCACAAGGGGGUGAUAGGAUUAACGAUUCCGUGACGCUGAGGGAGAUAGUCAGUGAAGCACGGGAAAAAGUCAUGUUCGACCGGAUGGAACGGAUAGAAAAGCAGAUGGAGACCUUGACAACCAUCCUGCAUGAGCUGCGGAGCGAGCGAAGUAUAAUCCAAGAGGGAAGGGUGAGAGGCGGUGGAGUGGCACCAGGUCCCGAUAGUGCGGGGAGAAGUCAAACCACCGGGAGAUUUGGUGGUGAGAGAGGUAACGUACCUCUGCGGGGAGAAUUUCAUAGAGAAAGAGAGCAGUCCCCGGCAAGACAGACUGGCGACGAGGACGACGGGGUGGUGAAUGCAGAGGAAACAGAGUUGAGGCAACACUUGCAUGAUGUAGAGCAAGAGCGGGAUUAAGUCGCAGCACGUGACCCUGGUCGUGCAGUGCAGCUGGAGGAGGAAGUGCGCAGACUAGCGCAGAUAAUCGACGACAUGCAAGGAAGGAACAGAGCCCCUGGUUGGAGGAUAAUGCUGGAUGGAGAAUCACCGCUCGCAGCAGAGAUCAUGAGGGCAGUUAUUCCGAGAGAUUUCCGCCUCCCAGACCUCAGAUACUCGGGAAGAACUGAUCCGUUGGUGCACAUAGAGCGCUUCAACGACAUAACUAGGGUACAAGGAUUAUCUCAAUCCCAAAGGUGCAGAGUGUUCCCACUAUCCCUUGAGGGACGUGCACGAGAAUGGUACAGGAAACUUCCUCGGGGCAGCAUUAAAACCUUCGAGCAGAUGUGCUAGGAAUUCGCGGAGCAGUUUAGUGGGGCAAUGGCGCCGGAAGAUGACAUGAUGGAGCUGAAAAGCAUGAAACAGGGGGAGCAAGAAACCCUUCGGGAAUUCAUCAAGAGGUUUCAUCGGGCUGUCCUCGACUUGGGAGCCUUCAACCACCCUCAGGCGUUAAGGGGAUUGAAAGAAGGGGUGAAGAUAGGAAGGCUGUGGUACAAUUUGAGAAGCCCAGCUAUUCAAACGUAUGCAGCCGCAUACGAACAGGCUAAGAGAGACAUCGAGAUUGAAGAGGAGAAGGCUGCACGGAUUAAGACAGACCAGUUAGAAGGGCUGGGGAGGAAAGAGAAGAAAGCAUUACCGGGGAAUGGGCCGAUCAGGAGGAGGGACCACCAGGCCUCCGGUAGUGGAGCAGGAGGUCGGGUAGCCGCUUACCAGCCUCAUCAAAGGCCACCACAGUAUCAGCGCAGCAGGGCGCAACCUCCUCGUUCCCCAGCUAGGGAGCCUUGGAAAAGGCAUGAGUCGGCAUCUGGUGGUCUCCAACAACACCCCCACGGUAUCAGAGCGAGCAGACCAGAAGUACUUCCACCGCCCCCAACUCAGAGCGGGGCAAACAGGGAAAGAGCAGUGCACCUGAUCGACCAGAACCCGGACUAUGGGCGGUACACUUCCUUGAAGAUGUCCCUGGAUGAGGUGUACGAGGCCAUAAAGGAUCGAGGGCUGCUACACCUCCCUACACCAAUAACAAAGCUACCUAACAGGAGGGAUAGAGGACGUUAUUGUAAGUUCCAUGGCACCCAUGGCCAUACCACAGCAGAGUGUAGAGAUCUCAAGACCCAGGUCGAAGAUUUGGUGAGAAAUCGGUACCUGGACGAGUUUAUGGAUGGGACUUUCCCGAUGGGGGCCACAACAGGUGAAGGGGAGCAGAGUGGCGGAAACGUGAGGCGCGAGCAGCCCGCAGUAAGGGUGAUAGCUGGGGGCCCGACAUUGGCCGGAGAUUCCAACAGAUCGAGAAAAAAUUAUGCUAGGUACGCCAUGACCAGUAAAGAGGUACUCCUCAACACCCCAGCAGCCAAACGAGCAAGGGUCAGGCAAGUGCCAAUCAUGUGGACGGAUGAGGAUGAGGAAGGGAUUCUAUACCCCCAUGAGGAUGCUUUAGUCAUCAAGGCUACUGUCGCUAGCAAGAAGUUUGACCGGAUACUGAUUGAUACAGGGAGCUCAGUUGAUGUGUUAUUUAAGUCAACCCUGGAAGAGAUGGGAAUAGCCGACCGGAAGUUGGAAUAUACCAAUACCUCCUUGAAGGGGUUCGGAGGAGGGAAGCUGGUCCCUCUGGGCGUGGUCGAGCUGCCUAUCACAAUUGGGAGCUCCCCGACAGAAAGAACAAUGAUACUGGACUUUGUCGUAGUGGAUGAGGAAGGUCCUUACCAGAUGAUCCUAGGUCGGCCAUUUUUAAGGAUGAGCAAAGCGGUGUUGUCCAAUCAUUAUCUGGCUCUGAAGUACCGGGUGAACGGGGUAGUAGGAGUGGUACGAGGAGACCAGAGGAUCGCAAGAAGCUGCUACUCCUCGGCAGCAAGGGAAGCAAUGCAGAUAACAUCCCUCGAUACCCGAGUGGAAAACAAGAAGGGCAGACAAGAACCUGUAGAGGAUCUGGAAACAGUAAGCCUGGGACCAGAGAACCCGGGAAAGAUGAUCAGAAUCGGGUCGAGACUUAAGGGAGAGCAAAAGCAGGAGUUGGUGAAAUGCUUACAGGCUCAUGCUGAUGUGUUUGCUUGGACACAUGAAGACAUGCCAGGGAUUGACCCUGAGGUAGCAUGUCAUAAGCUGGCAAUAAAGAAAGGUGCUCGGGCAGUAAGGCAGAAGAGGAGGUGUUUCAACCAGGAGAGGUAUGAGGCUAUAAAUGGCGAGGUGGAGAAGCUCUUGAGAGCAGGGUUCAUUCGGGAAGUCAGUUACCCUGAGUGGAUAUCGAAUGUGGUGUUGGUAAAGAAGGCAAACGGCAAGUGGAGGAUGUGUGUGGAUUUCACAGACCUCAAUAAGGCGUGCCCAAAAGACAGCUUCCCUUUACCAAAGAUCGAUCAGCUAGUAGAUUCAACGGCUGGACAUGGUCUGCUUAGCUUCAUGGACGCGUUCUCGGGAUACAACCAGAUCCCCAUGUACGAGCAGGAUGAGGAGAGCACGGCUUUCAUCACUAACCAAGGUUUGUUCUGUUACAGGGUAAUGCCAUUCGGUCUCAAAAAUGCCGGGGCCACCUAUCAAAGGCUGGUGAACAAAGUCUUUAAGCCGUUGAUUGGGAAAACCAUGGAGGUGUACGUGGAUGACAUGAUCACCAAGUCCAAAAUCCCGGAGGAACAUGUCAGACACCUCGAGGAGACAUUCGAGCUUUUGAGGAAGUAUAAGAUGAAGCUCAACCCGGAGAAGUGUGCUUUUGGGGUCGAGUCGGGGAAAUUCCUUGGAUUCAUGGUGAGCCAUAGGGGGAUUGAAGCAAAUCCCGAGAAAAUCCAGGCGAUUGUGCAAAUGACGUCUCCCCGUAACCUGAAGGAGAUGCAGAGCCUCACGGGGAGGUUGGCGGCGUUGAGCAGAUUCAUAGCCAAGGCUACAGAUAAGUGUCAGCCGUUCUUUCAAGUGAUGAGGAGGGGAAAGAAAACAGAAUGGACCUCAGAAUGCGAGGAAGCCUUCCGGAACUUGAAGCAAUACUUGCAGCAAGCUCCGCUGCUGUCCACACCGAGGGAUGGGGACAAGUUAUAUCUGUAUUUAGCGGUAUCGGCUCGGGCCGUCAGUUCUGUUCUGGUGAGAGAGGAAGAAGGAGUUCAGUAUCCGAUAUAUUACACCAGCAAGGCCCUGCUCGACGCUGAGACCAGAUACCCACCGUUGGAGAAAUGGGCACUUGCCCUUGUGGUUGCUGCUCGGAAGUUGAGGCCAUAUUUUCAAGCAUUCCCGGUCUUGGUAAUAACAAACCAGCCAUUGCGUCAAACUCUGCACAAGCCAGAUGCCUCUGGUCGGCUCGUCAAGUGGGCUGUAGAGCUGAGCGAGUUCGACAUAGACUAUAAGCCCCGCGCAGCGAUAAAAGCCCAGGCAAUGGCCGAUUUCGUAGCUGAAUUCACAGAGCCCGAAGUAUGCUUAGAUCAACAAGAGGCAGAUAUAGGCAAUGACGAAACUCAAGUAUGGCAGAUGUCUGUGGAUGGGUCAUCAGGGGAGCGGGGUUCAGGAGUAGGGAUUGUCUUGGAAGGCCCAGAGGGGGAGGAGAUCUCUUAUGCUGUAAAAUUGGAAUUUGCAGCCACGAAUAACCAGGCAGAGUAUGAAGCCUUGAUAGCAGGUCUGGAAUUGGCUAAGGCCGUGAAAGCAAACAAAGUUAAGAUCAGAACUGAUUCCCAGCUGGUAGCGAAUCAUGUCAGUGAAAGAUUCCAACCAAGAGAGGAGAAGAUGGGGCAGUACCUGAAGAUAGUCAAGCAGAUGAUGGGGAAGUUCGAAGCAGUGGAGGUGAUACAGAUCCCCAGGGAGCAGAAUAGUCGAGCAGACAUUUUGGCUAGGAUGGCAGCAGUAGCCGACCCAAAAAUGCCAAAGUCGGUCCCUCUGGAGGUGAAGUCCGGCCCAAGUAUCGAUCAGAAUUUGGGGGUGAUGCGGAUAGAACAAAAAUGCUCGUGGAGGGACCCGAUAGUUUCAUACCUUAGAGACGGGGUAUUACCACCAGAUAAGAUGCGAGCUCGCAAGCUUAGAGCCCAGGCCUCGAGAUACACGAUGAUUGAUGGGGUACUGUAUCGGCGAGGAUAUACACUACCGUUCCUUCGGUGUUUGGAUGAGGACGACGCGGAUUACGUACUAAGAGAAGUACACGAAGGAAUUUGCGGAAAUCAUUCUGGCGGGAGGUCCCUGGCCCAUAAGGUUCUAAGGCAGGGAUAUUUCUGGCCGACAAUGCACCAGGAUGCGCAAGAGAAGACCAGGAGUUGUGUAAGUUGCCAGAGUUUUGCAAAUUUCUCUAACCAACCACCAGAGAAGCUUACCUCCAUGACCUCCCCCUGGCCAUUUGCUCAAUGGGGAAUUGAUCUGAUCGGCCCAUUGCCAAAGGCACGGGGAGCAGCAACACAUGCAAUAGUUGCUAUAGAUUACUUCACGAAGUGGAUAGAGGUAGAAGCCCUUAGCAGGAUCACAGAGAAGAAAACAACAGACUUCGUGUGGAGAAACCUGGUCUGUCGAUACGGGAUCCCUUAUGCCUUGGUAACGGAUAAUGGCAGGCAGUUCGAUAACCACAGCUUCAGGGAUUUCUGCCAGAACCUCGGGAUAGAGCUGAAGUAUUGCUCGCCUGCUCACCCUCAAUUGAAUGGACAAGUAGAAGCAGCCAACAAGACCAUCAAGAGGCUUUUAAAAACCAGGCUUGGAGCAAAAAAGGGUGCGUGGGUUGACGAGCUGUCAGGUGUGCUAUGGGCAUACAGAACAACCCACAAAACCGCAACUGGGGAGACACCGUUCGCUUUGGCUUUCGGACAUGAAGCGGUCGUGCCGGCUGAGAUAGGAACGACCACACACCGGACAAAUCAUUUCAAUGAGCAGGAGAACGACGAGCAGAUAUGUUUGAAUCUUGAUCUGCUAACGGAAAGGUGGGAGCAAGCAGCCGAGCGAUCAGUCAUUUACCAACAGAGGGUUGCUCGGUAUUAUAACCAGAAGGUGAACAUACGGCAAUUCAGGGUCGGAGACUGGGUACUGAGAAGAGUGAAUCAGAGCACCAAAGAUUCGACUCAAGGAGUGCUGGGACCGAAUUGGGAAGGGCCAUAUAGAGUCAAGCAGAUAGCGGGACCCGGAGCUUACAGGCUGGUUCGCACGGACGGCCACGAGGUGAAACGCCCAUGGAACGCAGCACACCUCCGAAAAUACUUCCAGUAAGACUUGUUCACAUGUGAAAACUAUUUUUGCUCAUGUUCAUUACCGUUUAUCUUUCACGCUUAUUGUCCAAACAAUUUCAUGUAAGUCGAAUCCUGCCAUUAAUGGAACGUCGAGGAAUUUCUUUCGCUUGAAACCGAGAAAAUUUUCCAAGGCAUGCAAAGGCUCACCAAGUCUCAAAGCCUGUCUUAUGGCGAGACAGAAGCCAAGCAUGCCAGGAUCUGCUCGGCCACGAGAAGGCAAGCAGAAUCCCAAUCCUCGAAGAAUCCAAGGCAUGCAAAGGCUCACCAAGUCUCAAAGCCUGUCUUAUGGCGAGACAGAAGCCAAGCAUGCCAGGAUCUGCUCGGCCACGAGAAGGCAAGCAGAAUCCCAAUCCUCGAAGAAUCCAAGGCAUGCAAAGGCUCACCAAGUCUCAAAGCCUGUUUUAUGGCGAGACAGAAGCCAAGCAUGCCAGGAUCUGCUCGGCCACUAGAAGGCGAGCAGACUCCAAAGCAUUCGAAGAAAUGCCCAAGGCAUGCAAAGGCUCGACAAAGUCUCAAAGCCUGUUUUAUGGCGAGACAGAAGCCAAGCAUGCCAGGAUCUGCUCGGCCACUAGAAGGCGAGCAGACUCCAAAGCAUUCGAAGAAAUGCCCAAGGCAUGCAAAGGCUCGACAAAGUCUCAAAGCCUGUUUUAUGGCGAGACAGAAGCCAAGCAUGCCAGGAUCUGCUCGACUACUAGAAGGCGAGCAGACUCCAAAGCAUUCGAAGAAAUGCCCAAGGCAUGCAAAGGCUCGACAAAGUCUCAAAGCCUGUUUUAUGGCGAGACAGAAGCCAAGCAUGCCAGGAUCUGCUCGGCCACUAGAAGGCGAGCAGACUCCAAAGCAUUCGAAGAAAUGCCCAAGGCAUGCAAAGGCUCGACAAAGUCUCAAAGCCUGUUUUAUGGCGAGACAGAAGCCAAGCAUGCCAGGAUCUGCUCGGCCACUAGAAGGCGAGCAGACUCCAAAGCAUUCGAAGAAAUGCCCAAGGCAUGCAAAGGCUCGACAAAGUCUCAAAGCCUGUUUUAUGGCGAGACAGAAGCCAAGCAUGCCAGGAUCUGCUCGACUACUAGAAGACGAGCAGACUCCAAAGCAUUCGAAGAAAUGCCCAAGGCAUGCAAAGGCUCGACAAAGUCUCAAAGCCUGUUUUAUGGCGAGACAGAAGCCAAGCAUGCCAGGAUCUGCUCGACUACUAGAAGGCGAGCAGACUCCAAAGCAUUCGAAGAAAUGCCCAAGGCAUGCAAAGGCUCGACAAAGUCUCAAAGCCUGUUUUAUGGCGAGACAGAAGCCAAGCAUGCCAGGAUCUGCUCGACUACUAGAAGGCGAGCAGACUCCAAAGCAUUCGAAGUAAUGCCCAAGGCAUGCAAAGGCUCGACAAAGUCUCAAAGCCUGUUUUAUGGCGAGACAGAAGCCAAGCAUGCCAGGAUCUGCUCGACUACUAGAAGGCGAGCAGACUCCAAAGCAUUCGAAGUAAUGCCCAAGGCAUGCAAAGGCUCGACAAAGUCUCAAAGCCUGUUUUAUGGCGAGACAGAAGCCAAGCAUGCCAGGAUCUGCUCGACUACUAGAAGGCGAGCAGACUCCAAAGCAUUCGAAGUAAUGCCCAAGGCAUGCAAAGACUCACCAAGUCUCAAAGCCUGUUUUAUGGCGAGGCAGAAGCCAAACGUGCCAGGAUCUGCUCGACCACUAGAAGGCGAGCAGUCUCCAAAGCAUUCGAAGAAUCUCCAAAGGCAUGUGGCAAAACCAUGAGCCAAGCCGGAACCUGCUCGUCUAGACAGAGACAAGCAGAUUCUCAACCGAAAAUUAAUUCAUAAUUACAUCACAAGAAAGUAAUCAAAAACCAUUUUUAUUAAUUUGUUAAUAAUUAACAGAGGGGAUAAUCUUCAUGAACAUUGUUCAUUACAAUACAAGAAAUAUAUCAGGAAGAUGGUGGACCAGUAAGCCCGGCAGCAUCGGUUGGCUGGACCUCCUCAGGUGCAGGAGGGGUAUCACCAGUUGCGUCCGGGGGGUGCUCGCCUCGCCAACAUCAGCAGGGACUGCACGAGCAGGAGAGUCUUCCUCCUCAAUCACGAUCGGCUCUACCCCAUCGGCAUCUUCCUUGGCCGCCUCCUCAUCCAUAUGUUGAGCAACACCAGCUGCAAGGUCAUCCAUCUUCAGAUCAGGGUGUUGCUUCCCGAGGACGGCCAUGAUGCAACGAUAGGAAUGCCGAAGUCCCUGGUCGUACUGGUUGUCAGCCUCCCUCUCCAAGUUCUCGACCUGAGCUCGGUGGGAGUCGCGGAGAGAUUCGAGCUGAGCCUCAUACAUAGCCUUCUGCCUUUGCAGAUCCUCCUUGACCGUGGUAAGCUCCUCCUCGAGGGAAAUGGCUUUUGCUUGAGCAAGUGAUUCUUGCUCUAUUAACUUCAGAUUCUCGAGAUUCAGCUCCCCUGCUUUCUUCUCGGCAACGUCAGCUCUGGUCGUCGCCGAUUGAAUAUCCUCCUUCAUCUUCCGGUCGUAGCGGCCAACCUUAGCCUUGUAAUAGGUGGUCAUGCAGCUGAGGUGGAAAGCGCUAUGCUGCAUGGCCCCCACCAGCUCACCCAAGGUGCGGCCGUCAAAGUCCUCCAAGUCCUUCUUGCUCAUGAGUUUAGUUAACUCAUUGAGGUAGGGGACCAGGUGUUCUGCUCGGCUGUCAGGUAAGCGAGAUCGAGGCCCGACAGGAGGAAAAGAGGAAGCAGGAUCUGUAGCUGCUCCACUAGCUUCCCCGACUUUUACAGGAGCAGGAGGUAAAAUCUUCAAGGGUGGGACCUGCUGCAUGAUGUUGGCCCGCUUUGCAGCAGGGGCAUUCUUAUUCUGGUCCCUCUUCGUGGUGGGAGGUCGGGAACGUUUUCGGGUCAGAGCCCCAAUCACAGCGUCCUCCAUCCUAUGGCCAGGAAGUAUCAAGCGAGACUCGAGCAAGUUGUAUGUAGUUAGCAGUUCUCGGCUCGAGCAGGAAUUGGCUAGUACAGCCUCGACCCGUUUGAGCUGGUCAGGUUCAAGCGGGAAGUGGACACCCCAAGAAACUACAACACAAACAGACACUUGGUUAGAGACAAGCCAAUAAAGCAAGAACAAUUAUGGAUGCAAGACAUCUAGAGCGAGCAGGCAACCUGGGACCGUGAAACGGGGUGGGACGCGACAAUCCUUCCCGCCUAUUUGUGCAACUUGACCCCAAGGACCCCCAGCAAAAAAGAAUUUCCUCUUCCAAGCCCCACCACCACCGGUUGGAAGAUCGGUUAUGGAUUUCCGGCUCUUGGUGCUAGAUUGGAAGUAGUACCAGCCGGCAUCUUUGGGGCUGCUCUUUAGCUGGUACAAGUGCUUCACCUCGUCAACCGUGGGCUCGCUUUGGCAACAUCUGUCCCACAAUAUGAACAGACCAGAGAGCACUCUCCACCCAUUGGGAUUCAGCUGACCAGGAGCUAGAUUUAGCCCGUUAAGUAUCCGGGCAAAGUAGGGUUGCAAGGGACACCUCAGCCCGUACUUAAAGCUCUCUAGAAACAGGGUAACGUAUCCCCUAGGAGGCCGGCUGGGAGCAUCCUUCUUUCCUGGGACCUUGAGAGGUAUCUCACCAGGAAUGCUAUACCUAAGCUGGAGGUCAUUGAGCUCGUCAAACAAGGUCGUGCACGUCAUGUAAUCAAUGGCAUAAUCGCGCGACAAGGCUCUGCCUCCUACUGUACCCCGUUCCUCUAGUCGUGAUGUUCCAGAUGGAGACACCUCACCAGAGUCACCUUCCCCAUUCUCACUUAAGGUGUCCUCAGAGCCAGAAGGUCCCCCCUCACCAUUGCUUCCGCUCGUGGAGGUUGUUUGGGGGGACAUCCUCCUAGCACUAGUCCCGACACUAAACCUAAUGGGUUCUAAGGGGAUCCCGGGGUCAAAAGCCGGAUCAGUGAGCAGACUAGGCAGGAAACUUAGUUCGUCGUCAUCAAUCUCAACGACUUUCUCCUUACCUUUCGACAUUCCCUAAGCCCUAACCACAACACCACCAACUACUACCUAAACAGAAGAGAAGAGAAAUUAUCUACAACUAUCCGAGACCAAGGAGAUAGAAGAAAUACCUGAAGUAAUGGUUCAGUCGGUGAAAGUCAGAGAUGGAGGCCUUUUAUGCCGGAACUUCUUUGCCGGAGAAACAGAGACGGAGACGGAGUGAAUGAUGAAUAUGCCGUUCGAGAGGAUUUGGUUUUCCUAAUGAAGACGGACUCUUGGGUUGCCAGCAUUUAACGGCGCCGAAUCCCGAGGGUCUCAUAACCGUCGGUUUGAAAUUCAAAUGAAGGGGGGGAUUUCUGCCACGUCACCUCGUCCGCAAUUAAAUGCGACAUGACUCUUGGCAGCCUUUUCCAAUCCCACGCGGGCGAGUACUAACGAGUUUCUACUGCUGGUCCACUACAUUACCCAACACCAGAAACUGGGGGACCGGUGUUUGGGAGAAAUACGUCGAUGAGACCAGGCAUGGUGAGCAGAUAUCUGAUGGCAGAGUUCUGCGAACCGGUGUGUUCCGUAAAAGCCUGGUGCACGGGGGAACAUGAGCAGAAGUAUCCUGCUCGUCCACGAGCACGUCAUCCGCGAGGCAAAUUUCCUGUAAGAGGCAUAAGGUCAUUCCGGCUAGAGGUCGAGAGGCGAGGAGACCCGGUCGACGGCAGUUGGCAAGACAUGCUCCCCAGCCCGAGAAUCUAGGCACGACAGCCACGCUUUCCCCAGAACUGUGGCGUAACACGCAAGAUCUCACAGAACCACGACAGCCACGCUUUCCCCAGAACCGUGGCGUAACACGCAAGAUCUCACAGAACCACGACAGCCACGCUUUCCCCAGAACCGUGGCAUAACACGCAAGAUCUCACAGAACCACGACAGCCACGCUUUCCCCAGAACCGUGGCGUAACACGCAAGAUCUCACAGAACCACGACAGCCACGCUUUCCCCAGAACCGUGGCGUAACACGCAAGAUCCCACGUUUGCCCAUAACGCAGCAGUCAGAGUCCCAUACCGUCUCAGAAAAAGCGGAAAACUGGGAUUCAGGGGAAGCCUAUAAAAAGGUAGCCAACGAAGGUAAAAGGGUUGGCAUUUUUGAGAUUAUAAAAGAAAUGAAAAAAGAAGAGAAAACGACGAAAAAGCCAUAAGAUCUGUGGCAAGUGUCCCCCGAACCUUCAUAUCUGACUUGAGCGUCGGAGGGUUUGCGCCGGGAAAACAACCGGCGUACUCUGACUUGUCUGUGUGCGCAGGAACCUCUGGAGAAGAAGCCUCACGUGGAGACCUCCUGGUCGUGAAGAAGUUGAUCGGGCAGAGAUCCUGGUCGUAGAACGAGGAGAACCGGAAUCCCGCAUCAACAGAACUUGUACUUGUCCUGUGAUCCGUACAUGCGACCACGAAUGACCUACAUCGAAGGAUCUUACGUUGAAUCCUUUAAACCUGGCUUGGUUAGUGCACUCGCUCAUGGCCACGCUUUUCAUUUCCAUGGCUUCUUGCUCUUUUGUUAUAGAAAAUUUAUUUUUGGUUGCAGUUUGAUUCGACUGCUAAAAUCUCGUGCGAUAAUUGUAUAAGAUAUCUAGAGUUUGAACUUCUUUCACAUUAGGGUUCAAGGAAGUUAACUUAAAUGAUUUUCAAAAUUUUAAAUGUGUACCAAAGAAUUUAAUUUCAUAGCUUAAACUUAUAUUUUGAUCAUACUCUAACUUUGGACAGGAAAAAUUAUAUUUUUCCUUUAGUUCUUUGCCUUGGUGUAUGUUGUGUGAAGUACUUGUGCUUGAAAAUGAAUUGCUGACACAGAAAUUUCUAUGAAUGCAUGCAGCCCAUAAGUGGAUAUGGGGUGGGUAAAGUUUUGGAUUCAGAGAAUCCAGAGUUCAACAAAGGUGACUUGGUUUGGGGAAUGACUGGAUGGGAAGAGUAUAGUCUCAUUACGGCUCCACACUUGUUUAAAAUUCAACACACAGAUGUGCCUCUUUCUUACUAUACUGGAAUCCUCGGUAAACUUUUUGUUUGCACAAUUUAUGUGAGCAAAUUGUGUCUUCUUUUUCAUAUGUAAAUGUUUUUGAUAUCUUGAUGUGAAGGUAGAAAAUUGCAUGUUUUGAGUUUUUGCAUAUUUGAUGGAAACACAGAACUGUACCUGAAUCUUUCAGAACCCCCUUCUCUUUGAAGUUUGAACACUUUUCUUGAAUGUAUCAACUUUAUUUAUGGGAUAUGUUGCCAAAUUGGAAAAUCUAUUCGUUAUAAAACUUUCCUUUGACAGUUUAAUCUAAGCAGAUGUUAAUUCUGCAAAUAGAGUGUGCCUUAGAUUAGUUUCAUAGAUUUGUCUCCUUCUGUACAGUAAAAACUUUGAGCAUUUUCGCCAUAUUCUGAUCAAUACACUCCAACUAGUUAGUUCUUGAGGCGUUUUAUGGUUUCGUGGAGUGAGGCAAGAUGUAUACGUUUGCAAAUUGGCAAUGUCUUUCUCUUGAUGGGUUGAGAGUUGUGAGUGUCAACAGGAAACAAGACCUCUGUUUUAUGAACUCCAAAAAGUUAUUCUGUUAAAAAGAUCGAGACAGAGGCCAUACUAUAUUUAUUAUUGCUAUAAAAGUGUGAAAAAAUAUUCUUUAUUUAAUAUUCUAAACGAUUGAGCCAUUUAGUUAUGAUACUCUGCUGUAUUGGGGCUAAUAAUCUAAGUCGGUUCAAAGUGGUAAAUUUAUAAAUUGAUAGGUAUGCCUGGUAUGACCGCUUACGUUGGAUUUUAUGAGGUCUGCUCUCUUAAGCAAGGAGAGUGUGUCUUCAUAUCCGCAGCAUCUGGUGCAGUUGGACAGCUUGUGGGGCAGUUUGCAAAGUUAUUGGGUUGCUAUGUCGUCGGAAGUGCUGGAAGCAAAGACAAGGUAUGUAAAAUUAGAAUUUGAUCAACAGAUUUGGAGUGUUUGUUUACAGAGAAAAUCUAAGAGAAAAUGUAAGAAACUUUAGCUGAGAAUAUUCAUUUUGUUCAACUUAAUAACAGAAUGAGAUUACAAAGCUUAUAUACUGCUAUCAAGAAUCAUCUUAACACAUACAUCAUUUUCACGUGUAUUUAUCUUUGAAAGAAGCUAAAUAACCAGCUUAACAAACUCACAACUACUUUGCUGACUGGACUGCCACGUCACCAUAACUAACUUAACUAAUCCAAUCAGUUAAUCACAGUUAACACAUAUUCUUAUCAUCCCCCCUCAAGCUUAAGUUCGGGGAAGGACAUUAAGCUUGGUACGAAGAUAAGCAAACUGAUCAAAAGAGAGGGGCUUGGUGAGAAUGUCUGCAAGUUGUUCUGAACUGGAAACAUGACUGAUCGUGAGUUGCUUCUGGGCAAUAUGCUCUCGAAUAAAAUGAAGAUCCAACUCAAUGUGCUUUGUUCGAGAGUGAUACUUAGGAUUGCUAGCUAAUGCCUCAGCACUCUGAUUAUCACAUUAUAGAACAGGACUUUGAGUUGGCUGAAUUUGCAGUUCUUGAAGCAAAUAAGUGAGCCAAAGAAUUUCAGAGGUUGCCGAAGCAAGAGCUCUAUAUUCAGACUCUGCUGAGGAACGAGAAACAAUGGUUUGUUUCUUGGAGGACCAAGAAAUAAUAUUGUUUCCUAAGAAUACACAAUACCCUCCAGUAGACUUUCGAUCAUCAGGAUCAGCUGCCCAAUCAGCAUCAGAAAAUGCUGUUAAAGUCACAGAGCCUGAAUUGAAGAAUUGAAUCCCAAAGUGUGAAGUAGCUUGAAGAUAUCGAAGAACCCUUUUACAAGCUUGCCAGUGUGCAAUGGUUGGAUGAGCUAGGAACUGACUAAGCUUGUUAACAGGAUAAGCUAUAUCAGGUCUUGUUAGCAACACAUACUGAAGAGAGCCCACAAUACUUCUGUAUAAUGAGGGAUUAUCAAAAACUUCACCACUGUCCUUUGUAAGCUUAUCACCUGGACUCAUAGGAGUAUUAAAACCUUUGCUGUCAAGCAUAUUUACUUUUCUAAGGAUAUCACCAAUGUAUUUGGUCUGAGAUAAAUGCAGUCCCUGAACAGAGGGUGUUACUUCAGUACCAAGAAAGUAGUUAAACUCUCCUAGAUCUUUGAGUGCAAACUCUGAAUGAAGAUAUUGAAUAACAGCCUCAAUAUGUUGAGAAUUAGAACCAGUAACUAAAAUAUCAUCAACAUAUAUAAGAAUGAGCACAAUAUCAUGGUCAAUAUGCUGAAUAAACAUGGAUGUAUCAGAUUUUGAGGAUUGAAAACCUUUAUGGAGUAAGGACCCUUUCAACCUCUCAUACCAAGCUCUAGGAGCUUGCUUGAGACCAUAUAAGGCUUUGUUUAACUUGCAAACAUAUGAUGGAUUUGCAAAGUCUAUAAAACCUUGUGGCUGAUGCAUGAACACAUCCUCUUCAAGCAUACCAUUGAGAAACGCAUUAUUAACAUCCAGCUGUCUAAUCUGCCAAUGAUGCAACACUGCUAGACUGAGGACAACUCUGACUGUGCAAGGUUUCACAACUGGGCUGAAGGUCUCAAAGAAAUCCACCCCUUGAGUUUGAUGAUAACCCUUGGCAACCAACCUAGCUUUGUAUUUGGAAAUGCUGCCAUCAGGGUUAUACUUCACCCUAAAUACCCACUUAUUACCAACUAUUUUAGCAGCACUUUCAGAGGGCACUAGAGUCCAGGUUUGAUUUCUUUGCAGAGCAUCAAAUUCCUCUUUCAUAGCACAAAACCACUUGGAGUCAUGCAAGGCACUUUUGACACUAGUUGGCUCAAGAUUUUCAGUAGCUGCUAGAUAUGACUUGGGUUUGAAGAUACCAGCUUUAGCUCUAGUAAUCAUUGGGUGAGAUGGUAAUGAAGAUGAGUGAGUUGGUUCAGCUGAAGGAUGAGAAUAAGAAGGUUGUGCUGAACUGGAACUUGAUGGAGGAGACAUUGCUGAAUGAAAAUUAGGAGAUGAUGACUCUACAUUGCUACUGUCAACCUGAGCAGAAGUUUGAAGAAAAGAAAGUUGUACUGGUGAAGAAGGGACAUCAACAUUGGAGACUUGUGAGGUAGAGUGUUUUAGAAACAAUUCUGUGUUAGGAAACUCAGUUUCAUUAAAAACAACAUGUCGAGCAACAAACACUUUACCAGAUGAAUUUAAACACUUAUAACCUUUAUGAAGUGGACUGUAACCAAUGAAAAUACAUUUUUGAGUAUGAAAGUCAAGUUUAUGCUGGUUAUAAGGUCUGAGGAAUGGAAAACAGGAGCAACCAAAAACCUUUGGAAACUGAUAGUCAGGCAGAUGAUUAUGUAAUUUCUGAAAUGGGGAUAGAUUGUUUAGAACUGAUGUGGGCAUUCUGUUGAUAAGGAAAGAAGCAGUGUGGAAUGCUUCCCACCAAAAGGAGAGAGGUAACUGUGAUUGAGCUAGAAGUGUCAGACCUGUUUCAACAAUAUGCCUGUGUUUCCUCUCAACAACACCAUUUUGAUGGUGUGUAUAUGGACAACUAUACCUAAAACAUAUACCCUCUUGCUGAAGAAAGGUUUUAAAAGCUAUAAAUUCACCCCCCAUAUCUGACUGUAGUGUUUUGAUAGACAAGGAGAACUGUUUUUCAACAAGAAGUUUGAAGUGUUUGAAGGUUUCUAAGGCUUCUGACUUUGCUGUGAGAGGAAAAAUCCAAGAAUAUCGAGUGAAAUCAUCCACAAAAGAGAUAUAAUAUCUGUAUCCACUCAUUGAAUAUUCAGGAGCUGGUCCCCAUAAAUCUGUAUAUAGAAGCUCAAGUGGUGCUUUUGUUUUAAUGGUAGUGACAGAAAAAUGAAGCUGAUGCAUUUUGCCAUGUUGACAAGCAUCACAGAAGCUAAUGAAUUUAUUUGAAAAGCAAUGUGUGGGAAGACUUUUAAUAAUUGUUUGCAAAGCAUGUUUAUUGGGAUGACCAUAUCUAUUAUGUAACAACUGAACUGAUAUCUUUCCAGCUCUAGAAGAAUUUCCAGAAACAGAACAUGCAAAAGCUUCAGACAUAUUUACAUUAUCCAACUUUGACACAUGAUUAUUUGACUCUGGUAAAGAGUUUACAACUUUAUUAUCAAAACAAAAUGACAACAUGGAACUUGGUUUAAAAAGAUUUGGAUUGCAAUCUGCAGAGUAAGGAGAGAAGACAUCAAGUGACAGUAGCUUGUAAAGACCACCUUUAACAAUCCCCUGUGCCAGCAAAGUUCCCUCCUUCUUGUCCUUAAUAAAGCACAUGGUGGAACAAAAUUCAAUGAUUAUGUUAUUAUCCAAAAGAAGUUUAGAUAUACUGAUGAGGUUUUUGGUUAUUUUAGGAACACACAAAGUAUUGGUUAAGGAUAAACAUGUGCCAAAAGAAGUAGAAAGAUGAGUGCAGCCAAUAUGUGUGAUAGUAAGACCUUGUCCAUUUCCAACAAACAACAGUUGAGUACCAUUAUAAGGAUUACCUUCAACCAGGUUUUGCACAUUGUUGGUGAGAUGAUGAGUGGCUCCACUGUCCAGAUACCAUCCCUGAUCAGCAACUCCUUCUGAGGUAGCCAUAUAAGCUGUUCUUGGCCCUGGGUUCUGCAUUGGAGAAUUUGAAACAAAAUUUCUGUUAAAUCUGUUUCUACAAUCAACAGCUGAAUGGUUUGGUUUAAAACAUAUUUGGCAGGUAAUAUUUCCUCUGCCACCUCCUCUACCAAAGCCACCAGAGGACCCUGGAUUUCCACCAUUAAAACCACCAUUUCCACUAAAUCCACCAGUAUUUCCAUUAAAACCACCAGAGUUUGAACCUCUUCCUUGGUUUCCAAACCAGCCUCUCCCUGAGUUUUGAUCCAUAAAGCCACCUCUGCCAGAUCCAUAACCUCCUCUAUUGUUGAAAUUUCCAUUUCCAUUUCUAUUCACAAAAUUAACAUUCCAAUUACCCUGGUUAUUAGUAUUCCAAUUAGCAUUGCUUCCUGACUUCUUCUGAUUAUUACCAGUCUGAGCCACAUUAGCACUAAAAUUCACCUUAGUUUCCUUAGCUACACCAGAAUGAUUACUCUCAAGCCUAGCUUCAUGAGAUAGCAACAUAGAAUAAGCCUCAUUGAUGCUCAUUUUAAGAGCAUUUGCCUCAAUAUAAACUACAACAGGAUAGUAAGCCUGACCUAGCCCUGAGAUUAAAUGUGUAAUGAAGUCAAUAGAGCUAACUGAACUUCCAGCCAUUGCUAAUUCAUCAGUUACUGACCUUAGUUUACAAAAAUAUUCAGUAAUUGACAUGGAUCCUUUCUUAAGAUUGUUUAGCAGCAUCUUUAAAUGCACUUUCUUAGCUGCUGUUUCAAAUCCAAACUGUUCCUCUAAGCUUAUCCAAAGUUCUCGAGAGUUUUUAGAAUUUACCACAAUGCUUAAGAUCUCCACACUGAUUGAAGAUAGAAGCCAGCUCAAGAUCAUCUGAUCUUGCCUUUUCCAAGUAGUGUAGGCAGGAUUUUCUGAGAUGACUGCCGCAUCUGUGCUUGUUGAUUCACCAGUCAGCAGCUGGUUUGGACAGGUACGUGAUCCAUCAAGAAAACCUUCCAGAUCAUUUGCUCGAAUGGCUGAAAGGAUCUGAGAUUUCCAUAUAGUAUAAUUCGAUCUGUCAAGCUUGAUUGGUGUGGCGAAAGUAAAUGUUGAGAUUGCGGAAGAAACAUUUGUACUAAGACUUGAAGAAGCCAUGAUCAAGAAGUGAUUCAAGGCUCUGAUACCAAAUUAGAAUUUGAUCAACAGAUUUGGAGUGUUUGUUUACAGAGAAAAUCUAAGAGAAAAUGUAAGAAACUUUAGCUGAGAAUAUUCAUUUUGUUCAACUUAAUAACAGAUUGAGAUUACAAAGCUUAUAUACUGCUAUCAAGAAUCAUCUUAACACAUACAUCAUUUUCACGUGUAUUUAUCUUUGAGAGAAGCUAAAUAACCAGCUUAACAAACUCACAACUACUUUGCUGACUGGACUGCCACGUCACCAUAACUAACUUAACUAAUCCAAUCAGUUAAUCACAGUUAACACAUAUUCUUAUCAUGUAAUCUGUGUGAAGUACUUGAUUGUUUCCAUGUUACUUUCAAACAUUUAAAUUAAAAAGGAAAUUUUCAUAAUCUUGCCUUUUCUAUGAUUUUCAAAACCAAGGUUGAUCUACUGAAGAACAAGUUUGGGUUCGACGAGGCAUUUAACUAUAAAGAAGAAGCUGAUUUGAAUGCAGCAUUGAAAAGGUUAGCAUCAAUAAAUGCCUUAGCUUGAUGCAGCUUGAUGAAGUAUGAUACACAUUUCUGACCAAUAUACUGCGUUCCCUGAUCUCUUACUUGAAAUAUCUUGGUUUGAGAACCUCAUGCCAAUGCCUUUAACAUUUUGGCAGGUACUUUCCUGAAGGAAUUGAUAUAUAUUUUGAAAACGUUGGUGGAAAAACGCUUGAUGCAGUGCUACCCAACAUGAAAAUCCGUGGUCGAAUUGCUGCAUGCGGUAUGAUCUCACAGUACAAUCUUGACAAGCCUGAAGGUGUGCACAACUUGAUGUAUCUUGUUUUGAAACGGCUUCGAAUGGAAGGAUUCAUUGUUCUCGAUCACUAUCACCUUUAUCCAAAGUUUCUGGAAAUGAUCAUUCCUCACAUCAAAGAAGGGAAGCUUGUAUACGUCGAAGACAUGGCUGAAGGUCUGGAGAGUGCUCCGGCAGCUCUCAUCGGUCUAUUCUCUGGCCAGAAUGUUGGGAAACAGGUGGUUGCUGUUGCUCCUGAAUGAAGAACAAGUUAGUGUUGUAUGUUCUUUUACCCUUUGACACAAAACUUCAAUGUCAAAGAGAGAAUGCUGCUCAUACUGCUUUAUAAAAUAAUCAAAUGAGUGCAAGUUUCAUGAUAUUUGCUGAAUAAAAUAUUGGAAAUUAAGCAGCUAGCCUAGCUCCUUCUUGUAGUUGCAGUUUGAAUGAUGCUGCUGCACAACUGCUGCCGAAAAAAAUCCUUAAUAGAUGAUUAGCAAGGUUUCAAAAAUAAAAAUAAAUGUUUGUGCAAUGUGCCGAAUAUGACAGCCACAAAGAAAGAGCAUACAAAUUGAUUGGUUUUAUGUCUUCUCUAGGAGAAAGCUACAAUACAAGAAAUUGUAUUGAUGGAGCCUUGGACCAAAUUUCUUAUUUAAAUUUUUAAUUUUUUUUAUUAAAUUACUUAUGUUAUUAUGGUUUAUAUUUUUAGAAAUUCUUUAGAAAUUAAUACAGAACUAGUAGCAAGUUGAGAAAUCUACUGAAUGGUCAAGAUAUGAUAAUGUUUAUUGAAUUAAAUUAACAAUCAUCAUUUUCAUAAAUUAUUGUCAGGAUAUUUGAUUCAUGUCAGGUGUAAGUAACUAAGAGAGCGUUUGGGACAGACACCACAGUUGCUCCCGAUGCUUUAUUUUAGGGAAAUAUCCCCUGGAAUAAUGCAUAGGGCGCAGCCCCAAACGGACCCUAAAUGUGCUAAAAAAAAAUUAAUGAGUUGGGUGUGUUUGAUAUUCAUUUGUUGUAAUUCUUUUAAUAAUUAUUGUAGAAAAAAAUAUGAUAAAAAAUUUAUAAUUAUAAAUAAAAAUUAAUAAUAUAAUAAAUAAAAUUUUUAAACAAUAAUUUUAAUAAAAUAAUAAAUAUAUUAUCAAUUUUUCAUCGUUAAUAUUUAAGUCACAAUAAUAAAUAUUUAUUAAACACUUUAAUACUAUAACUAACACUACAACUUUUGAAUUAUAACAGUACAUUCUAAAGACCGUGGAACAAUAGUACAAAAGGUGCUCGUCGUGUAAACAACACAUGGGACCCAAGCAAUAAAUGUUUCUGAUCCUCAACUUUCCUCAUCACUGUCCCUGCAAACAAUUCUGAUUUUCUUGUCUGAUAAAAAAACUGAGAAACAAUGGCGGCCGAACAAGAAGCUGUGAGCAAUAAUGUAAAGCCACAAAUUUUCAUAAUAUUAAAUUAUGAAAAUUGGGCUUUCAUUGAGAAUUAUGGGUGGCCUAUAACCCUUAUUAAGAAAGGGAUACUAAUUAUAAAUACAAGUUAUUUAUGAGAUAGUUUUGAAAAAAUGUUAUUUUUCCUUAUUAAAUAAGGUUUCUUAAGACUCCCUAUAAAUUCAUACUUUUUCCCUUCCAUGACCCUAAGUCCAUGACGUUUAUUCUUCUUCUCUGCUGCUCUUUACGCUCCUACCCAAAUCAUAGGAUUCAAACCUUUGUUUAGGAGAGAAUCAAAGCGACGAGUAAGUUAUUCUCCCUAUUCUCAACAGAUUUCUAAUCACUCUAUCUAGGGUUUAUAUUGGCACGAUUCUAGAUGGUUAUAGAUCAUAAUGCAUGAUUUAGAAUGUAUUUAGGCUUUGUUUAGGGUUUUGAUUUAUUAUGAGUUUAGUUAAUCAAUCCUUGACGUAUUAAGCACAGGAUAAUUCUGGACAAUAUGAGUAUCUCGAAUUUAAACCUAUAUUUUCUGAACGAGUUUUAUUAUAAAAUUUAUAUUUCUGGAAACUAGACAUGUAGGGCUUCUUGAGUAAAUUUUAUUUCAUUAAAUUCGACUUCGUUUUCAAUUUUAUAUUUAUUUUCGAAAUAGAAACCACUGCACUGGAAAACUGCGAUUCCAGCAUUGCGAUCGGAUUCACAAGACUAUUUGUACCACCAAACGAACUCGGAAAAUUCUGAAAGUUUAUAUGUAGGUUAAUAUAUGUGUCUAGGAUUACCAGUUUUAAUUUCAUAAUUUUCUGAUUAGUAUUUUAUUUUAUAAAAAUCACAGAACCCGUUCUGUUUGGUUUAGAUUAUGUGAAAACAGUUUCGAAUUUGCUGAGAAAUAAAUAGUUUCGAAAAUGUUUUUGAUAUCGGAUCCUCUUGCAAAUUUUACAUAGGGUACUCAUGGAUGUCCAGAAUAGUCCCAUAGAAUAUUAUAUCAUUCUGAGUCUUAGAUUAAGAGUUAAAUUCUGAGAAUCAGACCUGUACGGGUAUGAAUUAGAAAAUCAGAUUCUUAGAAUAAGUUAUUAAUUGUCAUAUCUUGUAUUUGUUUAAGGUGUUGAAGGUGAUUGAGGUUCUUAGAAGCUUAAAGGUGUGUUAAUUCAAAUUCAUUUGUCGAGGUAAGUUACUUCAUUCCUACUAUAUUGGAUAUGUAUAAGUAUUUUGAUAUUAUCAUUAUAAGUAUAAAUGUUUUCAUACUAUUUAGAAGAUUAAUGGAUUUUCAUAACAAAAUUAGCUUAUGAAAAUGUUUUCAAAACCUAAUUUCUUUUUAACAAAGCAUUUUAUAAAUACUUUUUAAAUAUGUAAGUUAUUUUGUUACAUGCCUACUUUUAUGAUUUUAUUUAUAAAAUAUUUUGCAAGCCUAAAUUAUUGUUAUGGACUUUUAUGAAUCCGAUACGAAUGUUUUAUGCCUAUGCAUGAUUUCAAUUAUAUAUGAUUGUAUGGGGGCCACCUCUUGGGACUAUAUGGGGGCCACCUCUUGAAGGCCAAAGUGUCGCAAAGUGCCACAUAUAGUGCAAAGUGCCACGUAUAAGUCAUUAUGUUUUGGCUCAUUGUCCGUAGUCAUUUUGAUUCUGAUUCUGAUCAUAUAAUACGAUAUAUGUCUGUUUUGGACCAGUACUGGGUUUCUGUUCUGAGUGUGCACACGAUAUUUUGAUUCUGUUUCUGGCCGGGUCACUGGGACUAUAGGUGACACUAUGUGACAAGAGCUAACCUUUUGUUUUCUGUAUACGUAUUAUAUGAUUUACUUCAUAAGUAAAUAUGCUUUUGGAUAUUCGGAAUUAUUAAGAAUUUAUGUUAUGUUAUCGUGAUAUAUUGUUUUAUGAAAUUUAUGGAUUAUGAUAUAUGUUUUAAACAAAAGAAGGCUUGCAAUAUUUUUGUAUCGAUAGGCCCAGUAUGUUAGAAAUUGUUUUACUUACCGAGUUGACGGCUCACCCCUCGUCAUUACUUUUUGCAGAUUAAGUUUCUUUUGAGAGGUGCGCUUAGCUUUGGAGUUAGUAAUUUUCCGUUUCCAUUUGCCAUUUGAAUAAGAGGAGGAAUAAACUCGUGUUUCUAUUUAGUUAUUUCUAUUAUGAACGUGUAAUUUGGAGUUUGAGACUUUUGUUAUUAUUUUUAUGUCCUCGGGAGAGAUUAUUUAGUAUUAGACGUUAGAAUUUGUGGAUUUAUUUGAAUAAGAAUUGGAGGUAUUUCAGUUUGAAACUUAUGAGUAAAGAUUAUGAUUUGUGAGUAACCUCCUUCUUCACGUGCUCCGCACGUGUUAGAUUUGGGGUGUUACAAAUAAGCGGGUGAUUCUAAGCAACUAUGUGACAGGUUUUCCAAAAGAAUCAGACAUGAAGAUAACAAGUGGAUCAAUAAAGCUGAAGGUAGCAGACUGUUCAAAAGACACGGUGCUUUUGAAGAAUCUUUAUCUUUCUUGUGAUCCUUACAUGCGAGAGCGUAUGAGCAAGCUUGAUAGCCCUUCUUUUGUUGAUUCAUUCCAUCCUGGUGAGGUUAGUUCAUCACGGCCCAUCUCUUGAUUUUUUUUUUUCAUUUGCUUCAAGUUUUGAUGAGUUUCUGAGGUAAUUUGUACGGUUUUGGAAUUUGAACACAAUUUGUGAUUUUGGUGCUGUAACUGUCAUUAAUGAUAUGUAGUAAUUCAAUCGGAAUUUGGAUUUAGUGCUGAUAUGAUCUCUGCUCAUUUUUUUAAAUCUUGUGUCCACAUGCAUUUUUGAAAUCUGGUACGGUUGAGAUUGUAUGUAGAUUAACCUACGUACAGUAUUCUUGUCUAAUGACUACUAACCACAACCUUAUGAGACGAUCGAAACCAAGCUCGGAUCAAUAAUCCAAUCGAGAGAGGAUCAUAACUGAAGCUUAUCGUGUGUGGGAAUAUUUCGGUUAAAUUGUAAUCAUGAUCAUGAAUCAUGCAGGGAAAAGGGAAGUUGAGGUCAAUUUAUGCACUUGAUGGAAUUAAAGAACCAAUAUUUGAUUUUGGUUUACAUUAUUUCUCAGUAAUGGUGACUUUGUGAUGUUAAAUUUAUGCAGCCUAUAAACGGAUAUGGGGUGGCCAAAGUUUUGGAUUCUACACAUCCAAAUAAUGCAAAAGAUGACUUGGUUUGGGGCUUUACCGGGUGGGAGCAGUACAGUCUCGUUACAGCUCCGCAGCUUUUGAUUAAAAUUCAUCAUAAAGAUGUGCCACCUUCAUACUAUACCAGGAUCCUCGGUAAUGAUUUUUGUUACACAUUAAGCUUUGCUUAUAGUAAUAUCAAUACAUAUGCUGCUUAAAUGCUUUCUGAUUUUUUGCCGGCCAUUGUCCAUUUUGCCCGGGAGACUAUAAUUGAAGGAAUUUACUGAAGGAAUGCUGAUUGUUGGGAAUUUGAUUAUUCUAGGUAUGCCUGGUGUAACUGCAUACGCUGGUUUAUAUGAAGUUUGCUCUCCGAAGAAAGGAGAGUAUGUCUAUGUAUCUACAGCAUCUGGAGCUGUUGGUCAGCUUGUUGGACAGUUUGCAAAAUUAGCUGGUUGCUAUGUUGUUGGAAGUGCUGGAAGCAAAGAAAAGGUGCUGUUAUAUCAUUCUUAAGUAGUAAAUAUAGCACCGUGCCUUCUAGCAGAAUUUUACAUGCUUUAUGUUCCAACUAAGCAUCCAUAUUUGAUCGUGAUAAUUAGCAAGGUCAAUAAUUUUUUUUUGACUAUUUUUUCAACGUAAGGUCGAUUUGUUGAAGAACAAGUUUGGACGAUGCUUUUAACUACAAGGAAGAGCCAGACUUGGAUGCAGCGCUCAAAAGGUCAGCUGCAACAAACGUUUCAACUCUAAUAUUUCAUUUUAAUAUUACAGAGCUUUGGUUGAAGUGUGUGAGUUGAUCCCAGAAACGUAACUUCAUCAGUGUCUCUGUUUUCAAAAAACAGGACAAAUUAAAAUCUGAUUUUGCGUUAAAAUUUCCCAGAUGUUUCCCUCAAGGAAUCGACAUCUAUUUCGAAAAUGUUGGGGGAAAGAUGCUGGACGCAGUGCUACUCAACAUGAGGCUCCGGGGCCGCAUUGCGGUAAGCAGUAUGAUCUCACAGUACAACCUGGAAAAACCCGAAGGCAUACACAACUUAGAGCAACUGAUCGGGAAACGGAUUCGCCUGGAAGGAUUUCUAGCAGGUGAUUACUAUCACCUCUAUCUGAAAUUCUUGGAACUGGUCAUUCCUGCAAUCAGAGAAGGAAAGAUGGUGUAUGUGGAAGACAUAGCCGAAGGACUCGAGAAAAUUUCUCGUAACUGCUACACAUUAAACGCGUUUCACAUUUCCACUCUCUCUCUAUAAAUAAACACGCACAUAAAAUUUCUCACUAUCCAAAAACAAAAUCUACAUAAAAAAUGGCGGGUGAAGAAGGAGUGAGCAACAAGCAGGUGAUUCUGAGCAACUACGUGACAGGGUUUCCCAAAGAAUCAGACAUGAAGAUAAUAGCAGGCUCAAUAAACCUCAGGUGCCAGAGGGUUCAAAAGACACAGUGCUUUUGAAGAAUCUUUGUCUUUCCUGUGAUCCUUACAUGAGAGGACGUGUGAGCGAGCUUGAUAAGCCUUCGUUUGUUGCCUCGUUCGAGUCUGGCGAGGUCAGUUACUUCAAUUCCCAUCUCUUGGUUUCAUAAUCUUUUAUGGUUUUAGAAGGUGUUUUAGGGAAACAUUGUGGUUUUGGUUAGUGGGCAUGAGCCUUUGAAGAGAUUAUAAUGUGUAGGACUAUGUAUGCAAUAAUAAGUAUAGGGGAUCUUGUUAGGAGAAGAUUCUCUUAGCAAAAUAAAAACUUUUAUCUUAUCAAAACAUAUGCAGGGAACUUAGUUAUGAUGUCAUGUUAGCAUUGUCUCUGAGGAUUUGAUUUCUUGAUGGGGAAAGGGGAAUUUAAGGUUACAUUAUUCAGCAAUGGUUUUUUUUUUUUUUUUUUAAUUAUGUUCAAAUUAUGCAGCCUUUGAGCGGAUAUGGAGUGUCCAAAGUGUUGGAUUCCACGCAUCCAAAUUAUAAGAAAGAUGACUUGGUCUGGGGCUUAACCAGUUGGGAGGAGUUCAGUCUCAUCCAAUCACCACAACUUCUGAUUAAAAUUCUGGAUACAAGUGUGCCUCUGCCAUACUAUACUGGGAUUCUUGGUAAGUUGUUACUAAAUUUAUCAAUGUCCAGUUCGCAUGAGCUGAAAAUCAUGUUUUAUUUAAUGCAAUGAGAGAGGGAAAUAGUAUGCUGCUUGAACGUCUAGCAUUUUGAAUUUUCAAUGAUUGUACCCUACGUAUUGGCAUGUAACUGAAGGAUUUCUCUUGAGGAAUUUACUAUUUUUUCUGAUUGUCGGGUAUUUUUCUGUUGACUCUAGGUAUGCCUGGUUUGACUGCAUAUGGUGGUUUAUAUGAGCUUUGCUCUCCUAAGAAAGGAGAGUAUGUCUAUGUAUCUGCAGCAUCUGGAGCUGUUGGUCAGCUUGUUGGGCAAUUUGCGAAGCUGGUAGGUUGCGAUGUUGUUGGAAGUGCCGGAAGCAAAGAAAAGGUGAGUUUGCACCUUUAACCCUUACGCUCUAAAUAAAAACAUAACACCUUCUGAAAGAAUUUGCAUAGAGAAUUUUGCAUGUCACAGUAUUUGUGUUCUAACUAAUCAUGGAUAUUUGAUCAUUAGUCUAACUAAAACUGACUUAUUACCACCUAGUUGAUUGGUCUUUGAGAAAUGUUAGUUGAUAUAUGCUUGAAAUCAUACUUUGUUUUAUUAGAUGAUUAUAUUAACCUGCUUCUUUUUCUUUGUGCUGUUUCUCGUUUGAUUACAUUUUCAACAUUAGGUCGAUCUAUUGAAGCACAAGUUUGGGUUUGAUGAUGCUUUUAACUAUAACGAAGAGCCUGACUUGGAUGCAGCUCUUAAUAGGUUAUCACGAAUGAAUGCCUUAACCAUUUUUCUCACUUCAUUAUUACAAUGCGCUGAUUGAAGUAAUCAGUGUUGGCUCUGAAAAUGUAAUGUAUACUUCUCUGUUUUCAUAAAACAGGACAAACAGUGAUCAGUGAUCUCAUUCGUUACAUUGAUAUUUUCUACCAUUGCCAUAUGCCCAUACAUAGUAUAAACUAGGAAUUCAGUUGCUUAAUUGAUAUUCAUUUCAGAGGGAAAUUUUCACUUGCAGCUAACAGAAUCAUGUUUGUGAUGUAUGUUUAUUUGGGAAAUGAAAGGAUUUGCUGCAUUAUUUUAUUCCAAGUUUGCUGAAAUCAUAUUUGUUUUCCCAGCUGCUUUCCUGAAGGUAUCGACAUCUAUUUCGAAAAUGUUGGGGGUAAGAUGCUUGAUGCAGUGCUAUUCAACAUGAGAAUUUGUGGCCACAUCGCUGUAUGCGGAAUGAUCUCACAGUACAACAUUGAGAAGCCUGAAGGUGUACACAACUUGAUGCAAGUAGUUGGAAAACGAAUUCCCACGGAAGGAUUUCUUGCCGGUGAUUUCUACCACCAAUAUCCAAAAUUCUUGGAACUGGUUAGUGGUUAUGGCGGCAAUCAAAGAAGGAAAGUUAGUAUAUGUCGAGGACAUAGCUGAAGGCCUUGAGAAAGCUCCAUCAGCUCUAGUUGGGAUAUUCACUGAGCAGAAUGUUGGAAAACAACUGGUUGCAGUUGCUCGGGAAUGAUAUGAUUAUUAUAUGACCAUGGACUUUAAAAGCUUAGUGAAGAUGCCUCUGUCUUAUUUGUGAUCCAUGUUAUGUUUGUUUGAGAUACAUGUUAUGUUUGUUUGAUCAAGCUGUACUCAGAUAUAAAUCAAAGAUUCAGAACAUGUGUAUGAUACUGGUUUCUAAAUCAAUGAACGCUUUGAAAUGUUAGUGUUUUCACAGGAGAAUGCAAUUUAAUUCAUCAACAAUGUCCCAACAAGACCCUCAGAGCUGUAGCUUGUAAAGUUAAUUACCAUAUUUUUUUGUAAAGUUAAUUACCAUAUUUUUUUCUUUCCAAUAUAUUGCUUAUUUCAUAGAAAGUUUACAUUAAAGUCUCAUGUUUCUUUGAAAGGUAAGCAAGUGUGAACGUUUCAAUCUAGAGCUGGAAAAUGCAUUUCCGGGCAACUUACUUGAUAAAUGAAGUUUUCAUCUCUGACCAUGAUGUUUCCCACAGGUGCAUUCAUUUCAGCUGAUCUAUUUAAUUUUGUUUUCGAAGGAGUGACACAAAAUCUCCUUUGUUAAGGGGAGAAUUUAGAGCGGCUUUGACUGUUAUCAAAUAGCCUAAUGUAAGACUUAACCAACUUCCUGCCCUGUUGUAUUCUUAUGAAUUUUGAUAGAGCUAAGAGUUUGCAGAAGCUACUGUAUUAUAUGUCGUUAGAGGCUGUAAAAAUCAAACACAUUUAAAUUUCAAUGAAAAUUUACUGGAAGUAAAUUUCCUAUGAUCCUACAGGUGACUAAUUAAUGAGAACUUGACAAUGACAAAAGAAAGUGUAUGAACUUUGCAGGCUGGCAUGCCAAUAUUGACUGGGUGGCACCAUCCACCAUCUGCAAGUGAAUAUCAUUGUUGUUUAAUCAACAUGGUGGAGUCCACUGGGACCACACCACAUCAUCAGCCUUAUCUCUAUUCCUCAAUUUUCAGUAUUCCAUACAUCAAACCAAUUUCAGUUUUGUUAUCAAUUAUAACUUUAUUGUUGGUGACGAUUCUGAUUCCUUUCUGACAAAAGGGAACCAUGGCUGCUGCUGGAGAGAUCUUACUCAACGCCUUCUUUCAGGUACUGUUCGACAGGUUGGCUUCUCGUAAUUUGAUCAGCUUUGUGCGUCAACUCCAAGGCGGGGUUGAUUCGGAGCUCAAAAAGUGGGAGAAAAAGCUGAAGAUGAUUCAGGCUGUCCUCUGCGAUGCAGAGGAGAAGCAACUGACCAACGAGGCUGUGAAGAUGUGGCUGGACGAACUCCAAGACUUGGCUUAUGACGCUGAGGACAUUCUUGAUGAGUUUGCUACUCAAGCUUUGGAAAGCAAGUUGAUGGCGCAAAAUCACGAUAGUUCUGGCCAGGUUCUCAGUUUCAUCCCGGCUGGUUUGAAUCCGAAUGCUAUUAUGUUCAAUUAUAGCAUGGGGUCCAAGAUUAAAGAUAUUACUAGCCGGCUGGAUCAACUCUGCCAAGAAAGAAUUGAACUUGGACUGCAACGGAUUACCGGAGAGGCAUCAUCAACUGCUGCUGGUGCACACCAGAGGCCACCCAGUUCGAGUGUCCCAACAGAACUUGAAGUAUUUGGAAGAGAAGAAGAUAAGGCCAAAAUUCUUGAUAUGUUAUUAGCCGAUACCCUAAGUGAUCAUGCUAACUUUGUUGUAAUACCCAUUGUUGGCAUGGGUGGGAUAGGAAAAACAACUCUUGCUCGGGAGGUUUACAAUGACAAGGCCGUUGGAGAUUGCAAGUUUGAUGUAAAAGCAUGGGUUUGCGUAUCUGACGUCUUUGAUGUUUUGGGCAUCUCAAAGGCACUUCUCGAGUCAAUCACCCGCACGCCUUGUCUUCUAAACAGUUUAAAUGAAGUGCAGGUUGAAUUGAAAGUAGCUGUGGAUAAGAAAAGAUUCUUGCUGGUCUUAGAUGAUGUUUGGAACGAGGACUACAGCUUGUGGGUAGACUUAAAAGCUCCGUUCCUGGGUGCUGCACCAAACAGUAAGAUGAUCGUCACCACGCGCAAUUCAAAUGUUGCAUCAACAAUGGGACCAGUUGAACAUUACAAUCUCAAGAGUCUGUCAGAUGAUGAUUGCUGGUCCAUUUUCAUAAAGCAUGCAUUUGAAUCUAGAGAUCUUAACGAACAUCAAAUUUCAGAAUCAUUCCGCAAGAAAGUUGUUGCCAAGUGUGGAGGCUUGGCCCUGGCAGCAAAAACACUCGGAGGCCUUCUGCGUACGACGAGGCAUGAUGUGUGGGAUGAUAUAUUAGAGAGCAAAAUAUGGGAUUUACCUCGACAAAGUGGGGUUCUCCCAGUAUUAAGAUUGAGUUACCAUCAUCUUCCUUCUCAUUUGAAAAGAUGUUUCGCUUACUGUGCAAUCUUUCCAAAAGAUUAUGAAUUCAAUGAGAAGGAGGUGACUUUUUUAUGGAUGGCCGGAGGUAUUAUUCGACAGUCCAGAAGCAAAGAGAGGCUAGAAGAUUGGGGCAGCAAGUGCUUCUAUGAUCUGGUGUCAAGGUCAAUUUUUCAGCAAACAGCAAUCUCUGAUAGUUCUAAAUUUGUAAUGCAUGACCUUAUUCAUGAUCUUGCUGAAUUGGUCUCUGGAGAAACCAUAUUCAGGUUAGAGGAGGCCAAUACUCUGUCAAGAAGAUUUGAAAGGGUUCGCCAUUCUUCCUAUGCUUGUGGUGGACGUGAUGGUAAAAAUAUGUUCGAGGUUUUCAAUGAAAUUGAACAUCUACGAACAUUCUUGCCAUUACGCUUACGCAUAAGAGGUGGCUCUAAUACUAGUUUCAUAACUCGUACGGUUCUAUCUGAUUUGCUGCCGAAGUUCAAAAUGUUGAGAGUGCUAUCUUUACAAGGAUACCGUAUCGGUGAGUUACCAAUUCCAUUUGAAGAUUUGAGACUUCUAAGGUUCCUCAACCUUGCUGACACUGACAUAAGAAGUUUACCUGAGUCAACAUGCAAAUUGCUGAACUUGGAAAUUUUGAUAUUAAGAAAUUGUUCCCGUUUGAUAAAGCUUCCGCAGAAAAUGAGGAAUUUGAUCAAUUUACGUCAUCUCGAUAUAAGAGGUGCAAAGCUGCUAAAGGAGAUGCCAUUUGGAAUGAAAGAGUUGAAGAAGCUUCAAACAUUGUCCAAUUUUAUUGUAGGCAAGGGUGAAUCCGCAUCUGGUUUGGAAGAUUUAAAAAGUUUAAACCUUCUUUGUGAUGAACUCUGCAUUGCUGGAUUAGAGAAUGUAAAUAGUCCACAGAAUGCAAGAGAAGCCACAUUAUGUGAGAAGCACAAUCUUGAAGCAUUGACUCUAGAAUGGGGGUCUCAAUCUGACAGUCCUCGGGAUGCAGUACUAGAAGAGAAUGUACUUGACACUCUACAACCUCAUGAACGUAUAAAAGAGCUGGCAAUCAGGCACUAUGGUGGUGCAGGAUUUCCACUUUGGAUCGGACAUCCUUUGUUCUCCGAGAUGAAGGUCCUUAAAUUGGAGAACUGUGACAAGUGUGUAUCUCUGCCAUCGCUUGGCCUGAUGAAUUCACUUAAGCACCUUGCUGUUAAAGGGCUGAAGAAACUAAAAAGCAUAGAGUCUGCGGUCUUUCCAUCAUUGGAGACUCUAAGUUUUGAGAAUUUGCCAGAAUGGCAGCAUUGGAACACCAAUAUCAAAGGAAAUGAGCCUGUUGAAAUAUUUCCUCGUCUCCAAGAACUUUCCAUUGCAGAAUGUCCCCAACUCUCUGGAGAACUGCCUGAGCUCCUGCCUUCUUUGGAGACACUUGUUGUUAGUAAAUGUGGAAAGUUGGUAGUUCCAUUGUCAAGCUAUCCGAUGCUCUGCAGAUUAGAAGUUGAUGAGUGCAAAGAGCUAGUGUGCAGGACUCCAAUUAAUUUUGAGUUGAUAAAGUCUGUGACUAUUUCAAAUAAUUCAUUACUCAUGAAUGGAUGCAAGGAGAUGCUAUGCCAUGGUCAAGCUGGCUCUUCACUGCAGAAACCCAAGACUAUUAUGAAUGUUUUGGAGUUCGGAAAAUUAUUGAAGCCUGGAUUUCAGAUAUUAGAAACUUUGGUAAUUGGCAAUUCUGAACGGCUCAAGUCAUGGAGUACUUUUAUUGAACCAGGGCUACAUUUGCUCGCUUCCCCUGAAGAGGUAGCAAUUGAAGAAAGUUGUGUACGUCUUGUUUUGUUUCCAGAGAUCAAUUUCUUUCCCAGAAAUCUGCGCUCUCUUCGAAUUUGCAACAGCACUGCUUUCAAAUCCUUACCCGAGGAAAUGAUGGAAAACAAUUCACAACUCGAAAGGUUGUAUAUCAGAGAUUGCGACUCUCUAACAUUCAUCGCAAGACGGAGGCUACCAGCAUCUCUUAAAAGGCUUGAGAUAGAAAAUUGUGAGAAAUUGCAACGUCUGUUCGAUGAUGAAGAGGAUGCUUCUUCUUCUUCUCCUUCAUCCUUGUCUUCCCCAGUGAUGCUGCAACACCUGAGAAUAGAGAAUUGCCCAGAGCUCACCAGUUUAUCAUCGGGUGUCCAAUUCCUUGAGGCGCUUGAAUACCUCAAGAUAGAGCAUUGUCCAAAGCUGGAGUCAAUACCGGAUGGCCUGCCCAAUCUUAAAUGUUUACAGAGCAUUUAUAUACGGAAAUGUCCAAGUCUUGUUUCCUUCUUAGAAAGAGGGCUUCCCAACGCCAUUUCAAGUUUUUACAUUUGCAGAUGUGACAAGCUCGAAGCCUUGCCCAAUGAUAUGCACAAACUCAACUCUCUUCGAGAUUUAAGCAUACAUGGGUGUCCAAGUCUUGUUUCCUUCCCAGAAAGAGGGCUUCCCAACGCCAUUUCAAGGGUUUACGUUUGCAGAUGUGAGAAGCUCGAAGCCUUGCCCAAUGAUUUGCACAAACUCAACUCUCUUCGAGGUUUAAGCAUACAGAUGUGUCCAAAUCUUGUAUCGUUUCCAGAAGAAGGUUUUCCUACCAAUCUAACAUCACUUACAAUUAGAUAUUUCAAAAUGUAUAAGACACUCGUCCAGUGGGGGUUGCACAGGCUUACCUCUCUUAAACGCCUCUGGAUUGCUGUACGUGAUGAUGAAGCAGAGUGUUUUCCAGACGAGGAGAUAGGAAUGACGCUGCCCACCUCUCUCACCGCUCUGCACCUUACUGGAUUCGAAAAUUUGAUAUUUCUGUCUUCAAUGGGUUUUCAAAACCUCACCUCUCUUCAAUCUUUGAGGAUCGAGAAUUGCCCGAAUCUCACAUCAUUUCCAGAGGUGGGCCUUCCAUCCUCACUUUUGGAAUUACACAUUAGAGAUUGUCUAAAGCUUAAAAAAGCGUGCAAAAGAGAUCAAGGAAAAGAGUGGCCCAAAAUUGCUCACAUCCCUCGCGUUGAGAUAGACGAUAAAUUCAUAUACGAUCCAGAAGCAGAGUAGAUUCUAUUAUUAAGGUCAGUUGAUUUGUAUUAUCCGCUAUAACAAGCUCCUCCUUUUUUUUUCAAAUAAUAAUUUUGCAGUCACUCAUAUGAUUCCGUUUUCACAAGUCAGAUUGUAUGUUGAGGCUAUUUGCCUUUUAAUUAUAACACUUAUUGGAGUAUAAUAUUUUGGAGCAAGCAUACUUGAAAUUUCUGUCUUCAAUAUUUUGAUGCUUUUUUAAUUUUUGAUCUAGUAAAAAUACAUAGCCUUCACCGGCAGGAUUCUAGUCUUGGCUUUCACCUCUCUAACUCAUCGUCCCCACUGGGAUUCCAGAAAUUGAAAUUUCUGUCUUCAAUGGGUUUUCAAAGCCUCGCCUCUCUUCGAUUUUUAUGGAUCGCUUCGAUUUUUGCACAAAUCUCACAUCAUUUCCCGAGGUCGAGGAAAAGAGCGGCCCAAACUUGCUCGCAUCCCUUGGGUUAUGAUAGAUGGAAAAUUCAUAUACGAUCCAGAGUCAGAGGUGUUGAUUCUCUUAUUAAGGUCAACUGAUUUCUAUUAUCCACUCUGACAAUCUCCUAUUAGUGUUUUUCCUUUUCUUUUUCAAAAUUUUGCAGUUCUGUAUAAUUGAAAAUGCCACUCACUUGUUUCCUUUUUCGCAGGUCAAAUAGUGCGUUGAGGCUAUUUGCUUUCUAUCGGUGUUUGUUAAGGUAAUUAGUGCUCCAUCAUAGGUAUGACUGGAUUUUUUUCACUUCCGUAAAUAUUGCAUUUCUAUCGGUGUUUGACUGGAUUUUUUUCACUUCCGAAAAUAUUGCAUUUUAGACUGGCAAAUUUAGCAGUAAUUUUAAUACAAUUUUGUUGGUGCCUUUUGUUCCAGAAGCUAGAAAAAUGUGUAGUUUUCAGAUAAGGAGGCUUGUCAGUUCUCUAAUAAGAAUCCAAUAAUUUGCUUUUGCACGUCCAUCUAAUUUGUGGAUCCUUGCAUCAGAAUUUGAUCAAUCCAAAAGGAAUUGCUUUUAGACAGAGGAAGAAUAGCAGUACCUAGCCUAUGUCAUAGUGUAUGGAACCGCAAACCUGAAACUAUUAGAUUGAGGUAAAAAAAUCAUUGACCCCCUCACAUGUUAACUUCUUCUAGUUACUUUCGUUGGAAAAAAAAACAUUUAAGGAAUUUGCAAUUUGUUGUUGGUUAUGGUAUCUGAUGUUCUUUUCUGUUUUAGUGUUUGUAGAAUCUACUGUAUUAUGUGUUGGCAGUUGCCGUAUCUGAGGUAACUUGCCUUUAUUUGACAAAGAUUUAGAGAAGCAUCUCAAAACACUUAGUAAACUUGACAAACUUCAAGAUGCACUUGCCCCCACGCCUUAUUCUCCACAACGCAAAACUUGUGAGUACACCUAUGCCUGCAAUUAUUGUGAAGUGUUUUCAAUUUUGAUGCAGAGAAAUGGUUUCUUGAUGCAAAAUAUUAAACUGUUAAGAUUUAUCCUGCAGGCUUGUUAGAUGCUGUAUGCUCGAAAAGCCAACAACAUCCAGAACUAGAACUCCAAGACCAGCUUUGCGUUAAUUCAGUCAACUGUAAUAAUAAUGCAAAUGACACUAUAUCAAGCUGGACUUAGAGACUAGUCAGAUCAAUCAUCCAUUUCAUCAACGGUUAAUGUCAUGAUGGUGGCUAUCAGAGGAAACAAAAGAUGUGUCGGAAUCUAUACGAACAUUGAGAAGCAUGAGAGGAGCUUUGAUUUUGAGUAGGGUCAAUGAACUCAUGUUGGUAAGUGGUAAUUAAAGAAAUUUGUAAGCUUAGUAGAGUUUCAGUAUUUUCUGUUUGGAGUAUAGUUGAUAAGUUGACUCUGUUUAAUAAGCCCGAUUAUAGUAGCUGACUGUAUUAACCUUUUUUUUUUUGGUCUACUGUUGUUUUUGGUUUCGAUUAUUUUUUCAACAUUGGGUUGAUCUGUUGAAGAACAAGCUUGGGUUCGAUUCUGCUUUAACUACAAGGAAGAGCCAGACUUGGAUGCAGGCGUUAAGAUUUUAAUGGGUAAGAACAAAUGAAUGCUUUAACCAUGUUUCUCACUAAUUAAAAUGCACGGAUUGAAGGCAUCUGGGUUGAUCCUGACAAUGUGAUGGAAAUACUUCUCUAUUUUGUUCCUGUGUUCACAUAAUGUUUGUGGGAUAUGCUUCGACGAAGACCAGCAAUGAUGAGCAGACACCUGGUAAUAGGGUUCCUCGAGCAGGUAUAUCUUGUAAGAGUAUGGUAUUCAGGGGAGCAGGAGCAGGAAUAUCCUGCUCAUCCGCGAGCACGUCAUCCACGAGGCCAAUCUCCUGUUGGAAGCAUAAAGCCAUUCCUGCUACAUUCCUGCUAAGGGUUGAGUCGAGGAGACCCGGUCAACGACAGUUGGCGAGGCGUGCUCUCCAGUCCGAGAAUCAAGGCAUGAAGGCCACGCAACCACCCACGACUACGGAAAUGGGGCAUCCACUUUCGAGAGGUGGGAGGAUAACGAGCGCGAAUGGAAGAAGGCCCGAGUUCAGAGAUGGCCUAUAAAAAAGUAGCCAACAAAGGUAAAAGGGUUAGAAUUUUUGACAUUGUAACAGAAAAAAAGAAAGCUCUAAAGAACUGAGACUAAAAAAGAAAAGCCAUAAGAUUUGUGGCUAGUGUUCCCAGAACCUUCAUAUCUAACUUGAGCGUCGGAGGGUUUACGCCGGGAAAACAACCGGCGUACUCUGACCUAGUUCUGUGUACGCAGGAACUUCUGGAGAAGAAGCCUUACGAGGAGAGAUCCUAAUCGAGGUGGAGUUGAUCGAGCAAAGAUCCUGGUCGUAACAAGAGAGCAACCAGAAUCUCGCAUCAACAUUUUGGCGCCAUCUGUGGGGACUUGAUCAAAAAGCUUCUGUUGAUAGCAAGAAGAGGAGUGAAGCAAGUGGAAAAGCAAUGGAGGCAAGAAGAAAUAGUGCACAAUGGGGUGAUAUGAGGCUUAACGAUUCCGUGACGCUGAGGGAGAUAGCCAGUGAAGCACGGGAAAAAGCCAUGUUUGACCGGAUGGAACGGAUGGAAAAGCAGAUGCAGACCCUGACAACCAUCCUACAUGAGCUGCGGAGUGAACGAAGGGGAACCCAGGAGGAAAGGGUGAGAGGUGGUGGAGUGGCACCAGGUCAUGAUAGUACGAGGAGAAGUCAAACCACCGAGAGAUUUGGUGGUGAGAGAGGUAACCUAUCUCUACGGGGAGAAAUUCAUAGAGAGGAAGAGCAAUCCCCGGCAAGACAGAUUUUUGACGAGGACGACGGGGUGGCGAAUGCAGAGGAAACAGAGUUGAGGUAACACUUGCAUGAUGUAGAGCAAGAGCGGGAUCAAGUUGCAGCACGUGACCUUGGUCGUGUAGUGCAGCUGGAGGAGGAAGUGCGCAGACUAGCGCAGAUAAUUGAUGACAUGUAAGGAAGGAGCAGAGCUCCUGGUUGGAGGAUAAUGCUGGACGGAGAAUCACCGCUCGCAGCAGAGAUCAUGAGGGCAGUUAUUCCAAGAGAUUUCCGCCUCCCAGACCUUAGAUAUUCGGGACGAACUGAUCCGCUGGUGCACAUAGAGCGCUUCAACGACAUAACCGGGGUACAAGGAUUAUCUCAAUCCCAAAGGUGCAGGGUGUUCCCACUAUCCCUUGAGGGACGUGCACGCAAGUGGUACAGGAAACUUCCUCGGUGGAGCAUUAAAACCUUCGAGCAGAUGUGACAGGAAUUUGUAGAGCAGUUUCGUGGGGCAAUAGCACCAGAAGAUGACAUGAUGGAGUUGAAAAGCAUGAAGCAGGGGGAACAAGAAACCCUUCGGGAAUUCAUCAAGAGGUUUCAUCGUGCUGUCCUCGAUUUGGGAGCCUUCAACCAUUCUCAGGCAUUAAGGGGAUUGAAAGAAGGGGUGAAGAUAGGAAGGCUGUGGCACAACUUGAGAAGCCCAGUUAUUCAGAUGUAUACAGCCGCAUACGAGCAGGCUAAGAGGGACAUUGAGAUUGAAGAAGAAAAGGCAGCACGGAUUAAGACAGACCAGCUAGAAGGGUUGGGAAAGAAAGAGAAGAAAGCAUUACCAGGGAAUGGGCCGAUCAGGAGGAAGGACCACCAGGCCUCAGGUAGUGGUGCAAGAGGUCGAGUAACCGCUUACCAGCCUCAUCAGAGACCACCACAGUAUUAGCACAGCAGAGCACAACCUCCUCGUUCCCCAGUUAGAGAGCUUUGGAGAAGGCAUGACUCGACAUAUGGUGGUCUUCAUCAACACUCCCACGGUAGUAGAGGGAGCAGACCAGAAGCGCUGCCACCGCCUCUAACUCAGAAUGGAACAAAUAGAGAAAGGGUAGUGCACAUGAUCGACCAGAACCAGGACUAUGGGCAGUAUACUUCCUUGAAGAUGUCCCUGGACGAGGUGUACGAGGCCAUAAAGGACCGGGGAUUGAUGUACCUCCCUGCCCCAAUAACAAAGCUACCCAGCAGGACGGAUAGGGGACGCUAUUGUAAGUUCCAUGGCACUUAUGGCCAUACCACUGCAGAAUGCAGAGAUCUCAAGACCCAAGUUGAAGAUUUGGUGAGAAAUCGGUACCUGGAUGAGUUUAUAGAUGAGACUUUCCCGAUGGUGGCCUCGACAUGUGAAGGGGAGCAGAGUGAUAGAAACUUUAGGCGCGAGCAGCCUGCAGUAAGGGUAAUAGCUGGGGGCCCAACAUUGGCCGGAGAUUUCAACAGAUCGAGGAAGAAUUAUGCUAGAUACGCCAUAACUAGUAAAGAGUUACUCUUCAACACCCCAGCAGCCAAAUGAGUAAGAGUCAGACAAGUGCCAAUCAUGUGGACGGAUGAAGAUGAAGAAGAGAUUCUAUACCCCCACGAGGAUGCUUUAGUCAUCAAGGCUACUGUUGCAAGUAAGAAGUUUGACCGGAUACUGGUUGAUACAGGGAGCUCAGUUGAUGUGUUAUUUAAGUCAACUCUGGAGGAGAUGGGAAUAGCAGGCCGGAAGUUGGAGUACACCAAUACCUCCUUGAAAGGGUUUGGAGGAGGAAAGCUGGUCCCUCUGGGCGUGGUCGAGCUGCCUAUCACGAUUGGGAGCUCCCCGACAAAAAGGACUAUGAUACUGGACUUUGUGGUGGUGGAUGAAGAAUGUCCUUACCAGAUGAUCUUAGGUCGGCCAUUUCUGAGGAUGAGCAAAGCGGUACUGUCCAACCAUUAUCUGGCUCUCAAGUACCGAGUGAAUGUGGUAGUUGGAGUGGUACGAGGAGACCAGAGAAUAGCACGAAGCUGCUACUCCUUGGCAGCAAGGGAAGCAAUGCAAAUAACAUCCCUUGAUACCCGAGUGGAAAACAUGAAUGGCAGACAAGAACCUGUAGAGGAGCUGGAGACAGUAAGCCUGGGACCAGAGAAUCCGGGAAAAACGAUCAGAAUCGAGUCGAGACUUAAGGAAGAGCAGAAGCAGGAGUUGGUGAAAUGCUUACAGGCUCAUGCAGAUGUGUUUGCUUGGACACAUGAAGACAUGCCAGAGAUUGAUCCUGAGGUAGCAUGUCAUAAGCUGGCAAUAAAGAAAGGUGCUCGGGCAGUAAGGCAGAAAAGGAGGUGCUUCAACCAGGAGAGGUAUGAGGCUAUAAAUGGCGAGGUGGAGAAGCUCUUGAUAGCAGGGUUCAUUUGCGAAGUCGAUUAUCCUGAGUGGAUAUCGAAUGUGGUGUUGGUAAAGAAGGCAAAUGGCAAGUGGAGGAUGUGUGUAGAUUUCACAGAUCUCAAUAAGGCGUGCCCGAAAGACAGCUUUCCUUUAUCAAAGAUCGACCAGCUAGUAGAUUCAACGGCUGGACACGGCCUGCUUAGCUUCAUGGACGCGUUUUCGGGAUACAACCAAAUUCCCAUGUAUGAGCAGGAUGAGGAGAGCACGGCUUUUAUUACUAACCAGGGUUUAUUUUGUUACAGGGUAAUGCCAUUUGGUCUUAAAAAUACUGGGGCCACGUACCAGAGGCUGGUGAAUAAAGUCUUUAAGCCAUUGAUUAGGAGAACCAUGGAGGUGUACGUGGACGACAUGAUAACCAAGUUGAACAUCCCGAAGGAACAUGUCAGAUACCUCGAGGAGACAUUCGGGCUUUUGAGGAAGUAUAAGAUGAAGCUCAACCCGGAAAAGUGUGCUUUUGGGGUCGAGUCAGGGAAAUUCCUUGGAUUCAUGGUGAGCCAUAGGGGGAUCGAAGCAAAUCCCGAGAAGAUCCACGCGAUCGUGUAAAUGAGGUCACCUCGUAGCCUGAAGGAGAUGCAGAGCCUCACGGGGAGGUUGGCGGCAUUGAGCCGAUUCAUAUCCAAGGCUACUGAUAAGUGUCAGCCAUUCUUUCAAGUGAUAAGGAGGGGAAAGAAAAUAGAAUGGACCCCAGAAUGUGAAGAAGCCUUCCAGAACUUGAAGCAGUACUUGCAGCAAGCACCUCUACUGUCCACACCGAGGGAUGGGGACAAGUUAUUUUUGUAUUUGGCGGUAUUAGAUCGGGCCGCAAGUUUUGUUCUGGUGAGAGAGGAAGAAGGGGUUCAGUAUCCGAUAUACUACACCAGCAAGGCUCUGCUCGACCCUGAGACCAGAUACCCACCGUUGGAGAAAUGGGCAUUUGCCCUUGUGGUUGCUGCUCAGAAGCUGAGGCCAUACUUUCAAGCAUUCCCAGUCUCGGUAAUAACAAACCAGCCAUUGCGUCAAACUCUGCACAAGCCAGAUGCUUCUGGUCGGCUCGUCAAGUGGACUAUAGAGCUGAGCGAGUUCGACAUAGACUACAAACCCCGAGCAGCGAUAAAGGCUCAGGCGAUGGCCGAUUUCAUAGCAGAAUUCACAGAGCCCGAAAUAUGUUUGGACCAGCGAGAUGUAGCUACAGACAGCAACGAAGCCCGAGUAUGGCAGAUGUCUGUAGAUGGAUCAUCCGGGGAGUAGGGAUCAGGAGCAGGAAUUGUUUUGGAAGGCCCAGAAGGGGAGGAGAUCUCUUAUGCUGUAAAGUUAGAAUUCGCAGCCACAAAUAACCAAGCAGAGUACGAAGCCUUGAUAGCAGGUUUGGAAUUGGCUAAGGCAGUGAAAGCGGAUAGAGUGAAGAUCAGAACUGAUUCCCAGCUGGUCGCAAAUCAUGUCAGUGAAAGAUUUCAACCGAGAGAGGAGAAGAUGGAGCAGUACCUGAAGAUAGUCAGGCAUAUGAUGGGGAAAUUUGAAGCGGUUUAGGUGAUACAAAUCCCCAGGGAGCAGAAUAGUCGAGCAGAUAUUUUGACGAGGAUGGCAGCGGUAGCAGACCCAAAAAUGCCAAAGUCGAUCCCUCUGGAGGUGAAGUCCAGCCCGAGCAUCGAGCAUAAUUUGGGGGUGCUGCGGAUAGAACAAAAAUGCUCGUGGAUGGACCCGAUAAUUUCAUACCUUAGAGACGGGGUAUUACCACCAGAGAAGCUGCGAGCUCGGAAGAUUAGAGCCCAGGCCUCGAGAUACACGAUGAUUGACGGGGUAUUAUAUCGGCGAGGAUAUACGCUACCUUUCCUUCGGUGUUUGGAUGAGGACGACGCGGACUACGUACUGAGAGAAGUACAUGAAGGAAUUUGCGAAAAUCACUAUGGUGGGAGGUCCCUGGCUCACAAGGUUCUAAGGCAGGGAUAUUUCUGGCCGACAAUGCACCAGGAUGCGCAAGAGAAGACCAGGAGCUGUGUAAGCUGCCAGAGUUUUGUGAGUUUCUCUAACCAACCACCAGAGAAGCUCACCUCUAUGGCCCCCCCCUGGCCAUUUGCUCAAUGGGGAAUUGAUCUGAUCGGCCCGUUGCCAAAGGGAUGAGGAGCAGCAACACAUGCAAUAGUUGCGAUAGACUACUUCACGAAGUGGAUAGAGGUAGAAGCCCUUAGUAGGAUCACAGAGAAGAAAACAACAGACUUUGUAUGGAGAAACCUGGUCUGUCGAUACGGGAUCCCUUAUGCCUUGGUAACGGAUAAUGGCAGGCAGUUUGAUAAUCACAGCUUCAGGGAUUUCUGCCAGAACCUCGAGAUAGAGUUGAAGUAUUGCUCGCCUGCUCACCCUCAAUCUAAUGGACAAGUAGAAGCAGCCAACAAGACCAUCAAGAGGCUUUUGAAAACCAGGCUUGGAGCAAAAAAGGGUGCAUGGGUUGAUGAGCUGUCAGGUGUCCUAUGGGUAUACAAGACAACCCACAAAACAGCAACUGGGGAGACACCGUUCGCCUUGGCUUUCGAACAUGAAGCGGUCGUACCAGCCGAGAUAGGAACGACCACGCACCGGACAGAUCAUUUCAAUGAGCAGGAGAACGACGAGCAGAUGUGUUUGAAUCUAGAUCUGCUAAUGGAAAAGAGGGAGCAAGCAGCCGAGCGAUCAACCAUUUGCCAGCAGAGGGUUGCUCGGUAUUAUAACCAGAAGGUGAAUGUACGGCAGUUCAAGGUCGGAGAUUGGGUGUUAAGAAGAGUGAAUCAGAAUACGAAAGACUCGGCUCAGGGAGUACUUGGACCAAAUUGGGAGGGGCCAUAUAGGGUCAAGCAGCUAGUUGGACCCGGAGCUUACAAGCUGGUUCGCUCGGAUGGCCACGAGGUGAAACGCCCAUGGAACGCAACACACCUCAGGAAAUAUUUCCAGUAAGAAUUGUCCAUGUUUUCAAGUUAUUUCUGUUCGUGUUUGUUGUUAUUUAUUUUAUGUCAAAACAAUUUCAUGUAAGUUGAAUCCUGCAAUUAAUGAAACGUCGAGGAAUUUCAUUCACUUGAAACUGUGAAAAAUCUACUAAGGCAUGCUAAGGCUCACUGAGUCUCAAAGCCUGUUUAUGGAAAGACCAGAAGCCAAGUGUGCCAGGAUCUGCUCGACCACGCGAAGGCCAGCAGAAUCCCAAAUCAUUGAAGAAUCUACCAAGGCAUGCAAAGGCUCGUCAAGUCUCAAAGCCUGUUUAUGGCGAGACCAGAAGCCAAGUGUGCCAGGAUCUGCUCAACCACGCGAAGGCGAGCAGAAUCCCAAUCAUUGAAGAAUCUACCAAGGCAUGCAAAGGCUCGUCAAGUCUCAAAGCCUGUUUAUGGCGAGACCAGAAGCCAAGUGUGCUAGGAUCUGCUCAACCACGCGAAGGCGAGCAGAAUCCCAAUCAUUGAAGAAUCUACUAAGGCAUGCUAAGGCUCACCGAGUCUCAAAGUCUGUUUAUGGCGAGACCAGAAGCCAAGUGUGCUAGGAUCUGCUCGACCACACGAAGGCGAGCAGAAUCCUAAAUCAUUGAAGAAUCUACCAAGGCAUGCAAAGGCUCGUCAAGUCUCAAAGCCUGUUUAUGGCGAGACCAGAAGCCAAGCAUGCCGGGAUCUGCUCGGCCAAGUAAAGGCCAGCAGACUCCCCAACAUCAAAAAAUUAUCCAAGGCAUGCAAAGGCUCGUCAAGUCUCAAAGCCUGUUUAUGGCGAUACCGGAAGCCAAGCAUGCCGGGAUCUGCUCGACCAAGUGAAGGCUAGCAGACUCCCCAACACUGGGAAAAUUAUCUAAGGCAUGAGAAAGCUCGUCAACUCUCAAGGCCUCCUCUGUGACGAGGUCAGAAGCCAAAUGGAUAAAUAAAUUAAAAUUCCAAUGCGAGGAAGCAAAUAAGAACAAUUUUAUUAAGCUCUUAAAAGUCUGCAAUUCUGUUACAUACAACGCUAAAAAAGCAAUUACAACGCAAGACAAGUUCAGGAGGACGGCGGAUCAGUAAACCGAGUAGCUUCGGUUGGCUGGUCCACUUCAGGGGUCGAGGGGGUGUCACCAGUUGCGUCCGGGGGGGUACUCGCCUCACCAACGUUAGCAGGGACUGCAUGAGGAGGAGAGUUUUCCUCCUCAACCACGAUUGGCUCCACCCCUUCGGCAUCCUCCUUUGCCGCCUCCUCGUCCAUGUGUUGAACAAUACUAGCCGCAAGGUCAUCCAUCUUCAGAUCAGGAUGCUGCUUCCCGAGGACGGCCAUGAUGCAACGAUAGGAAUGCCGAAGUCCCUGGUCGUACUGGUUGUCGGCUUCCUUCUCCAAGUUCUUGACCUGAACUCGGUGGGAAUCGCGGAGAGAUUCGAGCUGAGCCUCGUACAUAAUUUUCUGCCUUUGCAGAUCCUCCUUGACCUUAGUCAGCUCUUCCUCGAGAGUAACGGCCUAUGCUUGAGCAAGAGAUUCUUGCUCUAUCAGCUUCAGAUUCUCGAGAUUCAAGUCUCCCGCUUUCUUCUCGGCAGCAUCGGCUCUGGUCGUCGCCGAUUGAAUGUCCUCCUUCAUCUUCCGGUCGUAACGGCCAACCUUGGCCUUAUAGUAAGUGGUCAUGCAGCUGAGGUGGAAAGCGCUAUACUGCAUGGCCCCCACCAGCUCACCUAGGGUGCAGCCAUCAAAGUCCUCCAGGUCCUUCUUGCUCACGAGUUUAAAUAGCUCAUUGAGAUAGGGGACCAAGUGUUCUGCUCGGUGGUCAGAUAAACGAGAUCUAGGCCCGACAGGAGGAGAAGAGAAAGCAGGAUCAGUGGCAGCUCCACUAGUCUCUCUGACUUUGGCAGGAGGAGGAGGAGGUAGAGUCUGCAAGGGAGCAACCUGUUGCACGAUGUUCACCUGCUUUGCAGUAGGAGCAUCUUUAUUCUGGUCCUGCUUGGUCGUUGGAGGUCGAGAACGUUUCCUAGUCAGAGCCCCAAUCACAGCAUCCUCCAUCUUAUGGCCGGGAGGCACCAAACAAGACUCGAGCAGGUUAUAAGUAGUUAUCAGCUCUCGGCUCGAGCAGGAAUUGGCUAGUACAGCCUCGACCCGUUUGAGCUGGUCAGGUUUGAGCGGGAAGUAAACACCCCAAGAACCUGCAACACAAAUAGACACUUGGUUAGAGACAAACCAGUAUAGCGAGAACAAUUAUGGAUACAAGACAUCUAAAGCGAGCAGGCAACCUGAGAUCACGAAACGGGGUGGGACGCAAGAAUCCUUCCCGUCAAUUUGUGCAACUUGACCCCAGGAACCCCCAGCAAAAAAGAAUUUUUUCUUCCAAUUCCCACCACCACCAGUAAGAAGAUCGGUUAUGGGUUUCCUGGUCUUGGUACUAGAUUGGAAGUAGUACCAGCCGGCAUCUUUGGGGCUGCUCUUUAGCUGGUACAGGUGCUUCACCUCAUCAACUGUGGGCUUGCUUUGGCAACAUCUGUCCCACAAUAUGAACAGACCAGAGAGUACUUUCCACCCGUUGGGGUUCAGCUGACCAGGAGCUAGAUUUAGCCCGUUAAGCAUCCGGGCAAAGUAGGGUUGCAAGGGACACCUCAGCCCAUACUUAAAGCUCUCUAGAAACAGGGUAACGUAUCCCCUAGGAGGCCGGCUAGGGGUAUCCUUCUUUCCUGGGAUCUUAAGAGGUAUUUCACCAGGAAUACUAUACUUAAGCCGGAGGUCAGUGAGCUCGUCAAACGUGGUCGUGCACGUCAUGUAAUCAAUAGCGUAAUCCCGCGAUAGGGCUCUACCUCCUACUGUACUCUGCCCUUCUGGUCGCGAUGUUCAUAAUGGGGACACCUCACCAGAAUCACCUCUUCGAUCCUCACUCAGGGUGUUUUCCGAGCCAGAAAACCCCUCCUCACCGCUAUUUCUGCUCGAGGAGGUUGUUUGGGGGGACAUCCUCCUAGCGCUAGUACCAACACUAGGUCUAAUGGGUUCUAAGGGGAUCCCGGGGUCAAAAGCAGGAUCGGUGAGCAGACUAGGCAGGAAGUCCAACUCAUUGUCAUCAACCUCAAUGACCUUCUCUUUACCUUUCGACAUUCCCUAAGCUAUAACUAGAACACCACCACCAACUACUACCCAAGCAAAGCAAAGAGAAAAGAAAUUAUCUACAGCUAUCCGAGACUGAGGAGAUAGAAGUAAUACCUGAAAUAGUGGUUCAGUCGGAGAAGGACAGGGAUGGAGGCCUUUAUGCCGGAACUUCUUUGCCAGGGAGACAGGGACAGAGACGGGGUAAAUGACGAAUUUUCCUUUGGAGAGGUUUUAGGUUUUCCUAAUGGAGAAUAAACUCUUGGGUUGCCAGCAUUUAACAGCACCAAAUCCCGAGGGUCUCGUAACCGUUGGUUUGAAAUUCAAAUAGAGAGGUAGAUUUCUGUCACAUCACCUCGUCCGCAAUUAAAUGCGACACAACUCUUGGCAGCCUUUUUCCUAUCCCGCGCAAGCAAGAGCUGUCAAGUUUCUACUAUCGGCUUACUACGUUACCCAACACCAGAAACUGGGGGAUCGGUGUUUGUGGGAUAUGCUUCGACGAAGACCAGCAAUGAUGAGCAGACAUCUGGUAAUAGGGUUCCUCGAGCAGGUAUAUCUUGUAAGAGUCUAGUAUCCGGGGGAGCAGGAGCAGGAAUAUCCUGCUCAUCCGCGAGCACGUCAUCCACGAGGCCAAUCUCCUGUUGGAAGCAUAAAGUCAUUCAUGCUACAUUCCUGCUAAGGGUUGAGUCGAGGAGACCCGGUCAACGACAGUUGGCGAGAUGUGCUCUCCAGUCCGAGAAUCAAGGCACGAAGGCCACGCAACCACCCACGACUACGGAAAUGGGGCAUCCACUUUCGAGAGGUGGGAGGAUAACAAGCGCGAAUGGAGGGAAGGCCCGAGUUUAGAGGUGGCCUAUAAAAAGGUAGCCAACGAAGGUAAAAGGGUUAGAAUUUUUGACAUUGUAACAGAAAAAAAGAAAGCUCUAAAGAACUGAGACUAAAAAAGAAAAGCCAUAAGAUUUGUGGUUAGCGUUCCCAGAACCUUCAUAUCUGACUAGAGCGUCGGAGGGUUUACGCCGGGAAAAGAACCGGCAUACUCUGACCUGCUUCUGUAUACGCAGGAACUUCUGGAGAAGAAGCCUUACAAGGAGAGAUCCUGAUCGAGGUGGAGUUGAUCGAGCAGAGAUCCUGGUCGUAACAAGAGAGCAACCAGAAUCUCACAUCAACACAUAAUAUAAUAUAUAUAUAUAUAUAUAGAAAGCUGAAUUUAUUUAUUUACGCGCAUGUGCUAGUGCCCACUGGCAUCCACUUGAUUUGUAUCGGUUAAAUGUAUCAUACAAUACAAUAUUAGCUUGACUGUAGAAAAGAGGAGAACGAGUUGGUGUUGGUCUGAACUCUUAUCUUUGAAUCUCACGUGACUCCACUACUUUUUACUUGUUCUGUAGUCCAUUGUCGGCAGCUCAUACAAGGUCUUUUAGCUUUUUAAAAAGUUUUAGCUUUUUGGAUAAAUUACUGAUAAUUGUAAUCUAUAAAUAAUGAAAGGAAUUAAUUAAAUAUUUGGUAAAUUUUAUUUUUUAAAGUGUUAUGAGUUUUAAAAACGGUUGUAUGUAUAUAAAUUUAUUUACACAUAUAUUUAUAAAUAUGACUAUAUAAUAAUAUUUUAUGUGUACAUAUAAUAAUUGAUAACUAAAAUAAAUAUUUUUAUUUUAUUAAUGGUUUUUUCGUCUCAAUGUAGUUGGUAAUAAUAAUCUCUUGAGAUGUAACGAUUUUAUUUCCUAACUGAAUAAGGAAAAUUUUAGAUUUUUAUAAUAAAUGUUAAGAUAUAUUUAGAAUUACAUUAAGUAUGAAAUAAUCCUCAAAAUUAGAUUUUGAAAAGCAAUUCUUUUCUUGCCUUUAAAAAUAUGUCAUAUGAUGAGAUGAUUUUACUAAAAGUGAUUUUUUUUUAAAAAAUUACUAAACAUCAAAAUUAACUCUUAACUUUUUAAAAUCAUUUCUAAUCUUCUCAUCCUAAGUUCUCUAUUAUUUUGUACAAAAUCCAAGGUUUUGACUUUAAUAAAAUGCCCACUCAAAAAGAAAUUAUUUUCUAAUUAAGAUUUGUUGUUAAUGUAUAACUCGAAGUAAUAUUAGAUAUUUGUAAUUUUAUUUCAAAAAAUUUAUUCAAAUGAUAUGGCAAGCAAUGAACAAUAGUUGAUAGCAAUUUUUUUUUCUUUAACAAUGUUCAAAUCAAUCAGUUGCAUUAUCUCACCAUUUUUAUGAUGCCAUGUUAUUUUAAACGAUUUUUUUUUUAUAUAAAACAUACGACGUGUUAACAUCAUUUGCAUAACUUGACCUUUUUUUUUUUCCCUACAAAUAGUAAGUCAAAUUUACUCACCCUAUUUCUACCUAAAAUCUACCUAAAACUCAUGCAUCACUGCAAAACAAAUCCAAAGAUUGCGGUGCGUUUUUCUUGGUCAGAAAUCAAUAAUUAGGUCAAGUACUACUACUAAGCGUGCACAAUUAAUUCUAAAAUACGGUGAUCAAAAUCAUACUUUACGCAAGAGGAUCAGGGCUAAACUUCAAUUAGGCAUUAUUCAUCCAAAAAUCAUUGACUCGGCAUUCUUUGCAAGUUGUAGCAUGGGACAGCUAAGAUAAUUAGCAAAUGAUAUGGACCAUAUGCACCAAUACAUUUGUGACAUGUGAAUCUUGGCAUUAAAGGAAAGGCAAUGUGUCAAAAUUUAAUAGAGCCCAACUCUUCAUUGAAUGAUUAUCAGAUCCAAUACGCAUCCUUUGAUUGGAUUAUUUUAAGUCAAUUAUUGGUGGAUUGGGGCCCACUUGACUCUACCAAAUCGGGCUCGACCAUAUCACCUAUUAACGGCCACCUGUCCUUAUCAUAAAUAGCAAAUGUCACUUGUUUUAUUUUCUAUUUUACCAAAGUAAAGUCACUACGAACGCAAAAGAAAGUGACCUCAAUUUUGGGGGUCAUGAACUUUGGAUUAUUAUGGACACAAGAGACAAGCGCAAUGUUUCUCAUUUAUCACUGGAUAAGAUUUAAGUUAUCAACCCAAUAUUAAUAAAUUCUGCUUGAAAAGUAAAGUUUGAAGCUUCAUUUUGCGAAUAUUCAAUGGUUAACAUUUAAGUAAUUAACCUGAUAUUAAUCCAAUUAAACUUUUUAUGUAAUCCAAGUCAAAAAUAUAUUGAUAAACCUAAACUAAUCUAAUUGGACAUAUUAUUUCAACUUGAAAAGGUGAAUUUAUCAUUUUUCAAUUAAUUUUGAAUCAAGCUAUGUAAAAUAUAAGCUUAUUAAAGACAUAUUUGAAAAUUUCAAAUUGAAUUAUUUGACAAUUACAUUUCAACUAAGUUGUACUGCUAAUUAACUUCCUCAACUUAAAAUGUAUUUUUCUCAAUUAAUUCGUAACAAAGAAUGUUAGAUGUUUUGUUCGAAUGAUAACAUUCAACAUCCUUAUUCUUUAUGAUUAUUGCAUAAAAACAUAUUUUAUCCAUUUACGUCACAUAUGUUCCUAAAUUGUAUAAGAAAAUCACCAAAUUUACUCUUGUAAGUUACUAUAUCAAUGAACAUGAAACUAACUAAUCAUUAAAGUCUCGGAAUGACAUCAUGAGGGGGAUUCCGUUACAUUUAUUGAUAGGAUUAGAUAUAUGUCUUCCCAAAUAUUAGUAGGAGUAAUUAAACAGAUGCAGCUAUUAAAAAUAUGGAAUUACUUAUCUCGUCAAUAACUAACGAUAUUUUUUAUCUAUGCUCGAUAGGCGUCUGAGCUAUAUUAUAAAUUGUAAUAUUUGUAGAUUGUAACAAUUAUAAAAAAAAAAAAAAAAAGCUCCCUAAGACUAAACGACAACAGGACUGUUUUGAAAUAGAUAGAUAAAGUAUGCCCUUAUUUGAGAAAAGGUAAAACACUAGGGAUCUAAAUGUUAUUAUAAUCCCAUGCACAAAAAUGCUAGAAAAAACUAAUAACAACUAACCGAAAAUCCCAGGCGUCAUAUUCCUUUUUACCGCGUUUUAAAAUGCACAACAAUGAUAUUCUCACAAAAGUGGGUACAAAGGUUUGUACAACCAGGGUCUCUUUGUAAAUUAUUUCAAAGUUUUGUGUUAUUUUUUAAAUUUAUGAUUUUUAUUAAUUUUGAUUCAUUGGAGCAUUUCUCCUUCCAUCUCUUCUACAUCUAUUUUUAAAGUUUUUUAAAAUUUUGACUAUAUCUUUAUAGAGUUCUAAAUGAUUAUCUUUUUUCAUAAAAAUCUAUACUUAAAUUAAUCCUUGAAUUUAUAAUCAUUUAUCUUCUUUGAGUCAUAGACCAAAUUUUUUCUUCUAACAUAUCUAUGUAUACUCCUAAGCUAUCUUCAUGGCUUAGAUACAUUCUAUCAAAGCUUUCACAUAUAAAUUGUGAUUUGAGAUCUGCAUCUUGAAUCAACAUCUCUAUAUUAUCCAUUGUUUUACGCUCGAGGGUAGUUAAAAUUGAUUCUAUUAAUGCUAUCGUGUUUCUCCUUCAAAAGAAUCAAAUAUUUCUGGAUUAUUAAUUUCUUUUAUUUCUUCAUACAAGCAUUCGUUUGCCGUUAAUCUUGUUUUAAUCAAGGAAGCUGUAUAAGCAACUUGAUAUUCUUGACAAAAGUCUAAAUGAUCUAUUGCAUCUAGAAAUUUAUUAAUAGAUCUUUCCAUUUUUAAGAAAUUGAGUUACUCUUAUCACUUCCAAUCUUUUAACAUCUCAGAAAACAAACAAGGCCCAGCAUGCUUCCGUUUGUAGCUCAAAUAAAAGAAGAGUUCAGAUCACUAACCAAUGUACUAUCUCUCGGAAGUCUGAGAUAGACUCACUAAUUGCCUCUAACCAUAGAGAGGUCCAUGGUCAGCACCACCAUAGCUCCACACAUCAUACAAGAUCACUUCAACGACUGUUCCACAUGGCCUAAUGCAACACACAGCAGACUGGCCUAAUAGGAUAUGUCUAAGUGAUUUUCUUGCAGUUGUCUCUGGAAGAGUGCUUAGUAAUAGAAAAUCUUCUUCGUUUAGUACAAGUAUUGGUAUGUAAGGUUCUUGAUUAAUUUUCAAAAGAUGUAUAAGUGUUAGAGUGCAAUUUAUGCACUAGUUUUGCAUUAUUUACUUCCCUUAAUAUCAAUGUUUUGCACUUAAUAAUAGUGAUUUACUUGUGUUUUACUUUUGUAGGUCCAAUUCUAUUGAUUGAUGAUAAAAUUGAGCUAUAAGAUGAUGUUUAAGGAUGAUUGUUCUCUUGGAGAAAUUAUGAGCGUCAGAAGAACUUUGUUGAUAAGGCGUGGGCGCGUGCUGUCAAUUGCGGACCUGCAGUUUUUAGUUUAACGUGUUUUGUAUUUUUGGUUAUUUUUGUAAUUACGAAUUUAAUAUUUCAGAUAUUAAGAUUUUAUUUUAAAUAGAAUUCUAAAAGAGAAGAGAGAGAGAGUAUUUAAGGGAGGAAUCUAUUGUGAAAAAGGGGGAUUUUGGAUUGGAGAAAGAAAGAAACCCUAGAUCUAAUUUUUCUCUUCUCUCUAUGAAGAACUAAACUUAUUUUUCUAGUUGAAGGUUAACGAAGCUUUGAUUCAUCACUACUGUGAGAUCUUUCUUAUGCUUUAAUUGUUUUAUUACUUUUUGGAUAUUUGUUUAUUCUCUGAAUUUUUUUCAUGAUUAUGUUUGUUAAUUAGGUAAUUGGCCACUAUUUAAUUAUCAACUUAAUCUAUUGUCAAUUAAAGGAUUCAUCGUAUGAAGAAUUUAAUAUUUGUGACAAAUAACAUAGCAGAGAGUUGUGUUGUGAGAAUAAACAAUCUAAUUUAAAUGAAUCAUCAUAUGUGUUGAUUAGGAUUUGGGUCUCUCUGGUUUUUCAGGCUGUCAAUGAAUUAAAUCCUAUGAUCGUAUCUAGGGUUGUCCAUUGAUUAGGGAAAUAACCAACGGUCGUACCUUGGUUAUCGACUAGUAAAGGAGAGAUUGGCUAUUAGAGGGUCUCAAUAGCUAUAACCGGUCUAUUCAUAAGUAAUAAUAAUCUAUAUUUGAAUCAAUGAUCAGUAGUAGAAUCAAGCUGAGUUAAUUCCUUCAACCAGAGCUUUCUCCAAUUUGAAUUACAACUUUAAUUUGCAUUCUUGUUAUUUUGAUUUGAUUUUUAUUAUUGUCAACAAUUCCCCCAUUUUACGUUUUACGUUUCAAAAGGAUUUAAAUAAUUACCGAUCUCUGUGGACACGACCCUGCUCAAUCACUAUACACAAUUUAUUUAGAGUAGGAAUUUAUUUUUGUUCGCUUCGACACCACUGCUGCCUCGCCAACUAUUCCUUCUACAUCCGCACCACCUUUGAGCAUUCAGUUAGAGAAAAUAGAGCACAAGCUGAACAAGAUGGAGCAGAAUUUGGCCGCAUACUUCGAGAGUGUGGGUUUUACCCCACCAUUUCCGCCAAGCCCAUAGACGUUAUGUGGAUCAAAGCUCACAAUUCAGGGAAGUUUCUUUUUGCCCUUAAUCUUUUAUCCUUACGCUUUAAUUUUUAUGUGAGCUUUAAUUAUCUUACAUUGGGGACAAUGUAAGUUCUUGGUGUGGGGGAGGGAUUUUUGCAUUAUUGAUGUCUGGAAGUAUUAUUUUCACUCUACUCAUCUAUUUUCAUUCUACUCGUCCUUAAAUGAUUUUGGAGUUAGUAUGCUUCAUAUAUUAUUAUUUUUCUUUUCUUUUCUUUCUCACUACUUUUUUCCCAUCUAUCUCAAAUUAUUUACAUCUAUUUUUAUUCUAUCAUACUCUUUCAUCACUCACAUUUUAUCUUUCACUUUUCAUAUUACUACAUACAUCUUUCUCACUUCUUAUCAUUUUUACCUUUCCUUCACUCAUACCUUCUUCUCAUUCUACACCACUAUUGAUGGUUGAUUCAUUUGAAGAGUGUACAUGAUUUGAUGGCAAAUUUACCAACUUUGUGAGGAUUUGAGCCUAUGAGCAACCACUUUGCUCUAAUUAUUUUUAUUAUGUGAAUAUCAAUCUUAGUUUGUUUAUUCUAGAACUUGCUUUGUUAUGCAUGUUGAAGCCACAUUACGGGAUUUUUUGCAUUAAAAUGAUAAGGGCAAACCAUUUACCAUUUUUCUAUUCUCGCAUUUUCUUUUUUUUUUCUCUACCCGAAGACCUUGAUUUACUAUCUUUGUUUGAGCCUUAACCAUUACCCAUCUAAUUCUCUCCGUCUACUUAACCAUUUUUCUUCUUUUUUAGCCUCAAUUUAAGGAGAUUUUUGGACUCAUUGUGUGGAUAUAUUUUGUAUAUAUUUUGUUGCUUUUUCUACCUUGUAUUAAAGUUUCUCAAUUAGAUCAACAAGCAUUAUGCUUGAAUUAAAUUGUGCAAGGUUCAUUUCUUUUGUUUGAUUCAAAAAAAAAAAAGAAAGAAAAAGAAAAGGAAAAAGAAAAAAAAAGAAAAAAAAAGAAAAAUCGAAAAAAAAAGAAAAAGAAGAAAAAAAAAUGUUUACAUUCUUGGUGACUUGAGUAGAAAUAAGCGUUUCGAUAUCAUAAAGUUCGUUCAAUGAGUUCAUUCUUCUCAUUUUGAUCUCUUUUUCUUUCAUAAACCUUUCUUUUUCAUUUAACCCAUUUAACCCCGUUACAACCUUUUAAGACCCUUAGAUUUUUGUAUUUAAUUCAUGUUUUGUGGAUUGAAAUGUGAUAUAUAAGCAAGCUUAUGGUAAUAGCAUUCUUUGAUUUGAUUUGAGUGAAUAAAUGACACCCUAAACACUUUGAGUGCAUGGAGUGAAGUCAAUGAGAGGGCUAUUAAAUCUUGUUGCACUUGAAUUUUGAAUGGAUCUUCUUGGUGGUUGAAUGUUCUUAUUCUAUCUUAUGAGAUUCUAUGCUUUAAAAUCCUUGUCUCUCGAAUGUUGAUCGACUUAAUUUCUUGAGGUAUACUUGCUUAAAAUUGUUUUUGGAUGAGUUGAGAUGAGAAUUGAGUGGAGAUUUGGGAUUAGUCUUGAGUUAUAUGCUUGAGGACAAGCAUCAUCUUGGUGUGGGGGAAUUUGUUAGAGUGCAAUUUAAGCACUAGUUUUGCAUUGUUUACUUCCCUUAAUAUCGAUGUUUUGCACUUAAUAAUAGUGAUUUACUUGUGUUUUACUUUUGUAGGUGCAAUUCUAUUGAUUGGUGAUAAAUUAAGCUACAAGAUGAUAUUUAAUGAUGAUUGUUCUCUUGGAGAAAUUAUGAGCGUCAGAAGAACUUUGUUGAUAAGGUGUGGGCGCGUGCUGUCAACUACGGACCUGCAGUUUUUAGUUUAACGUGUUUUGUAUUUUUGGUUAUUUUUGUAAUUACGAAUUUAAUAUUUCAGAUAUUAGUAUUUUAUUUUAAAUAGAACUCUAAAAGAGAAGAGAGAGAGAGUAUUUAAGGGAGGAAUCUAUUGUGAAAAAGGGGGAUUUUAGAUUGGAGAAAAAGAAAGAAACCCUAGAUCUAAAUUUUUCUCUUCUCUCUAUGAAGAACUAAACCUAUUUUUCUGGUUGAAGGUUAAUGAAGCUUUGAUUCAUCACUACUGUGAGAUCUUUCUUGUGCUUUAAUUGUUUUAUUACUUUUUGGGUAUUUGUUUAUUCUCUGAAUUAUUUUCAUGAUUAUGUUUGUUAAUGAGGUAAUUGGCCACUAUUUAAUUAUCAACUUAAUCUAUUGUCAAUUAAGGGAUUCAUCGUAUGAAGAUUUUAAUGUUUGUGACAAAUAACAUAGCAGUGAGUUGUGUUAUGAGAAUAAAUAAUCUAAUUUAAAUGAAUCAUCAUAUGUGUUGAUUAGGAUUUGGGUCUCUCUGGUUUUUCAUGUAUAAGAUAUCUAGAAGAUGAUAAUUUCACUCAAAAGAGUUUUAUUUAUUUCAUUAUUGAAAUUGUUUACAGAGGAAGGUUACAGAGAAUACAGAGGUAAUUGAAGGUUAGACAUAUGAUAUCUUUCCUUUCUUACAUGCUUUCAUUUAUAUAUCUCUCUAGAGAUAAGAUUAUCUCUUUUACAUAACACAUGUUCGAUCCUUGUGGUGGAAUCUCGAUUUCCUUUUGAUAAGGUGACCCCUUCUUCAUCAUUGAAGCCAGUAGUUGUCUUCUUUUCAUGUUGCCAGACAACCUUUAUCUUGUUCUGGUGAGCUUUUUCUUUUUUGGAAUCUCUCUUUUUGAAUUAUUGAUACUUUUUGGAUAACACCUUUUAUCUUUUUCAGUAGUCCCCGUCACAUGCCAAUUAUCAUAUCUUCAUCUAUAGACAUGUCUUCCCCACUAGAAUCUCCUUUUUUUUUUAAUCCUUCGUAGUAGUAGCCACAUGAUGACUGAUGCUUUAGCACCUUAUAUAUCUCGUGGUGUGUCAGCAAGGUGGAUUCCACGAGAUUUUCGAAUAUGCCCUUUUUCUUUUUUAAUAUGGUAUGUCUGGCUAAAAUAUUUUCUUUUCUACUCAUAGAAAAGAUUAUAUGCUCUUUUGUGGCUUCAUGGAGCCAUAUUUUCUCCUUGUUUAUCCUCUCAAGAGAUUCAUAGAGGACUUUCAUUUCUAUGGCCCUUUUGUUGGUGAGAGCUUUUGGCUCGAAUAAUUCAGGAUCAUAAUCAUUGUAGACUUGAUGUAAAUCAAUGGUUGGACUAACUUUUCUACUGCUAAUUCCAACUUGAAUCAAGUGCUGUGCUGGAUACCACUUGUUACCAUAGUAUUCAGGGCAAGCAGUGAGGAUCUUGACAAAAAUCACUUCUUUUGUUUUAGACAUGAUUUUGAGAUCAUUAAUAGCCUCUGCAACUUUUGUGGGAAGCUCUUUUAUUUCUCUGCAAUCAUCACUUACAUAAACAAGGUUAAGAAAACCAUAUUCAAACAUGUCUUUUAUUAGUUUUAGAUUAGCUCCUGGCACAACGUUUAUCAUUGGAUAUAACCCUAAAUGAUCUAGUAUAAUAGUCUGGCUAGGACGAAUCCCAUAGGCUAUUUUACCAAUUCUUUUAUAAUCAUAAGCGUAGUCGCUUCCUAUUGGUAUUUUAACCAUAGGGACAGAUUGUCUGCUUUUAUCAUAUUGGGGUCUUAGGCUUACUGAAGAUCCCUGAGAUUCUUUUUUCUUUGUACAUUGAUCUUUAAGAUCAUUGAUUGUGAGAUAUCUCUCUGAAUGUGUGACCAUUGAUCUUUAAAAUACCAAUAGGAAGAGUAGUCGCUUCCUAUUGGUAUUUUAACCAUAGGGACAGACUGUCCGCUUUUAUCAUAUUGGGGUCUUAGGCUUACUGAAGAUCCCUGAGAUUCGUCUUUCUUUGUACAUUGAUCUUUAAGAUCAUUGAUUGUGAGAUAUCUCUCUGGAUGUGUGACCUUUAAGCUCUGCGAAGAACUCGAGGCAUUUUGACCCUCAAUUUGAUCUUUAAAAUGGACAUUUUUUUAGCAUAUUGCUAAUAUAUUGUUAUGAAGUUUGGAGUUCUGGAUGAUCUUGCAAACUUUUGUUUGGGCAAAGUUUGCUCAAUUCUUCAUGGGCAUCAUCUAUCAUGGCAAGCCCAUCAUAAAUCAUACUAUUGCCUUUGAGAAGUUAUUCUUGACCUUCAGAGCACAUUAUUAUGCCCUUAAUUAUUUUGGAAAUGCUCUGCUCCAUUGUAUUCUUGGCAAAGAUUAGAUCCUUUAAUAUAUUCAAUUUCAAAAUCAUAUUCAGCAAAAAACUGCUGCCAUCUAAUUAAUGUUUUCUAUUGAGGAAGAUUAGGCAAUUUAUUGAAUAUAAAUCCUUUGACUUGAGUGUUAUCGGAUCUUACCUUAAAUUUCUUUGGUAACAAAAAGAAAGUAAAUUUAGCUAUUCCUUUUUUAAUAGCUAAUAAUUCAUUUUCAUUACUAUGAUAAUUCUUUUCUAUGGGUUUGAAGGUCCCGCUAGAAUAUCUACAAAUUUUUUCUUGAUAUGUUUUUAAGACUGCUCGCCAGUGAUUAUCUGAAGCAGUAGUUUCAAGAAUUAAAUUAUCACUAGAGGUAGGGAAUCCUAACCUUAAGUAAAAAGCCAAAAAAAUUGACUUAUUUUAUUAAGUCAAUUUUUGAAAAUAUAAAUAAUGCAAAAUAUAAGAAUAUCAUCUACAUGAUCUAUCUUAUUAUUUGAAAAUAUAAGAAUAUCAUCUACAUAAAUAAUGCAAAAUUCAUGAAAUUUUUUUAAGAUGCUAAAUAUCUUUUUAUUUAUUAUAGAAGUAAUUAAUGUAUCUUUAUGAGGUAAAAAGUAUCCAUCGAAUUUGGUAUAUUUAUUUAAUUCUUUGUAGUUAAUGACCAUAUGAGCUUUUCCUCGUUUAAUUUCAGCAUGAUUUCUAACUGAUUAGUAUUAAAAAUUGUUUAAUUAUCAAGCGAUAAUAUGUUAUUUUAUGCUUAUGUUAUAAUUUAUAUUUGUGUUUAUGUAAUAUAUUAUGAAUUAUGAAUUAUGUUUUAAAUAUAUUUAAUUUUGUGUAUUUUUAUGUGUUUAUUAGGAAAAUUAUUAAUUUCACGUACUUUGAGGCUCCAAACAGAUAAACGGAGGUCAAAUUUGGAUUCCGGAGGUCCGAAAACCUUAAGAUCAGUCAAGAUCGGCUUAAAAUUGGGCUUGUGUAAAAAAAGUUGACUUUUCCUGUUGACCGAGCACUGAUUGGAUGAUGAAAUGAGCUUACAAUAGAUAUGAGUGCAUGGGAUAACUGGCAAUCUUGACUAAAUCUCAACCGUUCAUGAUUCAAUGGCCAUGAUUGUGCCACGUGGCAAUGGUUGGUGAAGCAAGUUGGAGGAUCCGAAUCUUUGUAUUCGGGUCGACCCGAUCCACCCAUUAACCCGCCAAAUCUCAACCGUUCUUUGGGCAAAUCGGACGAGUCAAAUGAUGCCAUGUGUGAUGUUGACUUUUGAAGUUUGACCAGCCAUUGGAUCUUGAUCUAAGGGUUGUGAGGAGCACAUGCAUGAAGCCUAUGAUGGACCGCAAAGCACUGGAUUAUGAAUUUAUUUUUCUAUAAAUAGGGCCUCAUUUUUAUGUUUUAAUCAUCUCUCUACAACUCUCUUCUUCUCAAAUUCUCUCCAUCUCCUUGUAAUCUUGAUUUCCAUAUGUGUUUUUAAUAUUUUGUAUAAUUAUUUUCAUUAAUAAAAUUAGUUUUAUUUCCAAUUUUAGUUGUUUUUAUUUCUUUUAAUUAUAAGUAAUUCAAUUUUACUACUUCUUUUUAUUUUAAUUAUGCUUAACUAAAUAAUAUUAGUUAGGGGAAGGUGAAACUCUUAAGAAAUAAAUAUGAUUUAAUCAAAUUCUAUGUUUAAUUUUAUAAAUUAAAUUAUUUUCUAUUUAAUUUUAUACAUGUUUUAUAUUUUGAAAAUUUAAUUUAUUGUAGACAAACAAAUGAAUUUGGCACAAUAAAUUCUUAAGAUCUUAAUAUAAGGCAUGGUGAAAUGGUAUUUUGACUUAUUGUAGACAAAUUAAAUUUUGGCACAAUAAAUACUUAAUCCAUCAUAAAAUUAAAGGGAAAAUAAUAAUAAUUUGUAUAAUUAAUCUUUUGAGUAAUAAAUCUAAAACAAAUUGGCAAAAAGAAUUUAUUAAGUUUUAUUUAUUUCUAAGAGUGGAUCCAUAACCCUAACUAGUUCAAUUCCAUAGUUUCAUUUAAAUUAAGUUGUUUAUAUUCAAGUUUUAAUUUCAAUUUUUAGAUAAAAUAAAAUAAACUAAUUAAAUCUUUUCUCUGUGGAUCGACCUCGGACUCACCGAGUUAUAAUACAACAAGACACUCUUAUACUUGGGAGUUAAAAUUUACUUUUAAGUUGUGUCAAGUUUUUGGCGCCGUUGCCGGGGAAAAGUUUUUUAUUUGGUUUGUUUUUCCGUUUUUUAUUUUUCUCUUAUAUGUAAAACUUCGUUUGCCCCCUUUUCCUUUUCUUAAAUUCUCCUUAGUCCCCAUGUCUUUCAUAUUUCUCGUUUCACCCCAACAAUUUCCUUUUCUAGCCCAAUCUUCUGGUAAUUACGUUCGGACCCCAACAUCUUUCAACUGUUUCACUUUCAUCCCAAAUUACUAAUUCUAAACUUCUAAAAAUUACAUUUUGACCAUAAAAUUAAAAAUAAUUUGCAAUAGAAUCCCUAGACGAAAUUCCUCAACAUAAUCAAGACUUGGACAUAUUUGGACAUACUUUGGACAUAUUUGGACAUAUUUGGACUUAUUUUGGACCAAACUAACUUUAACUACUAACUCUAAUUACUAACUCUUAACUUACUAACUGCUAACUGCUAACUGCUAACUUUUAUUUAAUUUCAGUUAUUUAAUUUUCUGCAUUUAUUUUAUUUCGUAUUUAUUUAUUUGUUUUUGCUUUAUUGGUGGGUUUAACCACCAAACUAACUACUAACUCUUAACUUUUAUUUUCAGUUAUUUAAUUUUCAGUAUUUAUUUAAUUUUGUAUUUUUUAUUUUUUUUAAUUGGUGGGUUCAACCACCAUUUUUUUUUAUUUUGCAUUUAUUUAUUUAUUUAUUUUUUACUUUGUUGGUGGGUUCAACCAUCAAAAUUGUUAUUUAAUUUUCUUUUGUAUACUUAUAUUAUUUAUUUAUUUAUUUUUUUAUUUUAUUUUGUUAUCAAUUUGUGUAAAUAUUAUCUUUAUAACAUAACCAUUGCAUGAGACGUUGGUCUCGAUCUUCAAGUGGCAGGUUAAUUCGUAGAUCUCAAUCUCCACCACCAAUCAUGGAUGAGAAUGAAGGCGAAAACGUUUUGGGCGAACUUAAUCCUCAAAUUGAUCAGGGAGACAACCAAUCUCAACAUGGGCAUGAUCAGAAUCAACCAAGGACUCUGAGAGACUACAUGAAUCCAACCAGAACCGGAGCACCGUCGUGUAUAGUAUUUCCUCCAGAAGCAUCUCGAUUCAACUUUAAACCAGGUAUUAUCCAACUUUUACCAACAUUUCAUGGUUUAGAAUCUGAGAAUCCGUACUUGCAUCUAAGAGAUUUUGAGGAAGUUUGUAAUACAUACACGGACCAAAAUUGUAGCAUGAACAUAAUUAGAUUAAAGCUUUUUCCUUUUUCAUUAAAAGAUAAAGCUAAAACUUGGCUACAAAACCUUAGAUCUGGAUCAGUAAGAACUUGGAAUAACAUGCAAGAACAGUUUUUUGAAAAAAUUCUUUCCACCUCAUAGAACAAAUUCUUUUAAAAGGCAAAUCACUUCUUUCACUCAAAAAAAUGGAGAAACAUUAUACCAAUGUUGGGAUAGGUUUACAGAGUUGCUUAACAUAUGCCCACAUCAUGGUUUUGAAACUUGGCGAUUGGUCACUUAUUUCUACGAGGGCUUAAUACCCCAAAGUAGACAGGUUGUUGAAAUGAUGUGUAAUGGUGAAUUUAGGGAUAAAAAUCCUGAAGAUGCACUAGAUUACCUUGACCAAUUAGCUGAAAAUGCACAACAUUGGGAUACUGUUGGAACUUUUGAAUUGACAAAUAAGCAACAAUCAUCUCCAUCUAGUGGAGGAAUCCAUAACCUUAGGGAAGAUCAUGAUUUACAAGCAAAAUUUGCAUCCCUAGUUAGGAAAGUUGAAGCUUUGGAGCAUAAAAAGAGUGAUCAAGUAAAAUCUGUUCAAGAAAUUGCAUGUAACAUAUGUAAUUCGAAUGAUCAUUUCACUCAAGAGUGUCCCACUUUGCCUGCACUUAAAGAAUGUCUAAAUGAUCAAGCUAAUGUCAUUAACACUUUCAAUAAACCAAACCCAUAUUCACAGACUUAUAAUCCUGGUUGGAGAAAUCAUCCGAAUUUCAGUUGGAGGAAUAAUAAUAAUGCACAAUCUUCACAAGCACCACCUCCACAAAAUUUUCAAAAUCCUCAGCCUUAUGCACCAUAUGUUCCACCACCCUGGAAAAAUCUGGAAGACACAAUGCAUUCAUUCAUCAGAAAGCAAGAUGUUAUUAACAAUCAAAAUGCACAAAAUUUUUCUGAUUUGAAAGAUACUCUUGCUAAAAUUGCUUCUGCACUCACCAUUCAAGAAAAAGGAAAAUUUCCAGCCCAACCACAACCAAAUCCUAAAAUUCAACAAAAUCCACCCACAGACCAAGUCAAGUCAGUUAUAACUCUUCGUAGUGGUAAGGUUGUUGAUAGACCUAUGCCUGAACCUUAUGAAAAUGAUGAAAAUUCAAAGGGUAAGGAAGGACUAAAUGAACUUACACCUAGUGAAGAAAUAACUAGUGUUCCACCUGAACCACCAUUUCCGCAUGCAUUGAAUAAACCAAAGAAAUCAAACCACUCUUCUGAAAUUUAUGAAAUCUUUAAGCAAGUGAAAGUUAACAUUCCUCUAUUAGAUGCAAUCAAGCAGGUUCCUUUAUAUGCCAAAUUUUUAAAGGACUUGUGCACUGUUAAGAGGAAAUUGAAGGUAAGAAAGAGUGCUUUCAUGGCCGAACAGGUAAGUACAAUUCUGUCUACUAAUAAUAAGUUGAAAUAUAAAGAUCCUGGUUGUCCUACCAUUUCUUGUAUUAUUGGUAACCACAGAAUUGAGCAUGCUUUACUAGAUCUUGGUGCUAGUGUUAAUUUGCUUCCAUAUUCAGUUUAUCUUCAACUUAAUCUUGGUGAGUUAAAAUCAACUUCAACUACACUUUUGCUUGUCGAUAGAUCAGUUAAAGUACCAAAAGGAAUAGUGGAAGAUGUUUUAGUACAAGUUGAUAAAUUUAUUUAUCCUGUGGAUUUUAUUGUCUUGGAAACUGAACCUGUUGUGAAUAAUUACAAACCAAUUCCUGUAAUUUUAGGUCGACCAUUUUUAGCAACUGCUAAUGCUUUGAUUAAUUGUAGGAAUGGUUUAAUGAAUUUAUCCUUUGGGAAUAUGACUUUGGAAUUGAAUGUUUUCAACAUGUGCAGGCAACCUAAUGAAGAAAAUGAGAAUGAAGAUGAUACUGAUGAACAAAAGGAAUUGUUUGAAUCUUGUAUCGAGGAAAAUAUUCAAAAAGGGGAUUUUUCUGAACUUUCAAAUGUUUGUUUAGUUAAUUCAAUUGAGUCAAAUAAGCAACUUGAACUUGAUAUUUCUAAUAUAAAUUCGUUGCUUGAUUCUGUGCAGACUUCACAAAAUUAUGAUGACGAGCCAAAAUUUGAGGAGCUUGGAAGUAUUGAAAAGACAGAACAACAAGAAGCACCUAAAAUGGAAUUGAAACCUUUGCCUGAAGGAUUGAAAUAUGCUUUUCUUGGAGAAGAACAAACUUAUCCUGUUGUGAUUUCUUCUACUUUAACAAGCGACCAAGAAGGUAAGUUACUUACUGUUCUUAAAAAGCAUAAAAAUGCAAUAGGAUGGACUUUAAAUGACAUUAAAGGCAUUAAUCCCUUAAUCUGCACACAUAGAAUUAAUUUGGAAGAAAAUGCUAAAAUAUGUCAACAACCUCAAAGAAGAUUAAACCCACACAUGAAAGAGGUAGUCAAAACAGAAGUCCUUAAAUUACUUGAUGUGGGAAUUAUCUACCCUGUUUCUGAUAGUAAGUGGGUAAGUCCUACACAAGUAGUGCCUAAAAAAUCUGAAAUCACUGUUGUUAAAAAUGAAAAAGGUGAAUUAAUUCCAACACGAAUUACAUCUAGUUGACGCAUGUGCAUUGAUUAUAGAAAAUUAAAUGAAGCCACUAGAAAAGAUCAUUUUCCAUUACCAUUCCUUGACCAAAUCUUAGAAAGAGUAGCAGGACAUCCCUACUACUGUUUUUUAGAUGGAUAUUCAGGUUAUUAUCAAAUUCCUAUAGCACUUGAGGACCAAGAAAAGACCACAUUCACAUGUCCUUUUGGAACAUUUGCAUUUAAAAGAAUGCCAUUCGGGCUUUGUAAUGCUCCUGCAACAUUUCAAAGAUGUAUGUUAAGCAUUUUUUGUGAUAUGGUUGAACAUUGUUUAGAGGUCUUUAUGGAUGAUUUGACUGUGUUUGGGAAUUCUUUUGAUGAUUGCCUUGAUAAUUUGGAGAAAGUUUUAAAAAGAUGUGUUGAAAAAGAACUCGUGUUGAAUUGGGAAAAAUGUCACUACAUGGUUACUUCUGGAAUUGUUUUGGGUCAUGUUGUUUCUAUUAAAGGAAUUGAAGUUGACAAAGCAAAAAUCGAAGUCAUAUCUAAAUUGCCACAACCAAAAACAGUUAGAGAUGUGCGAUCCUUUUUAGGACAUGCAGGAUUUUAUAGGAGGUUUAUAAAAAACUUUAGUGCCAUAUCUAAACCACUUUGUAACCUCUUAUUAAAAGAUGCACCGUUUGAAUGGAAUGAUGAUUGCCAAAAAUCUUUUGAAAAAAUAAUUUGUCUUUUAACAUCUGCACCUAUUAUGCAAUCUCCUGAUUGGUCUUUGCCAUUUGAAUUAAUGUGUGAUGCAAGUGAUUUUGCUGUUGGUGCUGUUUUAGGACAAAGAAGGGAUGGUAAGCCUUUUGUGAUUUAUUAUGCGAGUAAGACUUUAGAUAGUGCUCAAAUGAAUUAUUCUACAACUGAAAAAGAAUUACUUGCUGUGGUAUUUGCAUUAAACAAAUUCCGUUCAUAUUUGCUUGGCUCCAAAUCUGUUGUGUUUACUGACCACGCUGCUGUGAGAUAUUUGAUGAGUAAACAGGAUGCCAAACCGAGGAUAAUUCGUUGGAUUUUGUUACUACAAGAAUUUGACCUUACCAUCAAAGAUAAAAAGGGUGCUGAAAAUGUUGUUGCGGAUCAUCUAUCAAGACUCACAUCCGAAUUCUGCAAUGAUAUAACACCCAUAAAUGAUUCUUUCCCUGAUGAAUUUUUAUUUUCUGUUACUUCAAUGCCAUGGUAUGCUAACAUUGUUAAUUUCCUUGUUACAGGUAAAAUGCCUUUGCAAUGGAAUGCUCAAGAGAAGAAGAAAUUUUUUGUUGAAGUAAAGAAAUUUUAUUGGGAUGACCCUUAUUUGUUCAAAUAUUGCCCAGAUCAAAUUUUUCGGCGAUGUAUUCCUCAUAAUGAGGUAAGUAGUGUCAUUAAUUUUUGUCAUUCUGAAGCAUGUGGUGGUCAUUUUUCUUCAAGAAAAACUAUUGCUAAAAUUUUACAGUGUGGAUUUUAUUGGCCUACCAUGUUUAAAGACACAUAUGAAUUCUGCAAAAGUUGUGAAAAAUGUCAAAAAUUGGGAUCAAUUACAAAAAGAAACAUGAUGCCCUUAAAUCCCAUACUUGAAAUUGAAAUAUUUGACUGUUGGGGAAUUGAUUUCAUGGGUCCAUUUCCAUCAUCUUUUGGAUUUGUGUAUAUAUUAGUUGCAGUUGAUUAUGUCUCAAAAUGGAUUGAAGCAAUUUCUUGUCGAAAUAAUGACAGUAAAACUGUGAUUAAAUUUUUAAGAGAAAACAUUUUAAGUCGAUUUGGAAUCCCUCGAGCCAUUAUCAGUGAUGGAGGUAAGCAUUUUUGUAAUAAGUCAUUUGAGUCUUUAAUGAAGAAAUAUGGAAUUACACAUAAAAUUGCUACCCCUUAUCAUCCUCAAACAAAUGGUCAAGUUGAAUUAGCAAAUAGGGAGAUAAAACAAAUUUUGGAAAAAACGGUUAACCCAAACCGAAAAGAUUGGUCUCUUAGACUUAAUGAUGCACUUUGGGCUUACCGCACUGCAUUUAAAACAUCAUUAGGAAUGUCACCCUAUCGGUUAAUUUAUGGUAAACCUUGUCAUUUACCUGUUGAACUUGAACAUAAAUCACUUUGGGCUAUUAAAGCUUUUAAUUCAAAUUUGGAUGAUGCUGGUAAUGUGCGAAAAUUGCAAUUGAAUGAACUUGAGGAAUUAAGGAAUGAUGCAUAUGAAAAUUCAAGAAUUAUUAAGGCAAGAACAAAAGAAGAUUAAACCCACACAUGAAAGAGGUAGUCAAAACAGAAGUCCUUAAAUUACUUGAUGUGGGAAUUAUCUACCCUAUUUCUGAUAGUAAGUGGGUAAGUCCUACACAAGUAGUGCCUAAAAAAUCUGAAAUCACUGUUGUUAAAAAUGAAAAAGGUGAAUUAAUUCCAACACGAAUUACAUCUAGUUGACGCAUGUGCAUUGAUUAUAGAAAAUUAAAUGAAGCCACUAGAAAAGAUCAUUUUCCAUUACCAUUCCUUGACCAAAUCUUAGAAAGAGUAGCAGGACAUCCCUACUACUGUUUUUUAGAUGGAUAUUCAGGUUAUUAUCAAAUUCCUAUAGCACUUGAGGACCAAGAAAAGACCACAUUCACAUGUCCUUUUGGAACAUUUGCAUUUAAAAGAAUGCCAUUCGGGCUUUGUAAUGCUCCUGCAACAUUUCAAAGAUGUAUGUUAAGCAUUUUUUGUGAUAUGGUUGAACAUUGUUUAGAGGUCUUUAUGGAUGAUUUGACUGUGUUUGGGAAUUCUUUUGAUGAUUGCCUUGAUAAUUUGGAGAAAGUUUUAAAAAGAUGUGUUGAAAAAGAACUCGUGUUGAAUUGGGAAAAAUGUCACUACAUGGUUACUUCUGGAAUUGUUUUGGGUCAUGUUGUUUCUAUUAAAGGAAUUGAAGUUGACAAAGCAAAAAUCGAAGUCAUAUCUAAAUUGCCACAACCAAAAACGGUUAGAGAUGUGCGAUCCUUUUUAGGACAUGCAGGAUUUUAUAGGAGGUUUAUAAAAAACUUUAGUGCCAUAUCUAAACCACUUUGUAACCUCUUAUUAAAAGAUGCACCGUUUGAAUGGAAUGAUGAUUGCCAAAAAUCUUUUGAAAAAAUAAUUUGUCUUUUAACAUCUGCACCUAUUAUGCAAUCUCCUGAUUGGUCUUUGCCAUUUGAAUUAAUGUGUGAUGCAAGUGAUUUUGCUGUUGGUGCUGUUUUAGGACAAAGAAGGGAUGGUAAGCCUUUUGUGAUUUAUUAUGCGAGUAAGACUUUAGAUAGUGCUCAAAUGAAUUAUUCUACAACUGAAAAAGAAUUACUUGCUGUGGUAUUUGCAUUAAACAAAUUCCGUUCAUAUUUGCUUGGCUCCAAAUCUGUUGUGUUUACUGACCACGCUGCUGUGAGAUAUUUGAUGAGUAAACAGGAUGCCAAACCGAGGAUAAUUCGUUGGAUUUUGUUACUACAAGAAUUUGACCUUACCAUCAAAGAUAAAAAGGGUGCUGAAAAUGUUGUUGCGGAUCAUCUAUCAAGACUCACAUCCGAAUUCUGCAAUGAUAUAACACCCAUAAAUGAUUCUUUCCCUGAUGAAUUUUUAUUUUCUGUUACUUCAAUGCCAUGGUAUGCUAACAUUGUUAAUUUCCUUGUUACAGGUAAAAUGCCUUUGCAAUGGAAUGCUCAAGAGAAGAAGAAAUUUUUUGUUGAAGUAAAGAAAUUUUAUUGGGAUGACCCUUAUUUGUUCAAAUAUUGCCCAGAUCAAAUUUUUCGGCGAUGUAUUCCUCAUAAUGAGGUAAGUAGUGUCAUUAAUUUUUGUCAUUCUGAAGCAUGUGGUGGUCAUUUUUCUUCAAGAAAAACUAUUGCUAAAAUUUUACAGUGUGGAUUUUAUUGGCCUACCAUGUUUAAAGACACAUAUGAAUUCUGCAAAAGUUGUGAAAAAUGUCAAAAAUUGGGAUCAAUUACAAAAAGAAACAUGAUGCCCUUAAAUCCCAUACUUGAAAUUGAAAUAUUUGACUGUUGGGGAAUUGAUUUCAUGGGUCCAUUUCCAUCAUCUUUUGGAUUUGUGUAUAUAUUAGUUGCAGUUGAUUAUGUCUCAAAAUGGAUUGAAGCAAUUUCUUGUCGAAAUAAUGACAGUAAAACUGUGAUUAAAUUUUUAAGAGAAAACAUUUUAAGUCGAUUUGGAAUCCCUCGAGCCAUUAUCAGUGAUGGAGGUAAGCAUUUUUGUAAUAAGUCAUUUGAGUCUUUAAUGAAGAAAUAUGGAAUUACACAUAAAAUUGCUACCCCUUAUCAUCCUCAAACAAAUGGUCAAGUUGAAUUAGCAAAUAGGGAGAUAAAACAAAUUUUGGAAAAAACGGUUAACCCAAACCGAAAAGAUUGGUCUCUUAGACUUAAUGAUGCACUUUGGGCUUACCGCACUGCAUUUAAAACAUCAUUAGGAAUGUCACCCUAUCGGUUAAUUUAUGGUAAACCUUGUCAUUUACCUGUUGAACUUGAACAUAAAUCACUUUGGGCUAUUAAAGCUUUUAAUUCAAAUUUGGAUGAUGCUGGUAAUGUGCGAAAAUUGCAAUUGAAUGAACUUGAGGAAUUAAGGAAUGAUGCAUAUGAAAAUUCAAGAAUUAUUAAGGCAAGAACAAAAGCAUUUCAUGAUAAAAGAAUUUUUCGAAAAACAUUUGAGAUUGGUCAAAAAGUGUUGCUUUAUAAUUCUCGUCUUCAUUUAUUUCCAGGAAAGUUAAAGUCAAAAUAGAGUGGCCCAUUUGUUGUAAAAAAUGUAUAUUCAUAUGGGGCCAUAGAAAUUGAGAAUCCAAAUAACGGUGUCACAUUUAAAGUUAAUGGUCAAAGAUUAAAACCAUAUCUGGAACAUCACCCACGUGACGAGGACACCGAAAUUAAUUUGGAUGACCCACCAGUUCUUGAUUAAGUCUUUAAUGAUUUUUUUUUUUUUUACUAUUAUUUUACCGUUUCAUUGUUUGAUUUUUUUUCUUUAGAUUGAUGCACUGUACAUAGUUUUUUUUUAACAUUGUUUUUCUUGUGUAAGCGUGUUUGUUUGACAGUUGUACAUUCUCUCAUCAAUUUUCAUUUUACAUCAUGAGCACCUCAAUGAGAAAAUACCUAUUCGCACAUCUUAAAAGAUUUCGGCGUAUAAAAUUUCACUUAAGAGGCCUAAUACAAAGCUGUAAAUCACAUCCACUUUGGGAUCUGCAACCACCAGAAUUCGUGUCCUAUGUUGAGGAUCUAGAAGGACAACUCAGAACAGUAGAGAGUGGCAUAUAUGAAUUUCAAAUAGAGCUUGAGGUUAACUCAAUGAGAGGACGAAUGUAAGUUCAUUUUCCUUUUAUAUUGUGUGCUUUUUUUUUGCUCGCUUUCACGCUUGAUUUGAUUUUGCAGAUUUGAUUUUGGUGUGUUUUGAUUUAUUUUCCCGUAUAAAUGGCGGAUAACGGUACUCCGUGACUUCUUAAGUCGGUAUCUUCAGUUUCCCACAAUAACUGAAACCCCAAAAUCAAACAUGGAAGAAAUACAACAUAAACUCCAUAAGCAUUUUCCCUCUCUCCCUCAGAAUGCCCUCAGGAAAAUUUACAAAGCUCGUUGUGAACGACUGCGUUUGUUAAUGAUCAAUGGCAUUCUUUCUGACAUUCGUUGGUUAAUUGAAGCAAAGGUCUGAUUAGCAGGUGAGUUUUCUAGUCAAUUUGUUUCUUACAUGCCUGGUUUUGGUAAAAGUACGUUUGCUAAGAAAAGGAGAGCUAAACGACUUGGCUCAAAAUGUCAUAACUGUGUAAGACUUGGUUGCAAACGACCGGAUUGUAAAUCUUUAGGAAUGGUUUCUGAUACUCGUGAAGAUAAAAUUAAAUUCGUUAAAGAUGGCAUGAGUAAAGAAUCGUUGGAUGAUAUCUUACGAUCUCUUGAGACGCAUCGAAGCGGAAUUGUGCAAUGUGAGAUUUACAAUUUGUGGAUACUAUUCCAAAAACAAAGUGCACAGUUAAGUCUUGGGAAUCUGACUCAAAAAGACCCUGUUUGCCAGUUUAUAAGAAAACUGGAUGGGAAGCCGAUCCUCGACCCAUAGAGGGCGUUCAAGCCGUUACUGGACGUAAAACCAGAGGAAGAUGUGAGCCACAAUCACAACUACUAGUAAAUAUCCUUUCACUUCACUGUUAUUUUACUUUACUGUUAUUUUAUCAUUUGAAUUAUUGCAUUUAGCGAUGUGAUUUUGUAUUUAUUUGGUUUCUUUUACUGUUUGCUUUUUCUAAUCAUUACUUUUUUUUUUACUAUUUGUUUUUGAAUUAUUGAGCCACGAGCUUUCCUCGUCAUUUGACAAAUAUGCCAACCCAUUUACAGCUGUUUCUCUUUAUUUAUGUCACCAAGAUCUUUAAAUAUGAGCUCGUUUUUCAAACACUCACAACUUGUUUUUGAAAAAUUAGUCCAAUGGCAGCAUCUUCAAGUAAACAAUUCAAAAAUAUUUGUGUGCUUUCUGGGUUUCACUAUGGAAAGUACAAAGAGUUCGUUCAGGUAGCUGUAGAUCUUGGUCGUGUCAUAGCAGAGAGGAAACUGCAUCUUGUAUAUGGAGGAGGUGAACGAGGGUUAUCAAGACUUGUCUCAGAAGCUGUUUUUACCAGAGGAAGCCAAGUACUCGGCAUUAUCCCAAAACCCAUGAAACCGCUAGUGUGCAUGUCUGGCCCACCAAUUGGAGAAGAAUUAGUGGUAUCAAGUAUGCAAGAGAGAAUAUCUGAAAUGAUGAAUCAUGCUGAUGCUUUUAUUUUCUUGCCAGGAGAUCUUGCAACUUUUGAGGCACUAAUUACAUUUGCAUCUUGGGCCCACUUGAACAUUCAUCAAAAGCCCAUCGGUUUGUUAAAUGUUAAUAAUUUUUAUGACGGCUUGCUAACUUUUAUUAAUCAUGCAAUAAAGAAUCAUUUUGUUCCACAUUCUGUAAAAAAACUCUUUAUCUCUGCUUCUACUGCUAAUGAGUUACUUGAUCUUUUACAAGCUUAUACACCAGAGCCAGAUCCACAGACUGUUGCACUGAAUUGGUCGACUAAUGAUGGUAACGGUAACAGUAGCAGUAAUAAGAAGUGCGAUUUAGAUUUAACUCUCCGUUUGUAAAUAUUUGCUGUUGUAGUGUUCAUGUGAUGUCUUCUACACUCUUUCUAUUUCCUUUUAAAACAUUGAGGACAAUGUCUUUUUCAGGUUGGGGGGAGGGAAUAGUUGAUAAUUGUGGAAUGUCUUAGUCCUGGUUAUGUGUUUACAAAAAAAAAAAAAAAAAAAACAAUAACAAAAUUUUUUUUUUCUGUAAAGACUAACUUAGGACAAAUUUGAGUCGAAGAUGGCAGGAUAUAGAGAAUGUAGUCUCUCUAGAAACGCAUCUUCUUAAUCUUAAGGGUGUUGUUAAAAAAAAAAAAAAAUUGACUUUUUCUUCAUCUUUGUUAUCUACUUUUAAGCUUCUGCAUCAAGUUAAGGUGAGAUCUCCUAUUCUUCUUCUUUUAUUAUUCUCUUUUAUUUUUAUUUAUUAUUAUUAUUAUUUUUUUGCAUAUCUGUAAAAUUAUAAAAUGUUAGGAUAAUGUUUAGAUUAGGUUGUGGGGUGGGGAUAAUUGACGUAUGUUUUAAAUAUGUAUGUUGUUUUUUUCUCUUUUCUCUUUUCUUUUCUUUUCUUUGCCAAAAAAAAAAAAAAAUUGUUUUUUGUCUAGGAUGGCCGUGUAAAGAGUCACGACUUUUGAGACGCAUCCUAAUAGUCUUGUUGUAUUAUAUUUUGAUUUUGAGAUUCAUGGUAAGUUGUUUUUGUUCCCUUUUCUUUGAAUUACUCAAAUUUGUGAACUCUCCACUUGGUUAUUAAGUUAUUUAAUUGUUUACUCAUUUAACAGGUAUUAUUGAAUCAUUCUUCACACACACAUUAUGACACAUACUAGUGGGUUGUAAGUUAAAAUUUUACAGCAUUUAGUUCUUUUGAUUUAUUAGGAAAAGUAUCUAAGGUAGUAGAAAGUGUAUAGUUCCAAAAAAAAAAAAAAAAGUAGAAAAAAAAUUGUUUUUAAUUUUUCUAUAUCUAGAACCCGAGUAAUUAAGUCCGUAGGGGUGUUUCAACACCUAGUGCCCUAAGGUCAACUGGUCUGGGAGUCACUGGCCUAAAGCUCACUACAUGGGUAAUAGAUAUAUUGUUUGUUUAUUAGAAACCCGAGUAAUUAAGUCCGUAGGGGUGCUUUAACACCUAGUGCCCUAAGGGCAACUGGUCUGGGAGUCACUGACCCAAAGCUCGCUACACGGGUUAGAAAUGUAAUAUAUAAAAAAAAAAUGUGUGAAUAAUCUAUUGCCUAAAGAUAUAAUUUCUAAUGAAUUUUAGAACGAAAAUGUUGUUUUUCUUUUAAUGAAGCCCCAUAAGUAUUGUGUUAAUUACUUGAGCACAAAAGAAGGUUUGAUGAUAUUCUGGAUAAUGAGUGAACAUCAAUGUGGUAAAGGAAUUUGGGAGAGUUCAUUUAUUUGGUAAUUUAGAGGAUAGAUGAACAACUAUUAACUUGCAUGUGAAUUUUAUAAAUCUUAAUAUAACGCUUUAAUUGCUAGAGGGCUAGCAAUAAGCUGGUUGGGGGGUGUGAUUAGUAUUAAAAAUUGUUUAAUUAUCAAGCGAUAAUAUGUUAUUUUAUGCUUAUGUUAUAAUUUAUAUUUGUGUUUAUGUAAUAUAUUAUGAAUUAUUAAUUAUGUUUUAAAUAUAUUUAAUUUUGUGUAUUUUUAUGUGUUUAUUAGGAAAAUUAUUAAUUUCACGUACUUCGAGGCUCCAAACAGAUAAACGGAGGUCAAAUUUGGAUUCCGGAGGUCCGAAAACCUUAAGAUCAGUCAAGAUCGGCUUAAAAUUGGGCUUGUGUAAAAAAAGUUGACUUUUCCUGUUGACCGAGCACUGAUUGGAUGAUGAAAUGAGCUUACAAUAGAUAUGAGUGCAUGGGAUAACUGGCAAUCUUGACUAAAUCUCAACCGUUCAUGAUUCAAUGGCCAUGAUUGUGCCACGUGGCAAUGGUUGGUGAAGCAAGUUGGAGGAUCCGAAUCUUUGUAUUCGGGUCGACCCGAUCCACCCAUUAACCCGCCAAAUCUCAACCGUUCUUUGGGCAAAUCGGACGAGUCAAAUGAUGCCAUGUGUGAUGUUGACUUUUGAAGUUUGACCAGCCAUUGGAUCUUGAUCUAAGGGUUGUGAGGAGCACAUGCAUGAAGCCUAUGAUGGACCGCAAAGCACUGGAUUAUGAAUUUAUUUUUCUAUAAAUAGGGCCUCAUUUUUAUGUUUUAAUCAUCUCUCUACAACUCUCUUCUUCUCAAAUUCUCUCCAUCUCCUUGUAAUCUUGAUUUCCAGGUGUGUUUUUAAUAUUUUGUAUAAUUAUUUUCAUUAAUAAAAUUAGUUUUAUUUCCAAUUUUAGUUGUUUUUAUUUCUUUUAAUUAUAAGUAAUUCAAUUUUACUACUUCUUUUUAUUUUAAUUAUGCUUAACUAAAUAAUAUUAGUUAGGGGAAGGUGAAACUCUUAAGAAAUAAAUAUGAUUUAAUCAAAUUCUAUGUUUAAUUUUAUAAAUUAAUUUAUUUUCUAUUUAAUUUUAUACAUGUUUUAUAUUUUGAAAAUUUGAUUUAUUGUAGACAAACAAAUGAAUUUGGCACAAUAAAUUCUUAAGAUCUUAAUAUAAGGCAUGGUGAAAUGGUAUUUUGACUUAUUGUAGACAAAUUAAAUUUUGGCACAAUAAAUACUUAAUCCAUCAUAAAAUUAAAGGGAAAAUAAUAAUAAUUUGUAUAAUUAAUCUUUUGAGUAAUAAAUCUAAAACAAAUUGGCAAAAAGAAUUUAUUAAGUUUUAUUUAUUUCUAAGAGUGGAUCCAUAACCCUAACUAGUUCAAUUCCAUAGUUUCAUUUAAAUUAAGUUGUUUAUAUUCAAGUUUUAAUUUCAAUUUUUAGAUAAAAUAAAAUAAACUAAUUAAAUCUUUUCUCUGUGGAUCGACCUCGGACUCACCGAGUUAUAAUACAACAAGACACUCUUAUACUUGGGAGUUAAAAUUUACUUUUAAGUUGUGUCACUAACUAUAAAGGCUGGGUUACUUUGAGGACUUUUAGAUUCUCCAAAAUUUUUAUCAAGUUUUUCUAUUUUUUUUUUCAUAAUCUGAUAUAAUUUGAUUGAUUUUUAUAUUGUAUUCACCACGCUGGCUGCUUCGAAAAUGUAAUUUUCGAGUUGUUUACCUAAUAAGAUUAUAAAUUCUUGGUGUGGUGAUGGAAUGAUUACAUGGUGUUGUAAGAGUAAUUCUUUCGUUAGUCAUUAUAUAAAUGAACUGACAAAGGAAAUUGACUUCUAAAAGUAUAUAUGCUCCUAUAUGAUUAUAAGACCAUAAUAUAUGGAUACUUAAAAUGUAAUCUUCGAUUUGGAUUAAAGUUUUUAUCCUACAUGUUCCUAAAAUGAUUUGUUCACCAUUUAUUCCUUGUCCUGUUAAGGGUUUAUAAUCUUUCGAAUAUGAUUUUGGAUAAAUCCUUAAAUUAGGUAAGCUAACUCCUGAACCAGUGUCUAUUAAAGCAUGAAACCAUUCUGGCUUAUGCUUAUAAUAUGGUUUAAUCACUUUUAUAUAAACUAUAAAAAGAUUAGACAUAUCUUGAUAUGGUUUGCUUAAUUCCUUCAACUGUUAAGCUUAUUUUUCUAUCUCCUAUAGAAUAAGGAGUAAAAUUCUCAAGAAAGUUCAUCCCUAAUAAUAAAGGACUUAUUUAUGUUUCAUAAUCUGGUUCUAUGAAAAAAGAAAAGAUGAAUUCUAUCCCUUUUAUUCUUAAUAGUAUUUCACUAUAUUGACUUAAUGUCUUUCUUUCUCCAUUAAAUCCUACAUAAGUAUGAGGCUCAAUUAAAAUUUUUCUUUCUAAAUAUUUAAUAAUUUUAGAAUCUACAUAAGAUUUUGCAGCUCCUGUAUCAAGGAUAGCAAAAGUCUCGUGCCAUGAUUUUCCAUUAUUAUAUUCAAUCUUAAUUUUUAGAUUUUGAUUAUCCAGUAUUGCUAAAUUUACUGGACUAUUUGUCCUUUCUCGAAAAUGAGCUCUUAUCAUGACUUGAAUUCCUCCGAUAUGAACAUAUCCAAUUUUAAGUCUAUCACUAGAUUUUAUCUCAUUUAUCUUAUCUUUUAUAUCAGUUUUUAAUAAUAAUGGUAUAUUUGUAUUUCCUCUAGCAUACCUAAUUUCAAUAGGUUCUUCUCUUACAGUAGCACUAAGAUACAUUAUAUUUUUUCUUUUAAUCAUGUUAGCAAUGCCUUGUGCUAACUUAUUAACCGAAGUCAUAGAUGAUUCCAAUCCUUUUUUAUUAUUCUUGAGAUAUUGCUUUUUAUCAAAGAUUAAUUCUCUAUUAAAAGAACCUUGUUCUUCUAACUCUUCAUCUUGAUAUAAAUCUUUAUUUUCUAAUUCUUCUAUACUCAUUCUGAAUCAGAUUCUAAAUCAGAACUUCUCAAAGUUUCAUUAGAAAGAUAAUAUAUGCUAUCAUUUUCACUAAUAUCUUUGCUAUCGGUGAUUAAUUCUAAAUCAUUGAAAUCUUCAAAUAUUUUUAUAUUUGCUUUCUUCGUUUUAGGACAUUCAUUUGCAUAAUGUUCUUCUUCAUUACAUAACUAGCACUUGCAUUUUUUAGGUGCAUUGGUUUUGGAUCUUCUUUUAAAUUUAUUUUUCUUGUAGAAUUUCUUUUUAUAUUUAUUUUUCUUGUAAUAUUUCCUGUUGGCUUUAAAGAAUUUCUUCUUUUUGAAUUUUUUUUCUUGUGUUUAUAGAUUUUAUCUGAACAUCCAAAUCUUGGCGGAUCUUCUAAUUUAGAACAACAUAAUUCUCGAUUUUGCCUUUUCAUAAGUCUUCUAUCUCUUAUUUCAGAACACUAUUCAUUUAUUCUAUUUUGAGCAAAUCUAAUCCUAUUUCGUAAUGUAUAAGUUUCUGUAGUAUCUUUGUAUUCUUUGUUAUAUUCCAACAUAAUCCUUCUACCCCAUGGGUCUGGUAUCUUUACAAAAUAUAGAUCAUGGUAAUAGCAUAUGUUAUCCUCAUCUUUAUCAAAUUCACAUUUAUAAUAUAAUUCUUCGAAGCUACAUGUAUAUUCUUCUAAAUAACAUAUAUUACAUAUUUCAAGCCUUGUUAGCUUCAUUAAAUUUUCUAUCUGUUUUCUUUUUAUUUCUUGUUGAAAAUCAGUUUCCCAAUCUUCUCCCAAGAAUUUUUUUCUUAUUUCAUUUUCGAAUCUAUUUAAAACCUGAUCAACACUUUCGUUUCGAUUAUUAUUUUCUCCAUACAAUAUUCUAUUUUUAUGAUUAUCAUUUAAUCCCAUAAACCAAUGAGAAACAAUUCCUAUAAACGAAAUUUUAAGGAAUUCUAUACUAUUAUCCCUAUCAAUUUUGUGAAAUGCAAAAGCCAUUUUCAUAGAUUUAACCCAAGCGGUAAUCGUUUUAUCUCUAUCUUUGAUACAGUCUAAACCUAACCAUACACCAUCAUGGUUGAUUGGUCUUUCUCUAUAUUCUCCUGGAGUUUUAUGAUCUUUUUUAGGUUUGUUAAUCCUAAAAUAUUGACCUUGUGCUCUUUCCUGAGUUGGUAUUUCUUCCCUAACAUAGGAAGCUCUAUUACUAGUUUCUCCUUGUUAAAAACCGUUUAACUUUGGUUCAUUCAUUUUUAGAUGUUCUAUUCUAUUUUCAAUAUCCUGCAAAUUAAUGACUAUAUCAUCUUCUUCUUCGGAUUCAGAUUCUUUAUCAGAUAUCUCUUGAUUAGGUAAUUCUAUGUUUUCACUUAGCAUUCUUAGACUUAUUAAUUUUUUGUCUUUGUUUAUUUUGUUAAAUAUCGGUUUAGAUGUUGUUAUCAUUUCUUUAUCUUUAAGUUCAUUAUAGUAAAUUAUGGUAUCUUGUAAAAUUUUAUUUUGUUUAUUGAUCUUCUGUACUUCAAUCCUUUUGUAAUUUUCCAUUUAUGCUUAUAGCGAAUUUAUUACCAAUUUUUUCAUCGAUUUUUUCAAUUUUUUGUAGUUGAUUUCAAUCUUGUUGAAUUUAUUUUCAAUUGAACUUUUGUUCACAAUAUUAAAGAUUUCUUGUUUUAAUCUAUCUUGAUCUUCAAUAUUAAAGUCUUUUAUUAAUAGCUUAACAAAAUCAAAUUCUUCACUCAUUCGCUAUCCUAUCAUUUUGACUUGUCUUAUAUUUUCGGCAUCAAAGCUUUUAAUCUCAAGUAUCUUAUUUACACUUUCUAUAUCAUCUAUGGUUAAAUUAGGGUUUCCUAAUUUAUUUAAUAAAUAUAAUGAGAUCCAAUUUAAUUGAUUAUUUCCCCACAUAUCAGAAUCAUUUACUAAAUCAAAUGGUUGAAAUCUUCCAUAAGUAAAUCCUCUAUGCCUAUAGCUAGAAGGUGGUAAUAUGUUGGUUUCAAUAUUUCUAUAUACUUCUCUCCUGAUCCUAAAGAGAAGAAUAGGAUCAAUAUUUAAAUUUCUAAUUUUUAUUAUGAUGAGUUCUCCAAUUUUAAAUUCAUGAACUCUAACUAAAUAAAAUUGUAUUAAUUGUUUAUCAUCCAAUAUAUUAACUUCUGAAUAAUAAUAUUGUUUAUGUUUUGUUAUAUUAUCUUUAACUCCACACUUGUUUAAAAUUCAACACACAGAUGUGCCUCUUUCUUACUAUACUGGAAUCCUCGGUAAACUUUUUGUUUGCGCAAUUUAUGUGAGCAAAUUGUGUCUUCUUUUUCAUAUGUAAAUGUUUUUGAUAUCUUGAUGUGAAGGUAGAAAAUUGCAUGUUUUGAGUUUUUGCAUAUUUGAUGGAAACACAGAACUGUACCUGAAUCUUUCAGAACCCCCUUUUCUUUGAAGUUUGAACACUUUUCUUGAAUGUAUCAACUUUAUUUAUGGGAUAUGUUGCCAAAUUGGCAAAUCUAUUCGUUAUAAAACUUUCCUUUGACAGUUUAAUCUAAGCAGAUGUUAAUUAUGCAAAUAGAGUGUGCCUAAGAUUAGUUUCAUAGAUUUGUCUCCUUCUGUACAGUAAAAACUUUGAGCAUUUUCGCCAUAUUCUGAUCAAUACACUCCAACUAGUUAGUUCUUGAGGCGUUUUAUGGUUUCGUGGAGUGAGGCAAGAUGUAUACGUUUGCAAAUUGGCAAUGUCUUUUGCUUGAUGGGUUGAGAGUUGUGAGUGUCAACAGGAAACAAGACCUCUGUUUUAUGAACUCCAAAAAGUUAUUCUGUUAAAAAGAUCGAGACAGAGGCCAUACUAUAUUUAUUAUUGCUAUAAAAGUGUGAAAAAAUAUUCUUUGUUUAAUAUUCUAAACGAUUGAGCCAUUUAGUUAUGAUACUCUGCUGUAUUGGGGCUAAUAAUCUAAGUCGGUUCAAAGUGGUAAAUUUAUAAAUUGAUAGGUAUGCCUGGUAUGACCGCUUACGUUGGAUUUUAUGAGGUCUGCUCUCCUAAGCAAGGAGAGUGUGUCUUCAUAUCCGCAGCAUCUGGUGCAGUUGGACAGCUUGUGGGGCAGUUUGCAAAGUUAUUGGAUUGCUAUGUCGUCGGAAGUGCUGGAAGCAAAGACAAGGUAUGUAAUCUGUGUGAAGUACUUGAUUGUUUCCAUGUUACUUUCAAACAUUUAAAUUAAAAAGGAAAUUUUCAUAAUCUUGCCUUUUCUAUGAUUUUCAAAACCAAGGUUGAUCUACUGAAGAACAAGUUUGGGUUCGACGAGGCAUUUAACUAUAAAGAAGAAGCUGAUUUGAAUGCAGCAUUGAAAAGGUUAGCAUCAAUAAAUGCCUUAGCUUGAUGCAGCUUGAUGAAGUAUGAUACACAUUUCUGACCAAUAUACUGCGUUCCCUGAUCUCUUACUUGAAAUAUCUUGGUUUGAGAAUCUCAUGCCAAUGCCUUUAACAUUUUGGCAGGUACUUUCCUGAAGGAAUUGAUAUAUAUUUUGAAAACGUUGGUGGAAAAUUGCUUGACGCAGUGCUACCCAACAUGAAAAUCCGUGGUCGAAUUGAUGCAUGCGGUAUGAUCUCACAGUACAAUCUUGACAAGCCUGAAGGUGUGCACAACUUGAUGUAUCUUGUUUCGAAACGGCUUCGAAUGGAAGGAUUCAUUGUUCUCGAUCACUAUCACCUCUAUCCAAAGUUUCUGGAAAUGAUCAUUCCUCACAUCAAAGAAGGGAAGCUUGUAUACGUCGAAGACAUGGCUGAAGGUCUUGAGAGUGCUCCGGCAGCUCUCAUCGGUCUAUUCUCUGGCCAGAAUAUUGGGAAACAAGUGGUUGCUGUUGCUCCUUAAUGAAGAACAAGUUAGUGUUGUCUGUCCUUUUACCCUUUGACACAAAACUUCAAUGUUAAAGAGAGAAUGCUGUUCAUAUAUACUGCUUUAUAAAAUAAUCAAGUGAGUGCAAGUUUCAUGAUAUUUGCUGAAUAAAAUAUUGGAAAUUAAGCAGCUAGCCUAGCUCCUUCUUGUAGUUGCAGUUUGAAUGAUGCUGCUGCACAACUGCUGCCGAAAAAAUCCUUAAUAGAUGAUUAGCAAGGUUUCAAAAAUAAAAAUAAAUGUUUGUGCAAUGUGUCGAAUAUGACAGCC
rnacentral:lncRNA from 1 species